UUUUUUUUUUUUUUAAGGAAAACUCAUCCAAACAUAAUCGAUAGAACGUAAAAAAGAUGUCAUACCAUCUCUACCUUUCUUAAAAUAUCAAUAAUUGAAAAAAAUUAAAGUUAUUUAAGAGUUUUCAAUCUAGUUGUUUAGAUUCUUAAUGACAAAUGCAAAUAUCUUACACUUUCCUUAUACUCUAGAGUUCUAUAAUAACCACUUAUUAUACUAAAAUGAUUAUCAAAGUAAAAUAAACAAAUAAUAUCUUGCUAUUCAUACUUUAUAAAAUAUAUAUGUUUGAAGAUUUGGGCAUCAUGCAUAAUUGUGCCUAAUUUUCUUUAAGAAGAUUCUUAAUUGAAGUCAUUGUCUAAAAUUAUAGGUGCCCACUUCCAAAUGGGUAUUUAGUAGAAAUGAGUAAUCUAAGUAAGAAGAUGAUUUCCAUUUUAAUCUAUAAUCCCCCCUUGACUUGAUUGUGACGAGGGCUUUUAAAGGAAGAUAUGUAUUAAACACUUUUUAUUCUCUUCCUGGUAUCAAUAUCCAAUUGGAAUAUAUUAUUUGUUUAUACUGUUGAGAUAUAAAACCGUGCAGAAAUAGCUAAGCAAAACCAAAACUAAAGAUCCACCGAAAAGUUUUGAAAAUGAAAGUAGAUCUAACACAGAAUACAUAAGUCAAGUACAUCGUUUCUCCAUGCAAAAUUGGAAAGAAACUUAAUAUCAAACAAUAAUAUAUAUUAGACAUAGAAACAUACAAAGAUUGGUAAAACCAAUUUGGUACAAUAUUAUCUACUAUGGAGAUUGUUCCACGUGGAAAGAACCUUUACUGUACUAUAAGAAGUUUAACAAUCAAAACAAAAUGCUUAUGUGAUAGAUCCCUUUUCAAUUACUCACGUACAACAUAUUUUUUAGUUUCAUAUUAGGUUCUCCCUAAGUUUAAGCAACUCAAACCUCUAGAAUAAAGUUUCUCCCAAAUUUUGUAUUGAAUCCUCCUAUACAAUACAUUCAAUAUAUAGCGAGGUAUACAAGCUGGAUAACAAACAAUAAGGUACAUGAUUAUAGAAGAUGUAUUUAGGUAUGCUUUAUUUUACUUCGAACAAACUCUAAAAUCCUUCAUUAAUAUCUACCAACUCUUUCAACAAUGGCCUAACCCUAAAAAAUAUUUUAGACCACCAUGUAUCUGAUUCAACGUUGAGAAGAUCUUCAAGGUAUGAGAAUAUAUUUUAAGCAAAGUAGGAAAACAAACCACUAAAUCUGCACUACAUGUCGACAAAUAAGAAAAUAAUUUAGAUACAUAACUUGCACACAUGAAAACAUGUUUGACAAAAGCCGAGACAUAUUUGUUUAAUUUUUAUUAUAUGAAUUAAAAUGAGCUAAAUUUAUUACACUAAGGAGUUUGUUUUCAAUUACUUUGUUUAUCAACCCUAGCCUGCCCAGCAAGAUUGUUGGGUUGGUUGAUCACCUCAAGCAAAGAAGAUCUGCAUGCAAUUUGUUCCAUAUUAAGAUAAAAAGAAAAAUAAUAGACGAAGAUGAGACCGAGGUCGGCCUUCUCUCCAUUUGGCACACCUCGGGCCAUUCUACUUGAGAGAUAAUUUAUUUAAUCAAGGAUUAGAAAAAUCAUAUCCUAAUCCUACUUGAACAAAGAUAAAUCUUAUGUCAAAUCCUCUAUAAAUACACUCUUGAAAAUAUCGACUUCUUACUUUUUUUCUAUUAUACAAUUCUCUUACUGAUUUAGGUAUCAUAACCUUUUUUCUUUGUGUUGCAGGUUCUUUCUUCUCCAAAUAACAAAUAAUUUAACUAUUAGUAUUACGUGAGAGAGUCAUGUAUGUUUUCCUUAGUUAAAAUUUGGCAUGAGUAGUUUGGUGCUAUCUAUAGGAACGAGAGUGAUCUCUAUGCAAAAUCUUUAAGGCAAAGUCAUGUGAUGAAGACAAGUGAAAAGUGAAAAGUCAUUGGUUACCGUAAUCUGGAGGAAAAGUCAAAUUGAUUUCUAUUGGAACUUGUAUUGGAGAAUAUGGUGAAGACCGAUAAUCUUAAUACCAUUGUAAGAGGCCUUAUAGUGAAAGAGAAGUCUCUUAAUUAGCUUAUUAUAUAUAUAUAUAAAGAGAUGAAAAAACGCCUCGAACUUGGUCGGCUACAUGGUGGACACCUUAACGCGUGUACGUCUGGAUGGUGGUUGCCUAAUUACAUUGCCUUUAGUUCUUUUUAAAAGUACUAUGUAUUGUAUUGAAAGUUCUUGUAUUUAGAACAGUUAUAUUUGCUGCCUUGGUUUAAUAUCAAACUCAUACAAACACUUUGAACUAGGCUGAGAAGCAAAGAAACAAGGUUAACUUUAUGAUGUGAAUUACCUUUAAACAUCUUUUUUCUAGUGUAUCAUUAUGAUAAAUCUAUCAAUUUUUUUUUUUUGUGGAGAUUUAGAAUGAUUUUGACCACAUGGUUAUAUUGGUACGAUAUGUAGUUUAUUGAAAAUGGACUUGAAGGAGAUGUCAAUUCUGACGUUGAAGAAGAUAAAAUGGAGGACACUGAUGGUGUAGAAGUGGAACAUCUAUACAUUUCAGAUUACCAAAGUUUUGCACUAAUAUCCGAUUGAUUUACUAUAGUGAUGAAGCUACCAAGCAAGUGAUUGAUGUUUGAUUCAUGACAAGACUUGAUGUAAUUUAGUUAUCUACAAAAAUACAUUGUAUUUAAUUUCUUUGUAAAAGUAUAUUACCAAGGUUUAGUUUCUAUUUUACUUGUAUUUAUCCCUUUGAGAAAAUUCGAUAGAUUUCGUGUACUUAGUUUCUUUGUAAAAAAUUUUAUAUAUGAAAGUUCUUAUUUAUAUGUGUACUAGUUUUGUGUUAAAAUAGAAUCAUUGAAUUACAGGAACAAAAAUAUAAUUGAAUUACAAUUUUUUUUUAAAAAAAAUUCAUAACAUACUUGACGGUUUUAAAAUGUCAUAAAUGAGUGCAUCAUUGACAGUUUUUCAAUGUCAUAAACAAUCAAUUUCUUGACGGUUAUUAAAUGUCAUGAGCACUUAUACUCUUGACGGUUUUAAGAUGUCAUAAAUAUUCAUACUCUUGACGGUUUUUAACUGUCAUGAACAUUUGUAUACUUGACGUUUAUAAAACGUCAACGUUCAAUAUUCUUGACAGUUUUAUCAACCGUCAAGAACUUUAGCUUUCUUGACACUGGCUUCAAGGACGGUUUUAAAACCGUCAAUAAUAAUGAUUCUUGAUAGUUUAAAAACGUCAAGAGAGCCUAUUUUUAUAGUAGUGUAACUGUAAAACAGAAAACAAUUAGAUGAAGGAUGAGUCGCGGAUCAUGUUUUCCUUACGACGUUUUGUGAUUCUGCUUGGAGUGCAAAUAGUUUGGUAUUGCCACGUUGUCCCAAGAUAAAACAAUAAAAAAAAAAACUUGAUCGAAACUACUUCGAAACUGCAUAAAAACUUGUUUUAAGAAUUGAAUUUAGGUCACAUUUACCACACAACACGUAAUUACACUACUACAAAUUUGGUCUUUCUGAUGCACGCAAAUUUUGAUUUUUUUAUGGUCAUAACAAAGGACCAUCAAGAAAAAUAUUUUUCUUGAUGUGUUACUUAUUUUGACGGUCAUGUAUAUCAAGAAAAGUUUUCUUAUUUUGUUGAAAAAAUACGAAAAAACGUAAAAAAAUGUGGAUUCUUGAUUUCCUUGAUGAACGAAGUUCUCUUAUAUUUUUGUUAAGAAAACUAUUUCUCGAUAGACAAUAAGCAUCAAGGAUAAUAUAUUAGUUGACUGACAAUGGCUAUCAAGUUAGUUAGGUUUUCUUGAUGGACGAGGCCAAUUGAAGAGAUGAAUUUUCUUUAUUUGCAAUGACUAUCAUCGAAAAAAAUUAAUAUAUUUGUUUUAAAUUUAAUUUCUUGAAAGUUUAGAAUUUUCUUGGUGGUUUAGAAUUUUCUUGAUAUGUGUAGGGUUGCUUGAUAGACAAAGACCAUAAAAGAUCAUGGAUAAGGUCCAUCAAGAAAAAUGAUAUCUUGAUGGGCAACUAUUUCCCACCAAGCACGAAAUUUAAACCAUCGUUAAUGGGCUCAAAAAACACGAUAUUCAUCAAUAAUAUUUUUAAAUCUUUGCUAUAUUUUUUCCAAUUAUUAUUUUAUAUUCAUCAAUAAUACAAUAUUACUUUUUUAAAUUAGUUAUUGUGAGUUGAAUUAAGUUUGUAAUUUAGGGUUUUUAAAAUUUGUUAAAGUUGGCUAACAUGAGUUUAGCUCUAUUGACACAUGUACGUACUUGUGGACAAGAGAUCCCGAGUUCAAAUCAUCAUCAUUGCAUUAAAACUUGGAUUUAUGAUUAUUUACAUAAUCCAUCAUAUAUUUAAUUUAACUUUUUAAAAUAGAAUUUAAGUUAUUUAUAAAUAGUGUGAGUAAUAAUUUGAUUUUUUUUAAAUUUUUUUGGGCACUUUUCUCUUAAAAUUUUCGACUACCAAUUUAAAAAUAUUUGAGAAUUCGUUAUUUCUAGAUUAUCGAGGUGAGAUAUCAAUAUCUUUAGAGUUCGAAAUUUGAUAAAAAAAAGAAAAAUUUAUCAAAGACUAUCGUAUAAUAGAUUUUGAGAAAUGAUAAUAAUCUCGUUCUUUUAAAGAUUGAAGAAUUUUUUCUCAAUAUAGUCUGAUUGACGAAAUGUAUUUCACUUAUUUUGUGAGAUCAUUGCUUCAAAUAUGACAUUUUUUUUAAAUCUUACUUUUUCAAAUGAAUUUUAUUUAAAUAGCAAUUUCAAUUCAAGACAUAAAGUUUGACCAUCCUUUUUCUAAACGGGUGUCGUGGGAGCUAACAUCUUUUUCAUACACAAAUGAUACUUGAACUCAACUCUAAUUUUUGGUAGAUAAUUUUUUUUAUCGAUUUUAUUUAAAAAUUAAUUAUAUUAAUUCGGUGUUCAAUCACACUACAAACAAAUCGGUGACAACUCUGUUUUGUUUUAUUUUAAAAUUAAUCAUUUUAACUUAAAGCAUGAUUUAAUUAACUAACAUAUUCCAUAAAGUUUAAAGGCUGGUGGUUAAUUAGUUUGAAUCUUGAUCCAUAUAAAUUUAAUUAACUAAACUAAUUAUUAAACUUACGGCUAAAUCAUUGGGCUUUUUGUUAGAGAGAGUUAAAUAGUUAGGUUUAUGAAUGAUGUGAGUUUAUGGUCAAGAAAGGGUUAGAAAACAAUUCAGUAUAAAAUAACUGAAGGUAAGUCAUGACAUAGUUGAAUUGUGUUGAUGUGUAAUAAUUUUUUUUUUCUCAUAUAUCACAAUUUUCUGUGUCUUAUUGGAAAAGGACUAAUGUUUUUUAAGUUAAGUUAUUUAAAUUUAUCAAUCUUUUGUUAAAUUAUUUGGGUUAUUUUUGGAUUUAAACACCAUGUACUAUACAUCUAUUUGUGUAAUGUUUUCAGUUCUUAUAUAUCAUAUUUUUCACCAAUAAAAUAUUCUCCUACUACACAUCAAAAUAGAUCCCAACUGAAAGUGUCCAAGGGACUAAAUGAUUUUACACGUGAUUUUGUGAUCGGCUAAUUUGCCAAAAUUGUAAGACGUCCACGUCUUAACUAACUUCAACAUUCUUAUCUACACAACGGGCCUAACAACAAUCAACUUCACCUCCUUUGCUUUCAACAAAUGCACAACAAUCAAAGUAUCCAAUUUCACAACUAUGGAAGCUCUCAAAAUCCCCAUACGCAAUAACCUUCUUCUCUUUUAUCCAAACUUCCAAUAACUAUCCAUCCUACUUCACUGAUAUGCUAGAAUUGUCACAUACCUAACAAACUUUCUUAAAAGGUGUUUGGAGUUAGGAGUUAAAUAAUAAAAAGUAAAUAAUUAUAAAAUAUAGGGAGUUGUGGACUCUUAAAACCUUUGAUCACAUAAGAAGUUGAUAAGAUAUAAAAUUGAGUGGGACCUACGAUCUUUUUGGUUUAAACAAAAAGUGGAGUUUCGUACUCCUAUACUUUCAUACUCCCAUUUUCUAACUCCAUGAGUCAAACAUCAUCUUCAUGAUUUUGUAAAACUAAAUCCAAAGUCCCCACCUUAUUGCUCUAUUGCCAUUCGAUCCAUUACCCAUAAUAUAUAUAUUUUUCAUUUCAUCAAUUUAAACAUUAAAACGUGAAAAACAUAUCAACUUAUAGGUUUUUGUAUUCGAAAUCGUUGUUAGAAAGAUUUUUCACUUACACAAUCAAAUCCAUUUUUUCUAUAAUAUGCAACUUCGUUGUUAUUUUCUUUAAAAAAAUAAUAAAAGAAAUGAAAGAAAUUUAUAUUAGACGAGCUAGAGUAAUUUUCAUUUACAAGAUGGAGCUUUCUCUUGCCUUCUACUUUCUACGAUUGUGUUGUUUUCGUUCUUUUUCAUUAAGGGAGAGUCUUUCAUUAAAAAUAUAAACCAAUAUACAUAGCAACCUUUCACGAAUGUACUGAGCAACCCAUUCACAACAAUGAGAGUCUCAUUAUCGAAUGGGUUGCAAAGGAUAUUGAUUUACUUUAAUUUUCUUUUAAAUUUCUUGUAACCCCUCGAGUUCAAUUUUUCCUCGAUCCACAACAUUGGUCGUACAAGAAUUUCAAAAGUUACCCUAGCUGAAACUCAAAUAACUUCUCAUCAUUGUAGCUUGAGAAACUACCAUGGCCAUUGUUAUCUUCGGUAAUAAUGUUGUGGAUUAAAACUUCCUGAGACCUUGCCACCACCAAGAACAACACCAAAGAUGAAGGAGAAUCUUUGGUGUUCCCAUCAUGAAGUAAAAAAGUACUAUACAUCAAUUACCACUAAACUAUACCCACAUUUUUAGGAUUUUAAUUUAUUACUUUAAAUUUAAAAAGAAUAUACAUUAAUUAUCACUAAUCUAUACUUACGUUUCAACCAAAUACACAAACUUAUUAAAAGAAUUGGAAAAAUGAUUGAAGUAGUACUCUUAAUUGGUUUGUGAGGGGAGAGGAAAAUUUUGUUUAUUAUUAUUUGUUUAUGUUUGUACUGAUGUUGCAUCAUUAGAUAUAAUCAAUUUUAAUUUCAGAUUAAAUAGGAAAUUAUUCAUGAACCAACCAACCAAAUAUAAAGUUAAUUGGAGAAAUACUCUCUCCACCAUAAGAAUGCUAAAUCCCUAAGUUAACUCCAACCAUAAACCCAGGAGGCAAAAAGAGCACCCAAACUCAACCAAAAAAGAACAACAAUACAAUAUCACAUACACAUACACAACAAUGGAAAGCAAUACAACCUACCACAAUUAUCUCAUCCCAUCCCAAAACAAUUCUCACAACUUCCUUACCAAAUCAACAAUUUAGGACGGAAUUUGAAUUUAGAAUGAAUUCAGAAUACUCCACGUCAACAAAAAAAAAGAAUUGUUAAGAAAAAGUAUCUUUAUAGUUAUUCCGUUGAAGAUAAGAAACACGUUUUCAAACUUGAGUUUAGUGAAAGAAACUAACAUACUACGAUGACAACCUAUUUAAGUUCUCUACACGACUCGUAAAAAUGUUACAAUUACACACCAAUCAAAUCUAUAUUACAAACCUUUUUUCUUAAAAAAAUCUCAAAGUCCUGCUUUAGAUGCCAAAUCCACACCGCAAAGUGGGAAAAACAUAUUAAUUUUUCCUAUUAUUCUAAUCCUUAAGUUAUUGAUUUUGAUCAAACUCAAGUAAGAAAAGAGAAUUGCUUUCUUAAUUUUAUAUACUGCGAAUACCAACCCACAAACUUUUGAAUUAAUGGGGCCUGCAUAAAGAACUCUAUGGCCUACAAAACCAAAAUAAAAUAAAAUCAUCAUAAAAUAUGAUUUUUGGUUCUGUGGUUUGGAAUUUAUUCAAUUUUAAUUCAAAUGGUUUUGAUACAACUGAAAAGUAUUUUCAAAACAAUAAUUAUUUUUGUUCAUCACACCAUAAAUUCUUUUCUGAAAAUUUUAAUUCGUUAAUUUUCAUGUAGUGAAAGUGAGAUGUAUAAAAAAUAUAUAUUGUUUUUAAAUAAAUCUUAAAUUUAAUUCAUUCAAUUUAAUUUUUGUUGAAAUUUGUUAUAUAAUAUGAUAUACUAAAUACAGUAGUGAAUAUCAUGUUUUCAAAAUUUAUAAUAAAUAGUAAUGAAUAACAAUUUGUUUUUAAAAAAUCUGCAAUAAACUAGUACGGACUACAUUUAAGUUCUUUUUUUCUUUCUUUAAGUAUAGUGAUUACGGUAUUAAAAAAGAGGCAAACAUAAAUUAAAAUUUAUGUCGAAGUGUGUAUAAAUUUUGCAAACAUAUUGGAUUAAAACUAAGCUUGGAGAAGAGAAAUCAAAUCUUUGAUUUCGUUGUAUAGUAGUUUGAAUUUUGUUUUAUUUUUUUAAUAUUAAUUUAAGAAUCGUUUUAAUAAAAAUUAGUUAAAUAAUAAUAAUAAUAGUUAUCAUCAAAGAAAAUUGGCCAAAAACGUGUUUUCAAAAAACAAUAAAAUAACUUUGUGUAAUUAAUAAUAAAUUAGUUGUAGAAAAUAAAUUUAAAAAUUUAAUAAAAAUAUAAUUUCUAAAAUUAAUAAACACAAUAGAAAUUGUAAAAAAAAUAGGAUAAUUGAUCAAUUUAUGAUGAUAAUAAGUUUUUGGUUGUUUUGGUGUAAAUAGUUUUGAAAAACCCUGUUUAAAAGUAUAUUUCUAUUUAUCUAUUUUUCUAUUAUUUAAGAAAUUAUAUAAAUGAUAAAAAUAUUUAAAAAAACCGCUCAUAACAUAUUGCGAAUAUGAUCAAAAUUAGUGAGAAUAUAUGACUAUCAAAAGGCUAUAGGACGUUAAUUAUAAUUUUUUUUUACUAUUUUUACAUAUUUGUUAAUGGUUUUCGAUAUUAUUGGUUAUUGAAAGUAAAAUAGUUUACAUCCUAACAAAACUAUUAUAAUCUACGAAUUGUAUUUUAACCAUCACUUUUCAAGUACAAACCAUUCUCUCAUCGAACCUCGAAUCCCUCUCCUCUGUUUUCCUCUGCUUAUUGCAAUCCAACAAAUUCAAAUAACUGAGAUUCCUCUUCUUCAACCUCUAUUUUCCUUUUUAGAGUUCUUUUUUGUUGUUCUGUUUCAUUCAUUUUUGCACUUUCUUGAAACUCCCAAAAUUGUGUUUUCAUUUCAUUUUUAGAGAGAGAGAGAGAGAAACAUGAAAGUAGCUUAACGACAGUUUAAGCUUUAAAGCACUGCCAAAGCUCCGGUUUUUCAUGGUUUCUUUUACUGAAAAAAAAAAAAACACAAGUUUUUUAUUUUAUAAUUCCCAACUCUCCUCUAAAACCUACCUUCUCAAGCAAAGCUGUAAAUCGUAACUGACCUCCUCUUUUCUCAAGAACUCUCUCUUGCUAUUUCCUUUUCGAAUUACGAGCCAAACAAACUCAAUUGUCCUGAAUCACAAGUUUUAAACACACCCAUCUCAUUUUGAAUCUCUGUUUUUCAGUUUCCGGGUUUUAUUUAAUUCGAGGGAAUAAUGACGCCUGCAAAGCGGAGUACAGAGGAAGCCAUGGUUUCCAGCUUCAAUCAAACGAUCCAACAAGAAGAUUACAGAGAAGAAGAACAGAGAGGAGAGAAAGAUGAAUCAAUGGGUGGAUUCAAGAGCUUUCUCUGGCAUGGUGGCUCUGUUUAUGAUGCUUGGUUCAGUUGUGCUUCGAAUCAGGUAAUUGUAAUAAUCCAUCCGCUCAAAAUUUUGAGUAAAAGGAUUUGAAAAAUUGGAAAGUUGUGUUUGUGUUUUUGUUUCUUGGCAGGUAGCUCAAGUUCUAUUGACUCUGCCAUACUCUUUCUCUCAAUUGGGGAUGGUUUCAGGGAUUAUUUUUCAGAUUUUCUACGGAAUUGUUGGGAGUUGGACGGCGUAUUUGAUUAGUGUUUUGUAUAUUGAAUAUAGAGGGAGGAAGGAGAAGGAGAAUGUUAGCUUCAAAAACCAUGUGAUCCAGGUUUGAAAAAACAGAGUAGUUUGUAAAUCUUUGUUUUUCGUUUUCUUUAAAAAAAAAAAAAAAGAAAAGAAAGAAAAUAUUUUGAUUGGUUUUGUGGUACUCUGUUUUUCGACAGUGGUUUGAAGUGCUUGAUGGUCUUCUUGGGCCUUACUGGAAAGCAGUUGGAUUGGCUUUUAAUUGUACUUUUCUUCUCUUUGGCACUGUCAUUCAACUUAUUGCUUGUGCAAGGUUCGUUCUUCUUCAUCUUCAUCUUAAUUCGGUCCUAGAAACUAUGUUUAUUUUAUUUUAUAUACUUUAUUGAACUUUGAAAUGUUUCAAAUAAUCUGUCUUCUUUUAUGGGUCUAUUCUGCACAUUGUUGUAUUGAUGAAUGUUUCAAUCUGAUAGUGUUUUCGUUUCAAAUGGUCUACUACUGUAGAUUUUUUGUUUGCUCUGCUUUGAAAAACGGGAAACGAAAUAGUGAAGAAGAAACAAAUAGAACUAUGUUUGGUGAUCUCCCUCUAAACGUUGUGUGGAAGAAAUUUUAUAUUAUGUUUUAUUUUGGUAGAUAUUUGUUUCUGCAUUAUAAGAGUAAAGAAAGAUAAAUAAUAAUUUUGUUCAUGUUUUGUGUUUUGAUUUCUUCAUUUUUAAUUUUGUUUAUGUUUUGUGUUUUGAUUUCUUCAUUUUUAUCGUCUGCGUUCUAGGAAGAUUUUGAAAAUAUAAACUAAAUUUUGAAAGCUAAAAAAAAAGAGUAGUUUUCACCGUAGUAUUUAAAAUGGUCGAGUUGUUAUUGUUUUGAUUUCUUCAUUUUUAAUUUUGUUUAUGUUUUGUGUUUUGAUUUCUUCAUUUUUAUUGUCCGCGUUCUAGGAAGAUUUUGAAAAUAUAAACUAAAUUUUGAAAGCUAAAAAAAAAGAGUAGUUUUCACCGUAGUAUUUAAAAUGGUCGAGUUGUUAUUGUUUUGAUUUCUUCAUUUUUAAUUUUGUUUAUGUUUUGUGUUUUGAUUUCUUCAUUUUUAUUGUCUGCGUUCUAGGAAGAUUUUGAAAAUAUAAACUAAAUUUUGAAAGCUAAAAAAAAAGAGUAGUUUUCACCGUAGUAUUUAAAAUGGUCGAGUUGUUAUUAUAGUUGGUAUUAUUAUAGUGUGUGAGUUAUAAUAGUUUGUAAAUUAAAUAGUUUGGGUUUGAAAUGUAUACUAUUUUAUUCUCUUUGAUAUGCAUGUUAUUUUUGUACGAGUAAGAAACAGUAAACAAUAUAUUAGGAAAGGAAAGAAAUGAUGAGUAGAAACCGUGAACACUAACAAAAAAAAGGAUUUGGAACAGUAAUAGUGUAGUUAACUUUAAGUUGUAAAUAGUUAGAAACACGUACUAUUAUAGUUGAAGCCUAAAACGUGGAGUGUGUUAUAAUGACUUACUCCACCAACUUCAAGUUGUGAUCCAAAAACAACAUCCUUAGGUAAGAUGAAAACUAUAAGGUAAGAAAUUGUGAAAAAAAAUAAAAUGUUUAUACAAGAAAAAAGACUUGUUCGUUUUGUUUUUCACAAAACAAGUGGAUAGAAGACUUGAGUAUAUAAUUUUAAGAGAAGAAUUACAUGUCAAUUACUGCUAAACAACACUCACUUUUAUAAUAAAUAAAAAAAAAAAAAACUUUGUUUUGUUAUCUUUGAACUGGACACAGUUUUGAAAAGAAGAAUGUUGUAAUCUAGCAAACUCUAACUAAACUUAACAAGGUUCUUUCACAUGUGUGAUCAAUAACCUGUACUUCUAUGUGUUAAAUAAAUUGUAUUAUGUGUUUGUGUUUGCAGUAAUAUAUAUUACAUAAAUGACAAAUUAGACAAGAGGACAUGGACUUACAUAUUUGGGGCUUGUUGUGCCACUACUGUCUUCAUACCCUCUUUUCACAACUACAGAAUUUGGUCAUUUCUAGGCCUGGGAAUGACCACUUACACUGCCUGGUAUUUGACUGUUGCUGCUCUCGCUCACGGUCAGGUAAUUUUAAUAACUCGAAUUUCCAUUUGAAACGACUACUACAAUGUGACCCCUAUAAACCACACAAGAAGUUAGAACUUGAAUCUAAUGAUUUAUUAGAACAUGUUAAUUUAAUUUCGAGUUCAAACAUUUAUUUGGGUAUUAAGAUAAAAUCACAUCCCGCUAAAGAAACAAAUGUCUUAUUUAGGUUUUUUUUUUUAGUUUAACUUUGUGUGUUUCUGUGUAAUAAGUCCUUUCAAAUUCAUUUUUAGGACUAUAGCUAAUAUGUAUUUGACAUUUUGUAGUUGUUUUUUUAACAAAAAAAAAAACUUAUACACAUUACAAAAUUAAAAGUUUAUGGUCUCUUGAAAGAAAAAGAUCUAUAGUAUACCCUAAAAUUAAAAGUUUAUAUAUGAAUAUAUCAUAUAUAUUUUUAAAGUUGACGAAAGUUGUUAUUAAAUAUUUCUUAAAAUUCAUGAAUCUUAUAAAUACAAUCUUGAAAGUUCAUCAACUAAAUCUCUAAUCUAAGAUUGAUGGAUAAUUAUUUUAUUCAUAUUUGUAGACCUAAGUUUGAAUGACUUUCUUCUAGGUCGAGGGUGUGAAGCAUUCAGCCCCAACCGAGUUGGUUCUAUAUUUCACCGGUGCCACGAAUAUUCUUUACACAUUCGGUGGUCAUGCCGUCACCGUGUAAGUCUCAUUAGUGGUCAUCGUCACUGUCAUCUUUUAAUUUCAGUUGAGUAAUUUGAUUUUAUAAUUGUGUUUGUAGGGAAAUUAUGCAUGCAAUGUGGAAGCCUCAAAAGUUUAAGUACAUAUAUCUUGUGGCAACUCUAUAUGUAUUUACACUGACCCUCCCGUCGGCGGCCGCAGUGUAUUGGGCUUUUGGCGACCAACUUCUCACCCAUUCCAACGCCUUCUCUCUCCUCCCCCGCUCCCGGUGGCGCGACGCCGGCGUCAUUCUCAUGCUUAUUCACCAGGUAAUAUUAUUUUAUUUCCGUAAUCAACUUCAAUUUUUAUUCUUUCAUUUAUGUUCUAUUUUUAAUCUAAUUAUUUCAUUAAAUUCAAAUAUAGACAAAAUAUUACCAAAAAAAAUGAAAUGAUUCAAUUCUUAAAAAUUUUCAUUUCAUCUACUUAAAGAAAUUUAGUUUUAGAGAAGUUUAAGUACAAUCUCUAUAAUUUAGGGCAGGUUUUAAUUACAUUCUUAAUUACCCUUGAAUUUGUUUAUUUUAUUAUUAUUUUCUAAUCUUUGAACUUGGACAUUUGUUCCAAGAAAAUACCUUUAUUUGGAGAAUUUUUUUCCUUUAAAAUAAGAUGCAAUUUAAUGUGACGGUUAUAAUAUGUAAAAUUGGAAGGUAUUCUGUAAUCAAUUGCACGACAUUCAUAACGUAAAUUAUCAUGUAAACUGACAUGAUAAUUAAUGUGUAAAAAAGUUAGGUAAAUAAUUAUAUUUUAAUGAUAUCAUUUGGUAACUUGAUGUCAAUUUCUUUCUUUGGUAACAACACUAAUAAUCGUUUUUAACAGUAGAUAAUCCGUUAGAUUGUUAUCUUGGUUAUCGUCAAAGUUUAUUCAAUUUUGGUUUUUUUUCUUUUAAUAAAUCUUAAAUUUAAAUUUAUAAUUUGAAGAUAUGUAUAACAAAAUUGAUUAAAUAAUAAUAAUAAUAAUAAACAAAUAAAUACAGAUAAUUUGUAUCAAAAUUUAGCGUGAAAAUACUAAUACAAGUUCAAAACAAAUAAACCAAAAUAAUAUUUCAACCUCAAAAUAUCACGUUCACUUUUUUAAUUUUCACACAUUAAUUGUUACAUCAAUCUUCAACUUUUAUUUUAAGAGAAAAAAUACAACUGGGACGAAUUGUAAAAUUCAAAUAAAGAAUAAAGAAAAUGAAUAUUUUCAGAAAUUUAAGGACAACCAAUUAGAGUACUUUGUAUUAUCAUAACUCAAUGAUUUAGAUAAAAUUAAGAAAGUAUAUCUCAAAAUUCAUAUACAAUUAUAAGAAACGACCUUAAUAAUCUUUGUUUUUCCUUCUCAUAAAUCUCAUCUAAACCUAAAUUUAUCAUGUUUUUGCAUGGGCAGUUCAUAACGUUUGGUUUUGCUUGUACACCACUCUACUUUGUGUGGGAGAAAGUAAUAGGAAUGCACGAGACUAAGAGCUUGUUUUUAAGGGCAAUAGUGAGGCUUCCGGUUGUUAUUCCCAUUUGGUUUUUAGCCAUUAUUUUCCCUUUCUUUGGCCCUAUCAACUCAGCUGUUGGUGCCCUUCUUGUUAGCUUCACUGUUUAUAUCAUCCCUUCCCUAGCUCAUAUGCUCACUUAUCGAUCUUCCUCCGCCCGACACAACGCGUCUGAAAAACCUCCUGUCAUCGUUGCCCGUAGCUGGACCGUCAUGUACGUCAUCAACACAUUCAUAGUCGUUUGGGUUUUGGUAGUUGGUUUCGGCUUUGGUGGUUGGGCUAGCAUGACUAAUUUCAUCAAACAAGUUGACACAUUCGGACUAUUUGCCAAGUGCUACCAAUGCCCUUCUAAGACGCCACCAGUGCCCACCGCGGCAGCUCAUCGUUGAUGAUGAGAUGUUUGAUGCUUUUUCUUUGUUAGAAUCCUUUGUUAUAUGUUAUAUUAUGUUGGUUUCAUCAAUAUAAACAAGGUCUAUAUUGUAGGGUUAUGUAUUCAUAUAUAACAUACACAUAUAUAUACAUAUUUGUAACAUAUGGUUGAAAUUUUCUAUCUUUCGGUUUAUGUUGUGAUCAUUGUGUGUAUUGUUAGAAGAAUAAUGAAUCUAACAAUUUACCAUAGUUAUUCAAGAAAAAAAAAACGUACUUUUAUCAUGUUUAGGUUUGCCUGUAGUCAACGUUAUUAACCCUAACUACCAAUAAAAAUUAAGUUCUACACCAAGUUUAGGAUUCAAAAUAGGGCCCAACCGGGUUCGAACCGGUGACCUCUUGAUCUGCAGUCAAAUGCUCUACCACUGAGCUAUAGACCCAAUUUUGAGAAAAGAGUUCAAUAUUUCAAAUUUAAACAUAUAAUAUUUAAACUUACGCUAAAUUUUUAGAAUCUAUGGAAACAAGUCUUCUAAAAUGAUUUUAUAGACUUAUUUUAUAUAUUGUGUUAGAUAUGUAAAUAUAAUCUACAACUUUAUUUGUAAUUUGUAAUUUUUCGUUUUGAGAAUUAAGGGUGUUGUAUAAUUUAUAAUGACAAUAUUAAUUUUGUAUUGUAAUUUUUAAGAUCUGUUUUGAAAUAAUUAGAAACAAAACAAACUAAUUUUAGUAUACCAAAUUGCUCAAAGCCAUUUUAAUUCGAAUGAUUUGAAACCAUAAUUAUAAAUGGUUGCACUUGUUUGAAGUCUAUUACUUUUUAGAUGUAAGGUUUCAACUAUUUUAACAUUAUUUUUUUAAAUAAACCCUACUUGAUUAGAUUAGAAUACUAUAAAAAUGGAAAUUCUUCUAAAGAAGGUCUAUGACGAUAUAUGAUAAAUAUACAAAGCUGAUAAACACUUCAUAAAGUUGAAGGCUUGAUACAAGAGUAAUUUGUGUUAUCCAUAUCUUUCAACAAUAAUGAAGCUAAUUCACCUCAACACAACAGGAACUCUGGUGUUGUUAUCCUUGUGCAAUAAAUACGUCAAUUUAGCGAGUUCAGAUCUAAGUUCACUUAUCUCUUGUAAUGAUGUAUGGAGGACAUGGAGACUCGGUCUCUAAUCUCGAAUUGUUGGCCAUUAGCACCCAUUGGUGGAAAUCAACUAUAACGACCCGAAUUUUUCAAAACCAAGUUGGGGUUAUUACUGAUCUAAUUAUCUUAACUUUGUAAAAACAAUAGCGGAAGCAUAAACCAAGUAGUUCCCUAUAGCUAGUCACAAGUCCUUCUUGUUGCUUGCCAGCUUGCCUUUUCUCUUACCUUGGCCUGCAAAAUUAAACAUGGAAAGGGAAGUACCCUCAAUCGUAACAAUCUUCUGAUCUCAAAGGAAUACACAUGGUCUACUGAUCCCGUAGGAAAACUCUUUAGUCUGAUGAUUCCAUGGGAGCGUACGUCAACCUAGUCAGUCUAAUGAUCCUGUCAGACCAUACAUGAAUUAUGACAAACUAGAGGUUCCAGCCUCGAACGCACACAAUCAUAAUAGUGAAUGGUGGUGAUCCCGAGGGACACCGUACAUGUAGGUACACAUUAUAAUAGCCAAAGCUAACAGACACCAAUAGUCUAAAAGCAUGUAACAAUCAAAAUAAGCAUGAAAUGAAACAUCAGUCAUAACAAUCCAUAAGCAUAUAAUUCAAACAUGCAUAAACGUCACAUAAGAUCAGACACUCGUACGUACUAAACUAUGCAAUUUAGUUACCGUUAGUGCAUAAUCAAUCAACACAUGCAAACUCUUAAUUACAUUUUCAUUUGAAGGUCGAGUAGUCUCUUACCUUAAAAUAGAAUUGGACUCCUUUGCAAAAUUCCUUGAUGCAAAUUAAAGCACAAAUUAACCUAAACAUAAGGAAAACAAUUAAUAAUUUUACUAAAUAAAAUUGUAAAUUAUGCCCGGACAAUAAUCUAUGAUAGACAUGCAAACAUCAUCGUACUUUUCACAAUAAUCAUUUCAAAUCAUUGCCUUUUACACAUUCCACAAUAGCCUUCAACCAAACCAAUGACUAACCCUUCAUAAAUUAUCAGUAAAACUAAGCUAAUAGUUAUCCGCCACAAUUAUUACAAUAACCCAUAGACUAUGCAAAUAACUCCCCCAUAACGGUUAUCACAGUAACCCAUAAGCUAAGCAAAUAAUUAAUUAGUAAUAGACUUGCAGUAAACCGUCACAAUCUAAUUCAUAACAUAAAUCCAUAAUAUAGGCAUGUAAACAAUCGUCACUUCACAACAAUUAAAGGCAAUUCCCAUAGUAAGCAUAUACAAAUAAUUAUCCUUUACACCUUAGCCUAAUCCAAUGGCUACUCUUCACAAGUUAAAAGUAACCUUAGGCUAUACAAAUAAUUCACCAUCACAAACAAAUCACUAAGCUAUGCAUAUAGUCAUAUAACCAUUAUCACACACAGUAAUCCAACCCUCAAUCAGGGAUCCAAAAAUAUAGUAGAACCAUACCUUAGGUUAUCCUAAAGUUUCUUGCUGCAAACGAAACCACAAUUCCACCCAUGCAUAACAAAAAUUAAUUUAACAAUUUUUGUCAAUAAAUUACUAAUUUAAUUAUAAAAGCUUACCAAAGUUACCCAAAUAAAAAUUGAAAAUUAAUUUUCAAACUUGGAGGAAAAAUUUACCACUUAAAUCCUCAAUCUUUGUUAAACAUACUUCCAAAGGUAACCAAAAUCAAUUUCAAUAAUAAACUUUGAGAAAACAAACACUUAGUUAUAACUGAAUAUAAUGUUGUAACUUGAGUUAAUAACUAGAGAUACAACUAGGAGAACAUGUAAAGCAGUAAAUCAUAAACACAUAUAACUUUGGUAACCCAGUUCGAUGAUAAUGCACCUACAUCUGAGGAGUUUUAGACCUAGAUAAGAGAAUAUAUUGCUCAUCAUAUAAUUGAUCAUUAUAACGUUACGACUCAAAGAACAACACGUUACUCAUACCUACUGUGCUGAUUAUUGACUAACUUAAUAAUCUGAACCAUGUAAAACAUAAGAAGCAUGUAUCAUAACAUUAUGGAAAUGACAGCUCCUUAAUCAAUACACAUGAGCAUUCUUAGCAUCAACAUCUUUGAUAGCUAUAUCAGAACUCUUGUGCUUCAGGUACAAUAUUAGUUACUUCGAGAAGUUCUCCAAAAACCUCUUACCGUAUUCACCAAUAUAUUCAUCUAAGGCCCAAAAGCAGAACGAUCACCUCUCUUCUACUUUUUUGUUCCACCCAAUACAAAUUAAGAUUUUCAACAAUAUUUUAUUAAAAGAUAUCCAAACAACCCAACAAUAUAGAAGUAUCAUAAGAACCACAAAUAACUGUAAAUAAUUAAUCUCCUCAAUAAAGGUAUAAUGGGACCAUUUUUGUAACAAAACUUAAUUUAGGGUCUCAAUUAACCUUUAAUGGGUAUUAAAAUCUCACAAUAAAAAAAUCUAAAACACUCACCUAAACUUACCAAACCAAGAUUUGUGAGCCGCAACGACGGCAACAGAUGAUAGUGACAAACCAAAGCGUGGACGGCUGUGGCCAUACGGGGUUGCACAGUAAAAGGGUGGUGGCUAGGAUUUCAUAGGGAAGAAGAGUGAAUAUCUUUUUUUUCUUAAAUGGGCAAAACCUUAGACAUUUAUAAUCAUUAAUGAUAAUAACAAUAAUAAUAUAUUCUUUGUUAUUAAUGUAAUUAUAAUUGGUGACAAUUUUAUGAAUAAUAAUUAAGUAUAUAGCAACAUUUAAAAAAAUUACAAAUCUUCUAUCGCUGAUAAACUCUUAUGAUCUAUGAGUAUAAACCAAUAUUUGCAACAUAGUCUAUAAGUGAUAGACUUUGACAGAUUUUGCUAUAUCUAUAAAAAAAUUUAAACGUUGAUAUAUACUUAAUUAUUUUGAAUCUAAUUGUUAUACUUGUAACUAUCUAUUAUUAUUAUUAUUCUUUUGCCAACUAUACAGUAAACAUAUAUAUUUAUUUAAACUCUUCUUCACUCUUCUAAUUAAAUUAAUUUUUUCCAUCCAAUCAAAUCAACCAUCUCUCUCCUCAUUAACUCAUCGUUAUUUUUCCAACAAUUAUAAUUAUAUUCCAUCAUAUAAUUAACUUCACUUUUUCAUAUUAGUUAUUUAUACAAAACCAAAUAAAUCAAUGUCAUAUUUCACGACAAAAUCUAAAUUCUUAAUCAUAUAUUCAUACACAUAUAUAUACUUAAUUAAUUCUAAUUCCACAAAAACUAACUUUUCUUUUCGGAUCUCAAAUCAACUCAAAUCUUCAAUUCUUUUAAUUAACCAAAUCUUUUCAACUGCUUCCUUUGAAUGUUCUUCCUAUUAUGUACCUUGUACACAUAUCUCUUCCUGACAAGUUUUUCACUCUCUAGAUUCCGUCGUUUGUCUCCAGUUUUCCCAUUCAAGCUCUGCAACAUACAACAAAAAAAUUUGAUCCUAAGAGGAUCGGGCUAUGCAAAGAAAGAAAAAGAAAAUAAAGAAUGAUAAUAGACGACUGAAGACUCUUUAAAAGAGAAAUUACAACCCAUCCCAACAACAACGAAAAUACGAUUGAAUGGAUUUCGUCACCCAAAUUCGGACCCAAUAAUUUACCAAAUUACACGUGAAGAACUAGUUUUAGUGGUAAAGUCCGAGUCAAACACAAGAAGCACAUAUAAUUUCUCAAGUAAAUAGUUUCCAACCCAAGGGUAACAUAUGAGGGGUUUUGAAAUUAGUUUCGAUUACGAAGGAGAUGAAUUAAGGGUGUCAGUCGAUGUGAGAAAGCUUAGCUUGAGUUAUGUAGGUCACCCUAAUCGAUCUGAUCAUUGAAUUCUCAUUAUCAAAUCUAACAAUUGGUACUCCUAACUAGUUUUAUUAGAAAAGAUAAACAAAUUGUCCUAGGCAACAAAUUAGUUCGAGUUAAAUAAAUGAAAAGCAUACAAAAUUCAAUAUAUUCACACUAAUUGCAUUAGGUUGAAAACCUAAUUUUCAUGUGUCUAAUUAGACCAUCCUCAAGUAUAAUCGUAAGUCAAUUAAAAAAUAAUACAAGAUUGAAUGGAUUUCAUGAGCUAACCUAACUUAUCACAUUUUAAAUUAAAUUACGUUCAAUUCAAUUUAACGAAGCAAAUUGCACACAAUAAAAAACACUCAUCACAAAGUCCACAUGCAUUUGACAAUAUGAAAAUAAUCGUUGAAAUAGAAUUGGAAUGAUGAAUACAUCAAAUUCAAUUCAAAUCUCACAUAUCCAAUGAAUUCGAGGGAGAUUACUAAAAAUUGAUCAUGCUAAGAGAAAGUACCCUAGCCCAUUCUCAACAUUCCCAGCAAUGGAAAAAUGUUCAAGUACAUAAUAUAUAGACCAAAAUAGAGAGAAAUCGAGGUUAGAGCUGAGAUAAUCUAACCUAAGUGGUGGACGAAUUAUUUAUAAAAUCGUAACGACGCUGAAACACUGUCUAACGGACAGCACACAUUUCUACUUCUUAACAUCGCGGUUCUACAUUGCUUUUCAUGAAUAGUACGGCUAUUGCCUUACAGUGCCACACAUAACAUAGUAGGGUAUUGCGACGCUGCAAGACAGAGGCUAAUCUUAGCCUUUUCUUUGCAGUUUGAUUCGGUUAAUGCCUAUUUACUUCGAUUUUGUCAAAUUUAGCUCUUUAUCAACAUCAACAACGAAUUUUACCCUUACUUAGCUAUUAAAACCUACAAAAUAGUCAAAUAGAAACAUAAAAUCAUAUAACGAUUUCAAAUUAAGCAGGACUAGUUAAUACAUUUUCAAUGCUAUCAACUAUAGAUUUGAAAGGCUUGAAAGAUUCCCUCAUAUGUUUAUAUGGACUCUAUUGUAGAGAAAAUUCUAACAUAUCAUGUCACUCAAUUAUAUUAAUAACUACGAAUUAUAUUAAUAACUACGAGGUAUGCCGUUCAAAUCCCUUUACUAAAUAAACCUUUACAAUAUUGUUUUCUUCGACAACAUCAUUUAUUUUAAGAGAUACAAUAAUUAUUGUUCAAUUCUCAUCCCAACAUGAAACAUCAAGAAUUUUUAGGUGGGAGAAACAAAGUACAAGUAUCAACAUCGUUAGAGUUCAAGUUCAAACUAGAAAAUUUUUAGGGUUUUACAGAAUUUACAGUUGAGUGAAUACAGAAAUCAAACAUCAUCUCCUUCACUUCCACCAGUAUCUGCUUCAUGACUGACCCAGUGACUGCUUUCAUCAGGUCCCAAAACCUUGAACCUGUUCAAACAAUGUAACUUUUUUCAACUUACCUUUUAAGAAUGAUUUGUUUGGUGAGAAUCUAUAAUUUUCAUUUCAUGGGCAUUUUGGAUUUCCACGUUUGUUCUGCAGUAAUUCAAGAUGUCGUAUAAUCUAGGGAUAUCCUUUUCAAGGCAUCUCAAGGGUUUUAAAUGCUGAGAUUUUUCAUAUGUUGAGGGUAUCUGCAUUUUACUUUUAUUUUUCCGUUUGUCGAUUGAGUACUUACCUUUCAAGUACAGAUUUUCCUUCCUUGUAUUUUUGGUUCUUUUCAUGGGCAGUCUCCUGAAAGAAACCAUAAGAAUAGUUGAGAAGUAAGAAAGAAAAUAAAUAGUUGAUAUUUCAAAUCUUUGCUUCUAAUCUUACAUAUUUCCAUCCCACCAUUGAUCCACAGCCCACACAGAAGAUAUCAGCAACUGUAUGCAUCCCUGUCAUCAUCAAUCUUUCUUCUAUCUUACCUAAGCAAACAUUUACCCUGGAGAAAGUUUUGACAAUGAGAACCCAGUCUAUGAGAUGAGGCACUUUUAGAAUUAGUUUUAGAGAAACUCUAGCUUAUUCUACCGUUAUCAGAAAGUAACAACGAUUUAGAAUGAGAAACACUUCGAAAGUGAAAAUACAAACAGGUAUGCGUGUAAAUCACUAUUUGAAUGAAUAAAGAGAUUCAUUUGUUGACAUAGUUUUUGUAACUAGAUUGUGGAGCAUUGGAUUAUUUGAGAAUGAAUUUUCAGUAAAAUCACUCUCCUAUGUAUUCUCACAAAUCCCACGAGUUCUGUUAUGAAACAUUAACAUCAAAUUACUGAUCAUUAUAUGCCAAGUUUUUGUAUCUAUUAAAGAAGACCCUUGCUAACUUGAAGCUACAAAGAUGAGAACACAAAGUUAUGAGUUUGUUAACCCCUUACAAAAUUCUGAUCAAUCCAAUCCACACAUAAGAAGCCUAUAACUUUUUUAAAAAAAUCAUACAUCGACUUUAACAUAAUAUGAAACCGACAACCAUAACAUGGGUUACACAAGUCUUUAAUAACCUACUUAUUCAUACAAUCCAAACACAAAUUGCACAAACGACCCAGGCUUAUAAAAACCAUUUGUCAAACAUGCACCUAGGGGAGGAGACAAGAGUGUGUUAAUCAAUGUCCAAACUCUAAAAUCAAGAAGAACUUACACCUUAUUGAAGAGGUAAGCUUUCCCAUGUCUGCUGUGGAAGGACUGAAUGGAACAACACAAACAGUACAAGGAGUUACAAUGUGGGUUUAAGCAACUUUUGAGGAUAUUGGGACAGGACAGCAACAUAAAAUUUUCCCAGUCAAAAAACUUAUCAUACCUCCUUUUGUUCCCAAGUUCCUAAAUUACAAAGUUCAGCAGUAAACACAAUUUAAGAUAGAAUGCCAGCAAAAUUGGAGCCAACAAUAUAGAAAUUUGGAAACAUGCAACAUAAAAAAAACAACUCUUCAAUCGCAAAUGUUCUCAACGAAGAGAUCAAAGUUCAAAUAGAAUUUUAUAUAAAUGAAUCAAUUCGAGCGGUGUUAAUACAAAAUGAUAUAAUCGUAAAAGAGAGAAUGAAAACUAACCUUCUAAUUACACCAUAGUGCACUCUAGCACCGCCUAAAAUGCAUUAUUGCGUCCCUAACGAGAUUUUGAUUAUUAGAUUUUCAUUUUUAAUCACUAGUUGACUGGCUCUCAAUUUAAAUUUUUUUAAAAAGGUGAUUAAAAUGAAUAUCUGGUCUGGAACUUCAUAAUUUUAUGAUGAAAGGGGUAUCCCAAUACGAUAGUGGUUUGUGACAUCACCGACAUGCUGUGUUUUAUUUAUUUUUUAGGAUUGGAUCGUUCCUAAUUAAUACCGGUACGCAACCCCAAGUUCAAAUUAUUAACAAGUAACAGAAACUUGAAUUUAAAUAAACCUACUAAUACUAUCUACGAACAUGGGAGAACUAGAGGGAAAAAUCGACAAGAAACCAGAGAAGAAAACAGGUAAAAGGAAGAGAAACCUUAGAAAUGAUAUCGUCGUAAAGAGCAAGAUGGGUCCGGCAGAACUUGCAGCUAUAGAUCUGCCCUUCCAAAUUCACCACGAAUAAUCUUCCCAUAGCUUUGAAUCUUAAGCUUCCCACAAAUAAUCUGCAAAAAAAUAAAAACAAAACCCAUAAUGAGGAAUCGACAAAAUAUUAGACAGAAGGGUCAAGCAGAGAACCGAGAAUUAUCAUCAUCAGAGCCCUGAAGAAGAAGAAGAAGAAGGAGAAGAAAGAAUCUGGGGGUGUUCUAAAAUGGGAAAUGGAAAUCACGUUUUGCAAAGAAGCCCACUUCUCAAGUUGAUUCGAAUGUAAAGCCCCUUUGUUGUGAAUUGAGAAAGGUUGCGAAAUCAAAUUAGAAAGAAAAGAAAAAAGGUUUGGGGAUGAAGAUGAUGAAGGAGUUAUGUCAAAAUCAGAAUGGUUCGCUAUAUUAUUCAUGAAACUUCGUUGUCCUGUCUAUGAACAUUGGAUGAUCUUUUUAAGUGAGAUGCGCGUGUGCCAACAAAAUGGUGUUCUACAUACACGGAGAAUUUCAUCAGCCUUCAAGGGAGGGGACACGAGAUAAGAAUUUUUGUAGGAAUGACCUAUAAUUUUUUUUUAAUUUGAAAUGUGUCACCUUUUAUAAAAACAAUAUUUAAUAUUGUCACCUUUUUAGGAUUAUUUUUCUACCUUACUCUUCUCAUUUUCUUUGGCUUCUAGCUCUUGUGUUUUUGUUUUUACUCACUUUCUUGCUUCUGUCUUCUCCACUCGACAUUUGAAAAAACCUUGUUUGUUGUUAAUUGCUAUUGCAUGUUAUGGAGGAUAAAGGAAAAAUUCCACUUAAGUUGUCACUUAACGUGAAAUACAUGAAAGUGAGUGUCAUCGUUGCUAGAGAAGAAACUGAGAGGAGAGGAGAGGAAAAUGAAGGAAGAGAUGAGGGAAGAGAUAUUUUUAUUGAGAGAAAUAGAAGGAGGGUUUAAAUUUGAUUUUUUUUUUAUAAAAAAAUUGACUUUGAUUUUGGACAGUUUUACACAUUUUGUAUUUAUUUAUAUCCAAUUUUAAUAAAUACUUUUUUUUAUUAUUAUUUACAAAGCUCUUUUAGUGAUGGAGAGAAAAUUGAUUUAUUUGUGGUUGAGAAUAAGCAUUUGUGAUUAGUGUAAAAACUAGACAAAGUAGACUUUUGUUUGUUUGUUUUGUAAAAAAGAGAUUUUUCAAGAAAUGAAUGUAAUUAGGCCUCCCUUUUUUUCUUAACAUCCAAACAAUAAAGUAACUUUUUUUUUCUUAGAAUUCAAACAGGAUUAUAAAUUUAAAAUAUUUUAAGUUUUUCAAACAUGUUGAAAUUUAAAAUAAUUGAUUUGAAAAUCUAAAUGUCGAAGAAAGCAUAAAAGAAUAACACUGUAUUUAAGAAAAAUGAUCCAAUCCGAUCACUACAAAUUAAAUAUCAUAUUUUGGAAUAUAUAUAUUCUUUUUAACUCUAUAGAUGACUGAUUUUGGAAUAAUAUAAUGUCAAUGAGAACAUAUAUUCUUUAAAUAAAGGUGAAAGCAAAAGAAAGGACCAUAUAAAAGGCAAAACACCAAAGAAAAAAAACACAAUACACAAACUUCACAAAUAUAAAUGUAAAUAAUGUGAUGAUACAGUGCUAAUUCUUUGUGAUUGGGUUAAGUGUAUGGGUUGCAAAAAUAACACAAUACCAAGUUUUGCUCUCAUAGAAAAGGCAAUUCAAAUGUUCAACGUAUCAGUUGAGUUUAAAUAUACCAAUUAUUAUACUUUUAUCCCAAAAAAAAUAUAAAAAUGAAAUGUUCAACCAUAUCUUAAUUUGCUCAAAGUUUAAAUAUAUAAAUUACUUUUUAGAGUGCAUGUUAAAUUAUUAUAGUUUAUGGAUAAUAAUAAAUUAUUAUAGUUUGUAUCUCGGAUCCAUAUUAUUAUAGUUCAAAUUAUAGUCGUUUCUAAAAUAAAUAUUAGUUAUCUUGGACAUGCUUUUUAUUUUUUUGCUCUAUUAUUUUUUGUAAUACAUAUAUUUAGGUACAUGGAAUACUAUUUUCAGAAAACAAGGUUCAAACUAUUCCUUCCACCUAUUUAUACAAUCUAGCAUAAACCAAGAUUCAAGCUAGGGCUCUCCUCCAAUCUCACGUAUCCUCCCCACCUACUGAUUUAGAACAUAUUCAUGUUGCUGCCUUACUUAGACCAUGUCAAAUAGCCAAUUCCUUUGUUCCACCUUGCUUCAUGGAGUUUUAACUGCCCAUAUUUGCCUAUACCCUGCAAACAUUGGUUACAUCCCUAUCUAGUCCUAGCUCCAACAUGUACACCACUGAACGACCAACCUUGAUUUAUCUCACCCUAAACCUUGAUUUUUCGUUCGCUGUCUACUGUGGAUGCCAGCAGAUUUGUGUCCAAAUCUCAACAACAUUUCAAUCCCACAUUGUGUAUACUCAGAUUGAAUUCAUUGUAGGUAUCUUCUUAGUGCAUCCACCACUUACAUGUCGCAUUGUUUGUGGUUUAACCUUUCAAAUCUACCUUUAAAUAACUAUUUAUUUUUUCAUAUAUGUCAUUUGUGAGACUUUGUUCUGCUUUCAAAUGUCAGUCAUAAGCCUUUGUUUUGUUUUAAAACCACAUUUGUGGGUCUCAAUUUCGAGCGUAGAAGUUCUUCAUGUUCUUGGUUUUUUGUAAUUAGUUGUUCCAAGCCUAGACUUGUCAUGAUUUGAUUCAAAAGUGUUAUUCAGUUUUUGUAAUCUACCAACUUGAGUUUCACCUAGUCAUUUUACUCGGCCACUUCACAAACUUAAGUAGGUGGUUACUUUACCACCUUAAAUUUGAGGGAGGGAGUGUUAAGAUAUGAUUUAUAUGUCUUGUCGCGACGGAUCGCCACGCGGAGCGGCCGAUCUUCUCGUUUAUUUAAUUUCAAUAAAUAAAUAAUUUUAAAGUCGUCACCAACCAUAUUAUGUUGUGAUUGGUCACCUAAAGAAAAAAAAAAAGAUUUAAAUUUGAGAGUAAGUUGUGUAUAGGGAAAGUGUUAACACCCUACCACACUCAUAAAAUGGUUAUCCAAUUUUAUCUUUUAAACUAAAUAAAAGGUUUACAAAACAAUACUUUUCUCCUAUUUAAAUUGGAAAAUAAAUAAUAAUUAUAGGAACAAAACAUUGUGAAAUUUGAGAAAUACUUUAAAAUAAAUAAGGUAAUACGAUUAGAUAAAAUAAAUAGAGAGAUAAUAUAAGCAAACAAAUAAAUAAAGGCAAAAUAGAGCGGGAUGCAAAAAUAUGCAAAAUACCAAGAUGAAAAAUAAUUAAUUAAUCCAGUCCAGGUAAUUAACGCAGGAUGUCAGGCUAAUUAAUUAAUGCAGAAUGCAAAUGCAGUAUGCCAAAUGAAUAAUUAUUAAGACAUGAUGUCAAAUGUGUGCUAAAUAAUUAAUGAUGUCAAAUGGGUGCUAAAUAAUUAAUGAUGUCAUGAUGCUAAUUAAUUAAUCCAGAAUGCAAAUAAUUCGAAUGAAUAAUUAACACAGGUCAAAUGAGUGCUAAAUAAUUACAUUAUGCUAAUUAAUUAAUGCAAAGUAUUAGCACAUGAGGCCAAAUAGAUACAAAUAAUUAACGAUGCCAUGAUGCUAAUGAAAUAAUGCAAUAUGCAAAUAAUUGGAAUUAAUAAUUAACACUGGAGAACAAAUGGGCGCCAAAUAAUUACACGAUGCUAAUUAAGUAAUAGGUCAAAUAAGUGUCAAAUAAUUAACGCAAAAUGCAUAUGCUAAUUAAUUAAUGCAUAUAUAAAUAAUUCAAUUAACACAGACAAAUUAAUAAUUAACACAGGAAAAUUAAUAAUUAUUAACCCACUAGUUCAAAUGAGUGUCAAAUAAUUAAGGCACAAUGUCAUGCUAAUUAAUUAAUGCAAGAUGUAAAUAAUUCAAUUAACACACGCAAAUGAAUAAUUAUUAACACAGGCAAAUGAGAGCAAAUAGGUGUCAAAUACUUAAUGCAUGAGGUUAAUUAAUUAAUGUUGUAUGCAAAUAAUUCAAAUAGACAAUUAACACAAAUGUCAAAUGAGUGCCAAAUAAUUUAUGAACCAUGAAUUAAAAAAAAACACAAUAAAUUUCACGUCUCCGUAAUUAAAUUGACCUAAAUUUAAAAGAAAAUCUUACAUAUCAAAUAGACUUGACUUAAAUUCAAUAAAAUUGAAAUCACCAUUGAUUCGGAGAAAAGGCUUCUUUCUCGAUCCUCUUAAAUUUUUCCAAACCACAAGCAGAUGAGAAGAUUUUUUUUUACAGUAAAAGUGUACUUUUUCUCUAAAAAUCUCCACGCUCAUAUUCAAUUCUCCCUUCUCCAAGCAAAUGCAUGUUAACUAAUCAUUAUGUUUUAACUAAUCAAAAUUUUAUUCAAAUGAUCUGUAUCCCCUACCUCAAAAGAAAGUUAACUAAUAAAACUAUAACCAUUAAAAUAAAUUUUAGUUCACCAGAGUUUUGCUAUAACAACAUUCUAAAAUGAUUUCCUCAUAUGUACAUUCAAUAAUCAAGUUUUACUCAAAAGUGCAAUGAAUCAAAUAAAUUCAUAGGACACCAAUUAAUUAAAACUUCGAUCAUUUAACACCAUGUGAAAUUAAAGCAUGUUUGCAUGGUUGACAAUAAAGCAAUGCCAAACACAUAUGCAUUGGAAAAAAAAAAAGUAAUACCUGAAAAAAUAGUAAACAUAGAUCAAUUCAAUGCAUUAACUUUCAUAAUUUAAUUUGAUGACAUAUUAUAUUGUUCAAAGCUUGCAUACCUUUAAAUAUUGAGAGCAAAUUUAUUUUGAACAUAGAAAAAGAGUUCAUACAUUUCUAGAAGCAAAUAUUUUACUCAAUCAAAAAAAUGAUGUGAAUGACAUAUUUUGAAUCUGAAAACUUAUGACAUAUUUUGAAUCUGAAAACUUCAUUAACCAAAUUAUGGACAUUUCAUCAAACAAUUGGUGGGCAACACAAAACAAUAUUCAUUUACUUGGUGGCAGCUAGAAAACUAGAAAAAUUAAGUAAUAAAGAAAAAAAUUUGUGAAGAAUAUAUCUUAAAUGCAAUGUUGAGAAUUGAAUUUCAAGUUUAAUUGAAAAAAUCAGCAGGAGCAAGAACUCAAUUUUCUUAAAUUUCGACCAUGGGAUUUUGUGUCCAGAAACUACUUUGCAAUUUUAGCAAAUAGCCUAAAGCUUUACUCCAAAGAUAUAUAGAGCUUUACUCAAAUACCAUAAAACUAUCUUUUAUGGGAUGAAUUGCUCAAAGAAAAGUACAGAGAGUAAAGAUUAGAUUCAUAAAUACCUGAGAGACCGCCACUGACGAUGAAGGUAGGAGAUGAUCGGCGGUCUGGAGAGUGAGAGGGCAGUGAUUGAGAGAGGGCACGAUGAUGACAAACGAAGGAGGGUUUUGCUAUGAGUGAGAUGGUUGUGAAGAAAAUUAUAGAACGUUGCGAAGAAGCAUCAGACGAAGAAGCCUUCACUGUGGACAAAACUCUGCAAUAACCUUGAGCUAUCACCGAGCGGAGAAGCUUGGUGGAGGAGGGGAAUCAAUGACCCGUGUGAGACCACUGUAGGGACUUGACGACAUGCAGUGGAGAAGGGAAAUCAUGCGAUUGGAAGAGGAAGAAAAAGAAAGAAGGAUUUACUUCGUGAAAUUGGGGGAACUUGAAAACAAAUUUGAAGUUCCCCUCUUUUCUUUCGUUGUUUUCUUUUAAUUUAAAAUAAAUAUUUUAUUAUUAUUAUUUAUAUUUCAUGACACUUAAAAGUUGUCAAAGAUUUAUGACACAAAAAAAUUGUCAUAAAUUUUUCAAAUUCGAAAAUGUUCCGUCUUUUUCCACCAAAAACGCGGAUUUUGGCAUUUAUGACAAUUUUUUCUUUCUUCAUUCCAAUUUGAGAUGUAUUCAAAUGUCAUAAUAUGCGACUUUUGUUGUAGUGAUGUCCUCUCUUGAAAAAAAUCUCCUCCUUCUCUUUUUAUAGGGCAAGGUUGAUCAUUUUAUUUUUAGAUCUGUAAGUGAAGUAGAGUGAAAACUAGCGGAGAGAAAAUGUGAGAAAGUGGGAGAGUAGGAGCGUGGUGACGAGGAAAACAAAAAAGUGAGGAUUGUUGAAAAAAAUAGGGAGAAAAAAAACUUUUUUAUUUUUAUUUUUUAAAAAAUGUUUUUUUCUUUUGUUUUUUUAGGACCUAAAUUUAAAAUAGGAAAUUUAAAUUUAAAUUUAAAUUCAAAUUCUUUUGUACAAAUAAAAAUAAACAUAAAUAAAUAAAUGAAAAUGAAAAUGCAAGAUAAAAUACGGUAUCUAUAACUUGCUCCCCUUUGUCUAUCCUGAAAAUAUUUAAUGGUGGACAAAGAAAAUAGAUGAGGUAUUUGGGCCAAUUUUUUUAUUUUUUAGAGAGAGAUAGAAAGAAAAAGAACUAUCAAAUGAAGGAUAUCAAUCUUAUCUCUAGAGCUAGAUAUGAUAAAUGAUGGAUCUGAUAGACAUGCUUGUGAACCUUUAAAGCGUGGAUUUAAAGAUGUAAUCCAAUGUCAAAGCAACCUACAUGAGACGCAGUUGCAAAGUCAGAAACAACUAUGCGAUUUGGAACUAAAAUUUGACAAUACAAAUAUCCAUUAUUUAGGUCAAGUUGACAAACUCCAAGUUGCGGUGCAAGAGUUUAUAACACAGAAUCAAACACUUAAAUCGCAAAAUAUGGGGUUCAAGGCACAAAAUCAAGUGAUCAUGGGGAUGAUAGAACAGUCUGAUAGGCGGAAUGAUGUGCAAUUCAGAUCAACAUUAAAAGGCCUUCAUGCAACAAUCUGUAGCAUCAUUCCAGUACCUAAAGUUCCUCCAGAAAUUGCAACACCCCUUACACAAAAUUACACUGCAGUACGCAGCGAGGCAGAAUCUUCUCGACCACCAUCGCAAGCCUAAAGGGGGAUUGCUUUAAAAUUUUGUAAAACUUCUUGUAUUAAUCGAGUAUUUAUGUAAAUUCCAUUUAUGAAACUUAUGUUUGUUUCAAAAUAUAGUACAAUUCUUUAUACAACUCUUUAACAUUUGGUCUUUCUCAUCGCAAGAGCUUUGCUCCCCGCAUUGAUAACACUUUAAUUUUAUCUUGCAUCUCAAUGAUAACUUCAGUCAAAUAAACUAUGCGAACUAAAGUUUCAUUUAUUAUUCAGGCGUUUAACUUGUUAAGGAACCUCACUUAUCAAAUAUUUCUAUAGUUUAUUAAGUGAGCAAGUUUUACCUCAAACCUCUCUGUAAUAAGUUUUUGUAAAUAAUCUUAUCAUUCAUUUUUAACAAUGCAGACAUAGCUAACCUCUAAAUUUGGGGGUGUGCGAGGUCCACGCUAAAGCUUUUGAAAUAUGUUUGAAAAUCCUGUGGCAUCGUUUGAAAAACAAGGCAUUUUAACAAAAGUUAAAACUCUGCCAAAAAUAUGAAAAAUUAGAAAAAAAUUGUAUUUAAUUGAAAUAACAACUUUUAUGUUGUCUCCUCUCGAUAAAAUAAGAAGCAUAGCUUCAAAAGUAAAAACCAGAGAGUUAAGUAAUAAGAGGCGAUGAGAGAUACAAUUGAGGAGAGAAACAUAUCCAUAGAGUACCUAUGAUUUUCCAUUGAAUGUCAAACCACAAAUAAAUAGUCGACUAAAAAGCAUUCUUUCGCGAAAUAAAAGGAGUCAAAAUUCUUCGAAAAUUUUAGCAACUUAUAAUUCUGAAGAUAAGAUUUACCUAUGGGGAAUGAACAAGAGUAUUUUGAGUAUUAAGCUUGUCGCAUUUUUUAACUUAGAAAUGAAGUACGCGAUGAAAGUAAACCCUAAAUAACGAAUAAAACUUGAUCGCGUAUUGAGAAGUUUAGAAGUGCAAGGAGGAGGGUGAAUCUACGAGUAGGAAUUGUGCUUCAAGACAAGUAUGAUAUGGAGCAAUGCUUAACAAGCAUUAUUCUAAAUUUUAGGGUGUGAUAACAUGUAGAAAUAAAAGUUAUUACAACCUCUUUUAUUAGAAUAAUGAGACCAAAAUAGAGAAGUACAUCAAAACGCGUAGUUUAUAUUUUUUUUUGCAAAGGUAUUGUAAUAAAUGUUGGGGUGGGGAUUUGAACCCGAGACCUCUUGUCCACAGGAACAUACAGGUGCCAGUUGUGCUAAGCUCAUGUUGGUCGCGUAGUUUAUAUUGAAAAUACAUAACCAAGCGAUAGAUUUUACAUAAGCUUUCACAUCUGUUUAACCAUGAUUACAAUGGCUUAUGGAGGAUUAAUAGGAGGAAGUGAAUUAGUGAAUUGCAAGGAAACUCACGUCGGUGCUAUGUGAUAAAGAUUAACAUUUUUAGGCAAGAAAACCAAAUCACAACAAGAAAAGUGAUUCACUAAGAGACAAGAAUAGUAGUUGGAGAUGAUGUGACUCGCGACAGAUACCAUGGGCGUGCGGCGCUGGUGUUUGUCGUUGACAUGAUUAGAAGAAUAGAAAUUUCUCAUUGAAAGUGCCUAUAAAAGAACUUCUUCUUCAUCAAAUAAAAUUGAUAUUGUAAAAGGCCUGAAUGAGCCAAAACCUAGGGAGAAAGGCGGAAAGGAAUAGUCUUUCCGCCAUCUGAAAGAGUAGUUUUCUUCUUCUUCUCUCGUCAUACUAUAAGUGAGAGCUUAGAGUCUAGGUGAUGAAGGUUCCAUUUCCUAUUCCCCUAACUUGUAUUCAUUCUCAUUCUUCUGAUUUCCCCUUUUGUAUUCUUCGUGUAAUAUUUAUAUUUUUCAUAUUGUACAAUGAUCAAAGGCCUACAUUCUUUAUAUAUAUUACAUGUUUAUACAUUUUCAAUCCAUCAUGUCUCUACUUUCCAUCAAUCAAUGUGUUAUUGAUAGUUUCGGUCGGUGAUAAGUUCUUGAAAGGAAGUUUUACUUAUCAGUCUUAUCGCAUUAAUUGAGUUAUUCUCAUAGCUUGACCAGCGUAAGUCGCCAACUACCUAAGAGGGUAAGUAGCAAGGACAUAGUUAGCGAGUGCAAAGAAGAGUUUUCUCUUCCUUUGCAAGAUAACUUUCAUCAUUUGUAUUCUGAAAGGUGAAGUGUGGGCACUAGGCGCCAAGAGGUCGUUGUCCUUAAUCACGAAGUUCUAUACAUCUCGUAAGUGAACUCUUCUAGAUAUAUCUCGUCAAAUCACACUUAGUCAUAUGGAUCCUGAAAGGUGACCAUGUGUGACGUUUAAUGACUCUGAGAGAAGCAUGCCUUAAUCAUAAGCUAGUUGAGUAAGUUACAUCACAUCAAGGUUAUCACACUACUUAAUUAUGUUAUAAUACAUAGACAUUCCUUCAUUUUUUCUCGCAUACAAGUUAGUUCACAUUUCCAUUUGCAUCCACCCCCAUUCCUUAACAGAAUCUCUAUGCAUAUGUAAGUAGUAUUAUUUCUAGCAUUAUUCUUUUAGAUGUUAAUUGUUUAUUCUUUUAUACCGUCUGAUUGAUAAAUAGACUCUAGAACGAAGUUUGAUAUUAAUUUUCCGUGUUUGACUUUGAAUCACCCAGAUAAAUCUAUUGUUUCGCUUAUACUUGGACACGCAGUAGAAAUACUUGUACUAAAAAAGGACUUAGUAGUUACGCGAUAAAGAGGUAUAUAGUGAGUACUUCGCAUACAGUUAUCAUGAUCAAUGACUUAUCACAUAGAAUUAAUUAUGCAUUUAGAUAACCUUGAGUUCGAAGGGAACUGAACACAUUUACACAUCACAUCACACUUCCCCAAACAACCAGUUACAAUACAAAAUUCAAUAGGAUGAAUGUUAUUAUAACACAAAAUUGAAUGAGAGUUAUCUAACAAUUGGUAACCUACGUAGGUUAUGGAUAUAUACAUUCAUAAUUUUCAUAAAUAUAACAAAACACCAAAAUAUUUUCGGCUCGUAUAACAAAAUCAAAAAGCCAUUGAAGUCGAUUAACUUUGUAAAAAUACUUUAGGUUUGCCAUUCAUUUCCAUCUUUUUUCUUCUGCAAUUUUUUUUACCUUUUCAUCGUUUUUUUCUUCUUCUUCUGCAAUUUUUUUUAAUUAUUAUUUAGUUCAAGAUCAUGUACCAAAUAUGAAAUAUCUUUUUUUUUUUUCAAACGGUUACUUAGUUGUUCAAGAUUGUGUGUCAAAUACAAAAAAUCAUUGGGAUAUUGAGUAGCCAAAUCUAAACAAUCGUGUACAAAAAUAGUCAAAUCUAAACAAUUGUGUAUCAAAGAAUCUUGAAAAAAAUCAUUUAGAUUUAGCUACAUAAAUUUGAACGAUAAAAAAUCUAAACGAUUGUGUACCAAAUAAUCUUGAAAAAAAAAUCGUUUAUAUUUGAAUAGUCAAAUAUAAACAAUUAUGUAGCAAAGAAUAACGAAAUCUAAAGGAUCAUUUGCCAAAAAUAUUAUGCGCGUUGAGUGCUAAUUAAUCAUAUGGAAUUUUUGGUAUUUUUCAUUGUGGGUCUGUGAGUUUUUUCCGUUUUUGAAAUUGUUCUAUACCGUAUAAAUAUUUUAUCGGUUUGUAAUAUUUUUUAAAAGCCAAUACAAUAAUCUCUAUUCCUAAAAUUGUGUUGUAUGGCAACAUUUUAAAGAAAAUCAAAGAUAAGAAAGUAUAUUAUUGAUAAACUCACUUAAUUGAAUCAAAAUUUCGCAAUAUGUACAACAUCUUCAGUAUUGUGUAUUACCUACUUAAAUUAUUUAAGGUUUGAUCGUCGUAAAUAUAGGCAACCAACUCAAAUUUCAUUUUUUUAAAGUUUUAAAUGGGCUGAAAUUUGAUUGGGCUUCCAUGGCCCAAUAAACAUUUUUUAGUAGUUUAGUAGAAUAAAUCUUGGGGUUGGCCCAUACUUGACAGGAUUCAACACCAACUACUACUUGUCGAACCCAAUGGCCAUGCCUUUAUUAUCAAAUCAAAUGUUGGUGAAACAGAUCAAACAUCUUUCUUUUUCCUUUUCUUUUUCUUUUAUUCAGAAAAAAUAUUUGUUUUUCAUUACUUUUUACAAUUAAGAUUAAGUUCACACAAUUAACACAAAAAAGUAAGAAUGAAAAAACAAAUGUAAAACUAUCAUAGAGUCUGAGUUACGGGAUUGAGAUUCUAUUUAUACCUAUCAACCUUAAAAAGUUCAAUUAUUUAACCCUCUGAUCUAAUUUUGUCUUGAGACUUUUCUUUUCAUUAAAUUCAUAGUUAGAAAUGUCUGCACCUUCAAUUCAUAUGUCGUUUUAUAUGAGUAAAUUUGAGUGUUGGAGUUUCAAAAAUCAUAAACAAAAGAAAUUAGAACAUAAACGUGGGAAUGAGAAAGACAACAUGUAUGGUUCACUAAUGUAAUGUGUCUUUGUAGAUUUCAUUACAUAAGUAAAUUUAAACACAACUCCACGUUAAUGUCGUGACGUUUUUUCGAAACAAACUUGUAUUGAACCUUUAAAACCAUAUACCUCCAUUUUCCCAAUAUCACUGCAUGUUUUCACCACAGAUAAGAGCUAAUUCAUUUUUCCAAAUCUUAACCAAACUUCAUGACUUUUCUUGAUUAGAAUUGAGGACAGGUUUUCCUUUUCAAACAUUAGAUGAUUAGACCCCACAUACCUAACAAUGUUAGAAAAUAAAAAGUAACAUAUCCAUCUCAUUAGGCUCCACACAUGUUAGAAGAGACCAAUGUUUCAUAUCUUAACCAAAUUGGAUAUUUCUCAUUUUUUCUUUCGAACAUAGAUCAUAAGCCAACUGCCAUAUAUGCAUAGAGUUUAUAUGGUUUAGUUUUCUCACACUCUGAUCCCUAUAGCUCCCUCAUCUUUGUUUCUUUUUCUUUUUUGAAUAUGAUAACAUAUAGUAAGAGAGGGGAAAAAUAAAAGAGUUGUUGGGUUUGAGAAAUGGGUUGUAAAGAAAAAGAAUAAUGAUGGGGAAAGAGAUUAUUAGAGUGUGUGUGUGUAAGAGAUGGGUGAUUGGGAAAACUGAUAAAAGACCCCAUCAUGUCCACAUGUUUCCAUCUCAAUCCCUUUGUCCUCUUAAACAUAGAAAGUGAUGCUCAUGUGCCUUCCAACCAACAUAUAUAUAUAUAUAUAAUACAUAUCUCGUUUUAUACAUAUAUCUUCCAUUUCUCCUCGUAGUUUCCCUUAAUCCCAGCAUAAUCCCCUUUCUAAUUCCCCUUUAAUCAUUCACUUUUUUUCUAUAUAUUUUAUUAACCAUUUCAUUAAAAGAUAUAUAUAAAUUAAAUUUCUUUGAUGUAAUAUAUAAUAAAUUAUAUGAUAACAAUAGUUCAGAUAUUAUACCUAAUAGUUAGUUCAUAACUACAACUUUAUUUUUAAAGGUUUUAAAAUAUAUUAUCAAACACACUUGAACAAUAGUUUAAAUUAAAAUUUUAUUUUUAAAUUGGCCACAAAAAUAUUUUGAAAAAUACAAUUUUAUUUUCACUAAAUCUAGUGUUAUACUUAAAUUUGGAUGAUUAAUUAACCAAACAUACUUUUAAUUUCUUAAUUUUUUUUUUCAUCUCUAUUGAAAGGGAAAACAGGAUGUCCUAAAGAAAGAAGCUUUCUAAAUUAGAACUGUGUUAAAAGGGGGGAAAAAGAAUGGAAUAACAUAAUCUGUUUUGUAUAAUUUGACACAAAAGUUUGAAAAAAAAAAAAAAAGAAAUUGUAAACAUAAAAAAUAUAUAAAAAAUAUAGCUGAUUUUCUUAAAAUAUAAAUAAUAUAUUUACUUUUUAGAAGAAAAAAAAAUUGUGGCUUUUUUCUUCUUGUCCAGUUAAGAAUGAGUGGCCAUGUCUGUCUCCCAUUUCCUUCACAAUAAGCAAUAAAGUUAACAUGUAUAAUUCAAAAGAAAUAACUGUGUUGUGUUGCUGUUUAUCACUUUUUGUUUUGUAAUUUGCAAAGGAGGGCUUUGAUGACUUUUUUUCUUUUUUGUUGCAAAGAUAAAGAAAUUGUAUAUAUAUAACUAAUGACACUUUGAUUGUGUAACUAAUUGUGCUUUUGGGGACUCCUAUUUGGUGGAAUGGAAAAUGAUUGGUGGAAAUGCAUAAGUUAGAGAGAAGAAAGAAUCAUAUAGACACAAUUAAAGUGGGCUUCUCUUUAUGAAUUCCUCAAUUGAUUAUAGACAAAGCAAUGGACCAAAAUCCAAAGAGAUCCAACACAUGGAAUAUAUUACACAUUAUUAUAGGUUAAUUAGUGUGUGGUUUAAGAGUUUUUUUUCUGUUCUUUUUUUUAAUUAGGGAAGUACUAUAUUAGAUUUGUAUAUAAUAUAUUGGUCUUGUUUAAUUGUCUGGUCAAACCUUCCAUUCAAAAAAUAUAUGUUCCGAGAGUUUUGAGCUUAGGAAUUGUCUAUAAAACCUUAGCAUUUAUAUAUUGUGAUUAAAAAUUUUGUUCUCUCGAUUAUGGGUUUACGUCGUUCCAACCGUCAAUGAGGCUUCGUUAGGUUGUUGGUGAGAUAAGAAAAUUCACUUGAAUAGUAAUUGGGAACUCGAGGUGAUUUUUUUGGUGCUUUGAGAGGAGCUCACUCAAAGUUUGGAAAAACCUUGUUUCGAGAUGAGGGGAUCUUAUUGAUCUUAUAUUUAAGGAGAGCAUAUAAGUACGUAUAUUAUUGUAGUGAGGGAAUCUUACCCACAGAAUGAGCCUAAAUACGUCUCAUUGAGGAGAUAUACGAAUCUCAUCCAAAGUUUGGAGAAGUUUUCAUCAUGGAUUUGGAAAAAUCUAAAACUUAAAAAAAGUCUAGGUUGAAAUUAUUUUAUAAUUGCUAAACCCUUUCUAUAUUUAUAGGGAGCCUAAAAUGCAUUAUUUUAUAAUUGUUAAAGUCUUCCUUUAUUGAAAUUUUUUCCACUAGAAAAUAACCCUAAAAACAAUUGACUUACCAAUCUCUAUAUCUCAUUAUAUAUAUAUAUGUUGGUAUUGUUUUUAUAUUAAUUAAGUUGUUCUAUUCCCAUCCAUUUUUUCAGUGUGCAAUAUCCUAUUUGACAUUUGUAUUUUGUGUUAGAUUCAUUUUAUUUUUUUAUUAAUAAUUCUUUGAUAAUAGUAAAUGAUAAUAAUUAGAGUAGUUAUCUGCCAAAAUUAAGAUAAUAUGAUUAAAAAAGUUCAAAGAUUCAAAGAAACAUGAAGUGCUGUCGAGACUACAAAUAUAUAUAUAAAGUUCAACACUAUAAAUAUAUAUAUAAAGUUUAACACCGUAUCAUCUAAAAAUAUUUGAAUUUAUAAUGUUGGGAAUCCUAACCUUAAAAAUCUUAUGGAUCCCAAAUAAUAGUUGAUAAGAUAUAUUUUAAUAGUUGAGAUUUGGUUUUUUUUUUUUUUUAAAUUUUGAGAAAGUCAUAUCAUCCUAAAUAUAUACUCCAUAUUCUGGAUGAACUAAAUUUAUCAAGUAAAUUAGUAGUUUUAGUAUUUUUUUUUUUUUUUUUUAUGAUGAGAUUUAAAUGACAUUCUUGUUAUAAUUAUACACGGAUUCUAAUUACAUUAAUUAUUUUUAGUUUUUUUUUUUAAUAAUUGAAUGCAAGAAAGAGGGUUUUUUUUUUUCCUUUUUUUUAAUCAUGCAUUCAAUUAAUAGUUAUAAGCAUGGACCACCAUACUUCCAAUAAUUUCUGCUUUAACCACUGUCAUAUUAAUGAUCAUUCAUAAAUAAUUUACUUUGCGAUAUACGAGAUAAUUACAUAAAAGUUAAAUCUUCAUUUAUCAGUCUCUAAUCUUUUAUACACACUCCCCUUUUUUUUUCUUUUCUUAUAAAUCUAUUUAUAUGUAAAAGUCGAAUAAAGUCGAGAUUUAAACUAUUAUUUAGUUGUUGUAAUAUAAUUAUUGUAGAGAUUUGGAAAACUAAACCUCUUGUUUUUAAGUGAAUUAGAGAUUUAUCAAUUACAGUAAGUUAAGCUCUAUCUCUUUUAUAAAGUAUUAUUUGAUUGGUAUGCAUAUACACACAUACGCCUUGGAAUAAAAAAAUAGUUUGUUGUUAAGUUUGAUAUUAUAUAUGUCCUGUCCUUAAUUAUUAAAUUUAUAUGGAGCUGAAAGGGAGGAAGCUUCUUGAUGAUAUGGUGGAAGAUCUUUCCUACUUGGGUUCAUGAAAUCUAAAUCUUGACCAAUCAAAAUUCCUCUCAAAUAAUUUGUUUAUAUUAUCGUACAAAACAUAUGAAAAAUAAAUUAAAUUAGAAAAAAGAAUGGGAUCGAAUUUUCUUUUCAACACUUUUUUUUUAUUUGUCGACCAACUUUUUAAAAUCUCAUAAAUAAUAUUUUUCUUUCAUUUAAACAUGUUACACAUAAAGUUUUCAUGCAUGCUUCAAAUAAGUCUUUUAUUUUAUUUAUUUAUAUUUGCUAUAAGAAUUGAAUUCAUUGUUUAAUUUUAAAAGAUCAAUAAUCUUCCACGUCGAUCCUCUUCUCCUUGUAGAUUAUGUUUGUAUAUUCAACCUUGGACUACAACGGACGCAUGCUCUGAUUUUAUCAGUUUCAUACAUGUGACAUAUCAAUAGGAAAGUAUCUAUUAUUACUUUACACAUUUGGAAUUGUACAAGGAUAUGAUCAUCAAUAAUUUUGUCAAUAAUGUUGGGAAGAAGGAAGUCAUCAACUAGAAAAACAUGUCAUUAGUGUCAUACUAAUUUGAAUUAUCGACCACAUUUAAUUUUCUUUGACUUUGCCUCACCAAAUAUUAACAUACGUCUAUGUAACUUUAUAAGAUUAUGAGAGAAUAGGAAUGAAUUGAGAUCACAUUCUCGAAUGAGAAAAAUAUUGAGAAUAUGAAAAAAUGGUUAAGAAAUCUUUGAUAAGAAUUGAAAGUUACUAUUAUUUAUAUCAAGAAUGUACAUAUAUUUUAAUUGAGGAAGCAAUCCUAAAUGAUUAAAACGGUUUUUGAUUGUAACUAUGUAUGGAAACACAAAUGGAGUGUUUUCUCCCCAAAUUUAAAUAAAGGCACUGCUCGUUUCUGUGUUUGGACACGUGAUUAUAUUGAAAUUUUUUUUAAAACACUGUUUAGUUUUCAUCAAUAGUUUUGUUUAAAAAAACAAUAAUUUAAUGUACUAUAUUAAAAGUAAUGAUCGGAAAAGAUAUAUAUUAUUGGAAAGUAAAAUAAGGCUUAAAAGGUUGAUCAUAAUUAAUAUUGAGGUUCUGCCUAAAAAAUAAUGAAAAGUAAUCAAAAUUGUUAUAAUUAAUUUGAUUGUUACUUAACUAAACUAUACUUAACCAUUUUAGAUCUAUAUUGCAAAGGUGAAUGUGAGAGCAAAUUUUUAAAGAAGAGAUAGAAAAAUAAUUAUAAGAUUGUGUUUGAUCAAGGUUGCUAUUGAAAAACUAUGUUUCUUUAUUGAAAAUUAAAGUACCACCAUAUAUAUGUUAAAUAAAGAUUUUACUUCAAAUGAAUUGAAGUGAAAUGGUUGAAGAGGAUCUCAAAUUUGUGUGAAAAUAGAGCAUUGAUAGAGGUGAGGGAGAUUUUUAGGAGCAACCUAAGUAAAAGUUAGGAGUUGGCUAUUCACAAUCGACCCAAUGUUAGAUGUGUCAAACUUAAAAGAACUAAGUUAUAAAUGUUGAACUAUUUUCUUUAGUGAAGUUUAAACUUCUUUCCACGAGACACAUCUAGAAAUUUAGGUAACGUUGCACGAAACUGAAGUUACCAAUUCUUGUGCAUUUUCGUAUUGUUUAUUUGUUGUGCUAAAUUUUAGUGUUUCUUGUUGAAACAUUACAUUUGGCAGGUAUUCAGUUGUUUGAUAUUCACAUGCAUUUUUUAAAAUAAUAAAAAGAUUAGGAACAUUUAAGUUUAUGAAAUGAUGUGAAUGAUAAAAUUUAGAUGAAAAUUUCAUAGAUAAAGUUUUAAAGAGGUUAAAUAAGGAUUCAUCUCAUCUUAGUACUAAUUAGAGAAAAAUAUACAAGAACUAGAUCAUUCUCCAUUUAAAUACAUCAUUAGAAUUUCAUAAAUGAUAAAUAUAUAGAAUUUGGAUUUUUUUUUAAUAAUCUUUCUCUAUUCUAUAGUUGUUUCAUCUCUAACUUCUAAUUUGAGAGUCAUUUUUUAAAAAUAAGUGAAACUUUCUGAAUGAGAUUGUGACGUUAUUGAUAAAUAGAAAAUGAUCGAAACUUACAGAAUCUCAAAAAAGUAAAUCAUAGAUAAGGAUCCAAGUAAACUAUUUGGGUAAAAGCAAAAAUUGUGUAAUUGUGUAAUUGUGUGUUGAAAAUUUCCCACAACAUGCAUGUACAAAUUUUAUUUGCUUAAAAAAGGCUUCAAUAACUUUAAAGGAAAGAUGAAAUUUGCAAGUGCUUUUGGGUGGUUUGAUAAAGUUAAGUUGUGAUCGUGUCAAAAUAGUCAUAUAUCAAAAUGCAGAGGAAGAAAAAGAUGGUGGAAGGGACUGGAAUAUGAUGUAGAUAUAUAUAAUAGAGUGAAUCUAUGAUAAAAUAUUGCAUUAAUUUAAUGGAUUCUUUUUUUCUUUUGAAUAAGUCCAAUUGAGUUUUUAAAUUGAAUUAGACUGAUUGAAAAUGAUAGAGCAUUUAGAAAAUGACAAUUCAUAUAAAAUAAUUAUUUUAAUAUUAUAUUAUAUACUUUAUUGUUCACAUUCAAUUAUCAAAACAUGCAUUGGGAUUAUAGGGAAUAUUUAUUUUUCGAAAAAAUAUAUAAUAAAAUAAUGCUAAAUCUUUUUUAUAUAUUUAAUUUAUAAAUAUUUUUAACAACUUUUACGAUUUAAAGAAUUGCAAACAAUUAUUCAAACAGGUAGAAAGAAUUCUAGAUAUUAAAAGUUUAGGUCACGUUACAAAAUUCAACAUUAAAUUACAUAUUCAUUUUUUAAAUUUUUAAAUAAUCGUAUAUCUAAUAUUUAAAAGAUUUCUUUUUUAAAUAGUAGAUUUUACAAAAUAUUUACGAUCUAUAACAAAUUUUAUCAUCGAUCGUCGUUGAUAUGUUAUAAUUAUAUAAAACUAUCAAAAUUUUGUUGAUAGAUAUUUUAAUUUAUUUUUAUUUAAAAAAUGUGAACCUUUGACAAUAAGUUUAUCAUUUCAUUGUUAUGUUAAUUGUUGACACAACAUUUUAAAUUUAAAAUAAUAAUUAAAAGAGAAAAGAAGAAAUGAAGAUGGAGGAUAGAUAAGAGAGAUAAAAUACAAUAUUUUAAUUAUUAUUUUUUAAUACAAAAAUGCAAUAUCAAUAGUUAAAAUAGAAUUAAUUUCAAAAUCUAAUAAUUGAAACUAAAAGACUAAAGAAAAGAUUACGUGGGUGUUUAUCAUUUGGACUAGAAAGUUGAUGGAUUCCAAAACUAAAAACUUUAAUUUCAUACAUUGUUGAAUAUACGAUAUAACUCUAGUUGUUUAUAAUCAAAGUUGGUCAUUUUGUAAAAUAACAUUUCUUAUGAGAGGUAAAUGGUGUAAAGUAUGAUUAAAACAAAAUUUUAGAAUUGCAACUUUAUUGUUCAUUUUCGUAAUGUGUGUGUAUAUAUAAAAGAGGAGUAAAUUAAGUUGGUUGGUUUGUAUUAUAUGAUGUGGGAUGAUGUAAGAAUAUAGAAAAGAAGAAAUGAUAAAAGGUAAAGAAAAUAGAAAAAAGAGGAAGCACACGUGCAGUGCAGGGUGUGACAGGAGUGAAGAAAGAGAGAGAAAGAGAGAGAGAGCAUUGGAAAGUGUUAAAUACAAAAGAAAAUUUAGAAUAAAACCAUAAGCAUAUAUAAUAUAUAUAUAUAUGAAUAAUGAAUUUGAUGUUGAUGUUGAUGUUGAUGUUGAUGUACACAUAUCGAAUAUUGCUGAAGAUUUUUCAGAUACACACGUGUGCUUCAGACCUCGUGUCUCUUACCUCACCACCUUUGACUACUACACACAAAUAUAUAUAUUUCUUAUAAUACCAUGUAUUUGAGAACUACAUAUCGUUUUACAAUAAAGUGUACACUUCUUAUUUUACGUCCAAAAAUCUUCGUUUAAGGUAUGUAUAUAUUAUUAUAAUCUCAAUUUUGGAUUUCUGUAUGAUUUAUUGAUUUGGUUUAAGGUUGCUUUAUUAUUAUACAUUUACUCCUAUCUUAAAUAUAUCAUAUUUUGUAAAUUUAUACAUAAAAGAUGUACUGUUUCACCAAGCAUAAGAAAUGUGUGUUUGAUUUUAAAUUAUGUUAUCCUUAAUUACUUUAUCUUAGUCCAUUUGGGAUGUUCUAGUACUGUUGAACAAAAUAUGUGAGAUUAGACUAUAAAUCAAUAUCUUGUUGAUUAGCAAGGUAAGAAAGUUUCAUUUUAUAAUAUUACACAAAAGCAUAUCUCUAGGACUAGGGAGUAAUAGUUGUCGACAAUAGGAGGUUGCAUGUACAUGUGUGAAGCUAUAGGAAGGGUUCGUUAAAGGAUGAAUAUCGUUUUUCAGGAGAUUAAAUGUCCAAAUAUAUAGGUUACUUUAUCUAUCUCGUAAUUGACUUUGAUUUUAUUUGAAGGUUGCAAAUAAGAUGAAUCAUGAAUUUAAACUAAUGAAAACUAAGAAACAAAGAUUAAGAAAAAAAAAAAUCAAUUUCAAUAUUAAAAAAAUAUAUAUUCCAGAGUGUUGAUUCCAAUGUCCAAUUCAUUUUGUCAUAUCUAUGCUUUACAUACCCUUGUGUUCAAAUGUUGUUUUUCAAUCUAGAAACUAAAUUUCAAUUUUUCUCAUGUAAUUUUAAUUGAUCCCUACCCUCUUAAAACUAAGUUUAUAAACUUAACAGUAAUUCAAGACCUUUGUCUUUAGAGGUUGAGGUUGAAGUUGAAGGUUUAAUGCCACCAAUAAUAAACUAAAAUAUAACUAUUUAAAUUAGUAAUUUAUUAUAUAGUAGUUGAUAAUGAGUGUAGUAAUUCAUCUCUUAUAUUGAUGGUGAGGUUGUUUGACUUUUAUUUAAUAUAUAAGGGUUCUCAACAUGUUCAUUUCAGGAUAGUUUGGGUUCACUAUUAUUGAUUGGAUCACAAUUCUAUUUUAUUUGAUCACAUUCCUGUUUGAUCUUUGUGGAAUUUUAUACUAUGUUUGAUAAUAUGACGUUCCAUGGAUCUCAACAUGAAAAAAUUUCUACAUUGAAAAAAUAAAAGGACCUCACAAUUUUUAUAAGAUAUUACGAGGCUACGAGCUACUUCCGUUGUUGCCAAUUGAUUUUGAGAUGAAAUUACCUCAUAUUAUCUAAUUUGGUAUCAAUUUCAAAAUAUGUCAAACAAGAAUGCGUUUUAAAAAAAAAAUCCAAUUAAGGAGGGUAAACCCAAAAGAAGCAACAUCUUAAGGAGAUAUGCUCAUAAUCCACAAUUUGAAAAAAUCAAACGACAUCCCACUUGUUAUAAGAUAAAUGAGUACUCAUGUCACCAAUUUAUUUUGAUGAGAUAAAGACCUUGUACUGUGAUCUAAUAAAAUUAUCAAUCAAUGGUUCGUUGAAGAUCAUCAGUAACCCUUUGAUUUGCACCUCGAAAUGGAUGAUCGAUCUCCACCACUCCUUUUGCUAUCUGCCCUCUAUUUUACAACCAAAACCCUUUCCAAAGGUGUCCAAAGUUUGAUAUUCAAAACCCUAUAUUUUUAUAAUUGGAAAUCAUGAUGCAUGGCAUCACGAGGUUAUCCAUGGUCGUGGGUCUUCAACAAUUAAACUUUAUACUACCACGGUGUUAUCUAAAAAUGAGCUUUCAGUUUACACAACAUUGUGCAAUGCUGAGAGGAGCAAUGCAAAACGCCCCCUUCUUCAAUAAAUCUACCUUAUUUUCUCCUCUUAUUUGUAGAAAUAUCCCAUAAAUGCUUCUAUUGAGCACAACCGAUCAUUAUAUUUUUACUAUGUGCAACUCUAAAACUCCCUAUUUUGCUUAAUUAUUGAAAAUCACUUGCAUACAACAUCAAAUCUAAAUUGAAGGCAGAUAAAGCACUUUUUAAAUGCUUUCCGAAUUGUCAUAACAACACACAAUAAAUGAUGUCAAAAGACUGAUGAUAGAUUACUAUUCAAAAGUUAUUUAGAAAAUGUUAAUCAAUCAUGUUUUUCAAGGAGGAACUCGUGAUACAAAAAUAAGUUAUUAUGCCAUAUAAAUGUCACGUCCCGACUCAAAAGUUAUUUUAUGCAACCUAGUGGAGGUGUGUUGCCUAAAUACUCAACAAGUAUCUCCCUGCAAGAUAGCACGUGGAACGCCUAUUAAGCAUAACAAUUUAAAAGUUCAAAUAAAAAAAAAUUGACUUUGAUAAGUACAAUGCAAUAUAAUAACUUAAACAACCAACUUAACUCACUUAACUUAGUUUUACUCAAGCUCUUUAACUACUAAGCAAUAAGCACCAAACAAUGUAGCGAACUAAACACAACUUUUUCUCUUUGUUAACUUAGCAAUUUACACCAAAUACAAAGAAAAACUCAUGCUUUCUUUCUAGCAAGACUUAAAUAAGAAAUCAUAAACACCUUCACAGUCUUCAGCCUUGAACAAUCGUUUAGCUCUUCAGACCGAUCACUUGCCUUUUAACCCAAUCGCUUCGCUACCUACACGAUCACUUAGCUCUGAUUGCUUACCUUUCAACCCGAUUGCUUAGCUCUCUAAAUUAAAUGAUUGCUCUUUCAACUUGAUCGCUUAACCUCCUUAAAUGAUCGCUUAGCUUCUUACAACCUGGAGAACGGAAACUUAAAAUGUAAGUCAAAGACUUAGUGAGUGAGAGUUUAGAAAUACCUUUUGGGGAAUGCAAUUCAAUCAAAUAAAUCACUUUUCGUUUUCAUAAACACAGGCUCACAACACCUUAUUUUAUAAAAUCAUAGAAAUCACGCAUUAGCUUCCUCUUAUUCCUUUCCACCAAGAACAUGAAUAAUGUCAAGACUUAGGAUUGACUCUCAUCAAUAUUUUGCGUUUAAACAACUGUGAUGUUCACUCCAUCCAUAGCAUCCGAGAAUUUCCUUGAUUCAUUUAUUGUUGCACAAGGUAUCCACACGACACCUUUACACAUUAUGUGUACACCACAUAGCAGUUGCUCACUUAAUAGGAAUUGGACUAAUGGCUUAUUCGUACACAAACGUCACAAUCAUCACAUAGAAAGCAAUCGUUUUCUCUAUUCAAAUAAAACAACAACAACAUCAUCAAUAACAACAAUGCAUAGAUAUACAAAACGCAUUAUGCAUAAGUACAAGACGCGUUAUGCAUAAGUACAAAACUCAGAAAGAAUGCUAGCAUUUCCUCAGCAAGCAAAAGUACAAAACUCAGAAAGAAUGCUAGCAUUUCCUCAGCAAGCAACUAAACUCUUAGUAAAAAUUCUCAAAAUAACACCUUCUUUAAUCCUUCUCAAUUUCAUUUAUACUAAAAUUUUUAGUCUGCUUAGUCAUCACUUAAAGUCUCUGUUAGCUUGUCAUGUCCUACUUACACUUUACACAUAUUGGCUUACAACUUAUCAGACCAUGCAAAUAACUUAAGCUCAACAUGUAGCCAACUGUCAACUAAACAUUUCUAAACAUUUUCCUUGAAAUGUUAAACUUUUCUUCUCAAAAUGCUCAACUCUUUAUCAUCGGACUUUUCCCUAGCAAAACAACAUCAAAACGUCUGCUUCCUCCUACACGAUGAUUCAGCCUCUUAAACGAUCGUCUAACUUUUCACACAAUUGUUUAUCUUUCUUACGCGGUCAUUUUAAAAAAAUACAUUUUCAAAACCUUCUAUUCAAGCUUGGGUCUUACAAUAAAUUGAAUUAAAGUGUGUAACUUGUGGUAUAAGAUUCCUUGAUAGAUUUUUUUAUCUAAAUUUUGUAAAUGUUUUUUUUUCAUUUGUAUUCAUUUUCUUGCUUUAAACUUUGGCAUGUUCAUGUAACAAGUUAAAUUUUAAAGCAAAUAUUUGGAUUAACUAGAAAAAUAAAACUUUUCAUAAGAAUAUAAUCUCUUUUAAAAACCCCCUCUACAUGCUUUUUAUUACAAGGUUUUUUGAUACACAAAUUUGUAUAGUUUUCUUCGUCAUAUUAAAAGUAUUUAUAGUAAUUAACGGACAUUUUUAAAUAUAGCCAAAAGAACCAAAAUAUUUAUAAAAUAUAAAAAACUUCAAAUUCUAUCGACGAUAAACAAUGAUUAUUGAAAAUAAUAGAUUUCAAUCAAUGUCUAUCAAUUACAUUGAUAGAAACUUAUCGAAGUCUAAUAUUAGAGACUAUCUGUGUUUAUCAUGGAUAAAAUAUAAAAUUUUACUAUAUUUUGUAAAUAUUUUCAACAAAAUUUUGUACAAUAGGACAAUUAUAGAAAAUAGCACAAUUUAAGAAAUAAACUAAAAAUAUAACACAAUAUUUGCAAAAAUAGCAAAUGUUGACCAAUUAUCUGGUAAUUUUUUUUAAAACGUUAAAUAUGCCUUCAGUGUGUCUAUCAUUGGUAGUCGAAAUCAAUGAUAGCAACUAGUAGCACAUUUUUCAUAUUGAAAUAUUUUUCAGUGAUAGCAACCUAUGAAACCUAUUAAUUGCUAUCACCGAUAUAAUAGCUUUCAAUUUGAGAAACUCAAGAAGAAGCACUCAUAAUAGUAGAAAAUAAAAUGUUAUCUUGAUAAUAGGCUACCGAUCUAUAUUUAAUGGUAGCUUUCAAUUCGAGUAAAUCAUAAAUAAACACUUGUAAUUACGUAAAAAGCACUAGUAAUGGUAAAAAAAACUAGAAAGUCUUCCAACUUAUCGAUUCUUUAAGCCCCGGUGCAUCUUGGUAUUUUUUUCAAAUCUUCGCAAAUCUUAUAUAUUUUUUAUUUUUUUAAAAAAAAUUGACAAAUAUUAUAUCCAAUUCUUACAUUUCAUCCAAAGUCAUUUCAUGAUUAAAAAAUUUUAAAAUUCAUCUAAUGAUUUUGCUUAAAAAGUAUAAAUAUUUUGAUAUAAUAUUUGGUAAAGAUGACCGACUUUGAAAAGAAAAUUGAAAAUAUAUUAGAUUUGUGAACAUUUGAAAAAAAAAUACUAAAAUCUCACUGCAAUCUCUAUUGAAAAAAUUACAUGAAUGACAAUCAAAGUGACUUGUUGCACUGUGACGAAUCGUGGUGCUAAUCGUAAUAUCGGUUGCUCCCCAAGGUUAACACAACACCCUACUUCUGACGGUCCCUACUUCAAAUGGACACUCGUCAGAAAUAAGAAUAUAAACAAUAACAGAACUUUAGUGGAGAUGGAGAGGUUUUUAGUGAAGUGAAUAAAGAAUGGAAUGAGUGAAUAAUUCGGUUAAAGGGAUGUAUUUAUAGAAGAGUCCCACCAACUGCCAUCUGAAAAUGCGAGUGAAGGUAAGGUGCAGAGGAAAAGUCGACUUACAUCCUUAGUCACACAAGCGUGAUUAUCCAAGCUCACUCGCCUGUUCGUCCAAUCGGCGUGUGUGGUGACAAGGUCAUACUAUCACCACCAACACAGUUUAUAAUUCCUUAUAGUACUUAGUUGUCUAUGUCCACUUACUUAUUCCAAUUUUAUCAAUGUGGAACAAGGAAGCUAACUUUGCAUUAGGCCAAAGGCCCACAGUCAAUUUUCAACUAUCCCCUACAAAUUACUGUAGCAGCAAAGUUAUAAGGUAGACAAGAGAAAAUUUGUUUUGAGAAAGGAUGAGACAUUAAGCUUAGACAUCAAUAUCCAAAUAUUUGAAUUGAUGUGUAGUGAAGUAAGGCAACAACCUUGCUAAGGAGAGUGAAUUAGAUCUUGAACUUUCUAUAACACUAGUUGAGACCCUUACGACACGCUCUAUGCUUAGUUUUUGCCAUUGUGUUUAUGCAAUGUGGGUUUAUGCCUUUAUGGACAUGCAAAUAGAAUGAACCUCGAGUCAUCGUAAAAGCUAUAAAAAGAGAUCCUUUUAACUCUUUCAAAGAAGGCAGUCUCACCUUCACAAUCACGUUACAUGCUCCAUCAAGUUUGUCAAAACAAACCACUCAAAAAGAGCUAUGAAGACUUCAUCAUUAUCAACAGAAUUAUGGAUCACUCAAAGGUUUUAGUAACAUCCAUCUAGUCCAUUAAAUAUUGUUUGCACAAUGGGCUAUGGACCAUGAAGUCUAUAUAUCGCAACAUACCACCCAAUAAGAGGUUAUGGACCAUCAAGUCUAUUGCAAUAGACCAUCCAAAAUCAAGUGUUAUGGAUCUUCGAAGGGCUUUAGGCCUAUGUUCACUGAGGAAUCUAGAACCACUUUCCAUGCUAGUCCUUUGGUUAAAGGGUCAUCCAAGUUCAUCUCAAAUCAAACGAACUCUAAGAAAAUGGUUCAUUCCUUUAGCAAAUGUUUCACAACUCCAUGUCUAAGACGUAUAUGUCUUCUUUUGCCAUUAUAAACAUUGUUCUAGGAAAUAUUUAUGGCAACAUGUGAAUCACAGUGUUUGGACACAGGUACAGAUGCCCCCCACAAUGGUACAUCUCCUAGUAGACAUUUUAAUCCACUUAGCCUCUUGUCCUGCCAGCUCUAAUGCUAUAAACUCAUAUUCCAUAGUGAAUCUGGCUAUGCAAAUCUGUUUUGCAAACUUUCAAGAUAUUAGAUCCUCCCCCGAGUAGAAAUACAUACCCACUAGUAGAGUUUACUUCAUUUUUAUCUAUAACACACAAUCUGCAUCACAGUAUCCUUCCAAGAAUAAUUUUUUGUUCCUUUAAGAUAUUUCAACAUAUGACAUAAAGCAUCCCAGUGGUAUUUGUUAGGAUUAUGUGUGUAUCUACUUAAUCUACUGACACCGUUAGCAAUGUCGAGUCUAGUGAAGUUCAUUAAAUACAUAACACUACCUAUGAUCUUUGUAUAUUCAGAUUGAGACACACUCCCUCUUUUAUUUUUCUUAAGAUGUUUACGAGUUUUUACUUAAUAGACAUCGAAGGAAUCAAGUUUCUUUAGUAUUUUCUCAAUGUAGUAUGAUUGAGACAAGGACAAACCGUUUUCAUUUUUUAUAAUUUUAACACCAAGAAUUAUGUGUGCUUCUCCUAAGUCUUUCAUUUCAAAGUGUGACGACAGGAACAACUUGGUAUCUUUUACUAACUCCAUGUUCGUCCCAAAGAUGUCAUCAACAUAUAAACAUGUUAAUAUGCACUCAGCUCCAGGCAUCUUUGAAUAAACACAUGUAUUUGAGGAAUUUACCUUAAAUUCAUUAUUUAUCAAAGUAUCAUUAAAUUUUUUAUAUCAUUGUUUAGCAGCAUGCCAAAGACCCUAGAGAGAUUUUUUAAGUUUUCAUACUAUGUUUUCUUGGCCAGAAAAUUUGAAUCCUUCUGGUUGAGUCAUAUAAAUUUCUUCUCCUAAAUCACCAUCUAAUAGUGGUUAUCUUAGUUAUAGGGAAAUAUGUGUCAAAGUAAUCAAUACCUUGCUUUUGAGUAUAUCCUACCACCACUAAUCUUGCCUUGUAUCUUUCUACUGACCCAUCUAGUCUUGUUUUCCUUUUGAAGAUCCAUUUACACUUACUUGGUUUACUUCCUUUGGGAAGAUCUACUAAUUCUCAUGUUUGAUUCAUGGUUAGUGAAUCCAAUUCGCUCUUAAUAGUCUUCUUCCACAUAUUGGACUCUACAGAGCUUAAGGCCUCUUAGUAAGUUUUAGGAUCUUCAUUUAUUAAAAACAAGCUAUUGAAAUUCUAGUCAAUUUCAUCGCGCCUUUCUACUAUAAAGGUGCUUGGGAAAUCUAGUCUAAAACUUUUCUUACUUCUUUGUCUUUUAGUUCUUCUAGGUUUUAAUUCAUACCUUACAUUAGAAGCAUCAAACUCAGGUGUUUCAAUAACAACUGUGGAGUUUUCUAGAUCAUGCAUAUUUCUAAAAGGCAGGGAACAGAGAGAUCUCUUUAAUGGAAAUUAAUGCUCAACGAAUUCUGCAUCCCUAGAUUCAUUUAUGCUCUUAUCAUUUAAACAUAUAAACCUAUGUGCAGCACUAUUUGGAGCAUAACGGAUAAAUAUACAGUCAAAGAUUUAAGACCCUAUCGUGGAUUUCUUCAGUACAGGAAAUGGUACCUUAGCCAAGCAUCCUCACAUCGUCAAGUAGUUGAGAUUUGGUGCGUAUCUCUACCAAAGUUCGUAGGGAGUUUUGUCUAGUUUUUUGUAGGAUACACAGUUAAGAACAAAACAUGCAGACAACACGACUUCUCUCCACAUUCCUUUCUCCCAACGUUCAUUCGGCCAACGUCGUUAAUGCGUCGAGUAACUUAUAGGACUCUAUCGAUGUUCUCGCCACGUCGGGAGAAGGUGUUUCCCGACGAUGCUUCGUGGAACUUGUCCCCGAUGCCAUCUUAUAUGCGUAGGGAUAAGACCUUUUUUCCGACGCAUUGAAUAUGUUGGGAAUAGUAUAUAAGAUUUUUAAUAUGUUUUUUACAUUAUUAUUUAUUUUGUUUAAUUUUUAAUUUUUAAUUUUUUUGUUUCGAUUGUAGUUUAUAUUUGAUUCCAUUUCGAUUUUGAUUUAGUUUAAAUGCAACUGACCAACCAAAAUAAUUUUUAUUUUUAACUUGAAUUCAAUUUUUUACACCUCACAUGCUGAUUUUAACCCAAAAAUAAUAUAAAAUCUUCAUUUAUAGUUAAACUCAUUAAUUUUGUAAAAGUAAAGUUUUACAAUAAAUAAAUAAAAUAUAUAUAUAUAUAUAUAUAUAUAUAUAUAUAUAUAUAUAUAUAUAUAUAUAUAUAUAUAUAUAUAUAUAUAUAAACUAAUUCAUAUAUUUAACACUGAAAUAACUUGGUCAAAAAUUCAUAAAUUUCCAAAAGGAAAAAAAAGGUUUAUGAUAUUAUUUUCUUUAAAAUAUUAUCAAUUUCAUAUCAUGGGUAGGUAUUAUUGAUGUCAAAUUUUGGCCAAGGAUAUUAUUGAUGUCAAAUUUUGGCCAAGGAUUAAGAAUGCACUUGACCUUCACGAAAUGUCAUGGGUAAAUUUGUAAUUCAGAAAAGAAAUGACUUGCAAAUCAAAGAAAAAUGAUUUCGAUGUAGCGGGGGAUCCAUAAAUUUUGUUGAUAUUUAUAAUUCAACAAAAAUAAUCUAAAACAAAAAGGUAAACAAUAAGGCUUGAACUUAGGUCUAGAAAGACUAGAAGGCUAAUUUACCAUUGAAAUACAACUUGAGGGUGGGAGAAUAUGAACCCUGUUUUUGUUAUGUCUUUUUACCUUGAUUCUAGAAUCCACCCGUAAGAAGUAUGUUUUAUAAUUCAAUUAACAUAUAAGUAAAAAAAAUAAUAAUUUAACAAUCUUUAGAAUGUGAACUUGUUGAAAGACUAAAAUUACACCACUCUUUCAACUAAAAAUUAAGAGCGAAAAUUGAUUUCAGCUUUUGACUUUGGUAAAUAGGUGAUUAGAUGAAUGAAAAUUGAAUUGUAUAUAUAAAAACCAAUCAAAGACCCUUGGUCAUAAUAAAUUAGAUGGGAAAGAAUAAAUAAUUUUGGUCCCAUAUUUACAGUGGGAAUAAAUGUUUUUGGCAUAAGAUUUUAUACAAGAUUUUGUGGUCCUUUUUUAUUUAAAGAGAAAAGAAAAAUGAAUUCUACCUUUACAGCACACACUACAAAAACUCAAUUCAUUUCUCUCCAUUUUCCCAUAACUGAUCAAUUUAAUAAAUGAUCAAUUUAAGAACAAGAAAAAAAGUCAAAUUAAUCUUCUCCACACAAACCUCAUCCCAUUAUUUUUUAAGAAAAAAAAAACCGAAGUAAAUUGUCCUCAAUUCUAUAAUUUUUCAUUUAAAUGUCUUUUUCUUUUUUUUUUGAUCAAUUGAAUUCUUGAAUGCUAAAUUUCAUUAUUGGUUAAACUAUUGUUAGGUCGUUCUACACUACGAAGUUGGUUUAAUUAAUUUUAAGGAAAAUUUUAAAAAAUAUAACAAAUCGACAAAAUAUUUACACUGUAUGAAACAAUUUUAAAAACGAAAAAAAGAUCAUACUCACACAAUAAAAAAUACCAAGAAUGGUCCAAUCAACACUCGAUUAAUCGACCACACGCGCAUGUGUAAUUCUUUUUCUAAACUAUAAUGAUACGCAAUCGUGUAUAAAAUGAUAUACAAUCGUGUAGUUCAUAAUAAACAAUUGUUAGUUCAUGAUAAACAAUGAUUUUGAAAUAAUCCUAGUAAACAAUCAUGUAGAUGAUAAUACACAAUCAUGUUUAGUUAAUGAUACACAAUAGUAUAGUUAUUCAUGAUACACGAUCAAGUAUAGCUCAUGAUAAACGAUGGUUUUGCGUCCUAGUAAAUGAUCGUGUAGAUCAUGAUACACGAUUGUGUAGUUCAUAAUAAACGACGGUUUUGAAAAGCCCUAUGAUAAACGAUCAUGUAGUUCAUCUCUGCUCACGGUACAUUGAAAUAAAAUAAUACAAGAUUAAUGAUUGAUUAAUAACAAAAAUAAUAAUAACACAAGUAUAAUGAAAAAGAAUUGUAGCCACCUUCUUUAUCCUACAUAUAUAUCUUUUUUAAAAUAAUAAUAUUAGUAAUAUUUAUUUAUUUACUUUUAAAGUAAAAAAUUAGUAAUAACAUGAUAUCUCGUAAUAUCUCAUUUUUUAUCCUUUUAGGAAAGGAAAACAAAUCCAUUUAUUUUAAUUAAAAUCUUUUAACAUCAAAUAAAUUAUGUAGUUUUAAAUAAAAUAUUUUUUAAAAACUUAUUUCUACUCAUUUUAGGAAAAAAUUAAAUAAAUAAAAUCUUUGACUUAUUUAUAUCAUUUUAGGAAAAAAAAAGAAAAUCAAUUUUAAACAAAAAUAUUUUAAUAUCUAUUUAAUUUAUUAAUUUAUUUUUCACAAAAUCUCAAAAUAUCUCAUUUAAUUUAUUUUAGAAAAAAUGAAAUUUUGUUUCAGUAACAUAAUAUCAAAUUUUGAUUUUUUUUUUUAAGUUGUGGUACAGCCCGGACUAUAAAUAUGGACCUUUGUCAUUUGAAAAUAAGGGAGAGUUUCUUUUUUUAAAAAAAAAAUGAAUUCUUUGGGGAAAAAAGUUUCUUAGAAAAAUUUUUUUGUUUAGAGUGAGUGCUUGGACUUUUUUUUUAUUAUUUAGAACGAAUUUCUGUGAAAAAAAUUCAGCAAAAAGUGAGUUUUUCUUAUUUUUUUCAUUACCUUAUUGUCCCUACUCCUUUUCUAAAUUUAUCUUAAGAAAAUCAAAAUCCCAUUUGAAAUAAAAUUAGUUGGAGGUUGCAUUUGGUAGGGAUUUAAUUCCAAAGAUUCAAGAUUUAAAAUUUGGCCACCGUUUUCCUAAAUGGAUGUUGUGGGGUGCUAAUACCCUUCUUACACCCAAAUGACUACCAAAUUCAACUCUAUUUUUUCGUAGAUAAUUUUUUUAAAUUGUUUACUUUAUUUCGGUGUCCAAUCACACCGUACAAAAGAUUGAUGGCGACUCCUAUUUUCUUUUUAAACUAACUCUUUCUAGGACAUCAGCCACUCUGCGUCGUCUCAAGCACGUGGCGACAAGAAUAACAAUAAUUGUAGGACAAUGAUCAUGAUUUCAAAAAAAUACAAAAUAAAAAUUGUAGAAGAAGAAGAGAAUGAAGAAAUCAGAAUUGCGUGAAAUGCAAAAGCGUUAGAGGCAAACCUAUAAUAUUUAAAAAAUGGUCGGUUUUAUGAACUUUUUAUUUUGUUAUGAGUCGUAAAUAUUUUUGUUUUUGUUAUAUUUAUAAAAAUUAACAAAUUUUACGGUAUAUGUAACAAAAUCAAAAAACCCAUAAAGUAGGUCAUUUUUUAAAAUAUUCCAAGUUUGCCUUUCAUUUCCAUAUUCUUUACUCUAUUUCUUCUACAAUUUUCCUUUUACUUUCCAUCGUCUUUCUUCUGCAAUUUUUCUUUUAUAUUUUUUGAAAUCACGAUCUUUGUUUUCAAUCAAUCAUAAAUUUUGUAUUAUUUUUUUUUUUCAAAAUGUUAUUUGGUUGAAGAUCGUAUACCAAUAUUAUUGUUACAUGAUCGUUUAGAUUUAUCUAAUCGAUCAUGUAUAAACAUAAAUUUAAACAAUCGUAUUCCAAAUAAUCUUGAAAAGAAAAUCGUUGGAAUAUUGGUACACUCAGUGAAUGGAUCCAUAAAUUUUAUUACCAGAGGACUUUAUAGUUCAAUCAAGAAUUCUAAUUUUUAGACCAAGAUCUGCUGGUAAAUCUUAUAAUUUUACUUUAGUGCGUCUUAUAACUAUUAUUACUUUUCUUCAAAUGAGAAGAUGGUCCCGUCGAUUUUCUUUUAAAAUAUUUCUCAAUUUAGAUUUCAAAUUAAAUCUAGCUACAAUAACGUAUCGUUGUAAUGAGAAUAAAUAAAUUAAAAAAGAUAUUGACAUAUAACAACAAUAUCAUAACAUAAAAAACCCUACAAGUUUACUUAAGAUCCAUAAAUUAUUUCGAGAAUGAUUAAAAUAGGAUAACAUUUUGAGAAUAUGAUAUAACAAAUAUAACACAUUGUUUUAGAAUUUUGCAAAUAUGGCAAAAAAUUUACUUAUAAAAAACUUUUCAUCUUAAAUUUGUUAUUAUUCCUAAACUACCAUUCGAAAACUUAUUUCUCUUCCUCUUUUUAAUGUCCUAUUCAUUAUUUAUUUAUUCUUUCACUUUUUAACAUCCUAAUUAUUUAUUUAUUCUCAUACGAGAAAAAUUAUUUGUUAUUUCUCUCUUAAUCUUGAUUUUAGAAUAUCAAUAGUACAAUAAUUGUAAUAUAAAAUAUAUCCCCUGAUUAUAAUACAACGAUUAAUUUUAAAGCUAAUCCAUAAACCUUUUCAAGUGUAGGAUACUAUAAUUAAAAGAAAAACCCACGAAAAAGGACAUAGUAACCUACCCUACUUGAUCUUUUUAAUACAUCUUUUUAAGUUCAACUAUGGCAAAACUAGGGAUCCAACAUCUAACCUCAAAAACUCUUGUCAAUUAAUGUUAAGUUAAAUCGAUCUCUAUUGAUUGUUUUUUAUAGGAUACAGCAUAAUGUGUCAUGAAUUAUUGCUAAAUAUAAGCAUAGGAAAUAUUUUAUUCUAACAAUGAACUAGAAAACAAUAUUUUCUAUAUAAUUAUUGCCCUUAUUAUCAACAAUAAAUAAUAAAAGCUUAAGGAAAAGAAAUAGAUGACACAUAAAAAAUAAAAUUGAGACUCCAAGUAUGGAUUGAACUAUAAAUUGAAUUAGCUUAUAAAAUGAAGAAAAAAGAAGAAUGAAAUUGCAAUAAUUAUUACAUGUAUAGAAAAAGAGGACAUUUUGUGUCGGCAAGAUGAAACAUAUAUAUGAAUGUGACAAUUAAUUAUCAAUGACCCACAUUAGCUAUAGGAAAGAACGUCUAGAGCUACCUAUCUAACUGCCCUACCUUAUAAUAUAAAUUAAUAUCAUUAACAAAUUUCAAUACAAGGAAUAUAAUUUCAAAUCCUUUGCCUUUAAUUUUUUUUUAUUGGAUUGACCAUGACCUUAGUUUAUUAUUUCUAUAAUAACAAUACAAACAAGGGGGAAAUUUUUGGCUUUCUAGUCUCUUUUGUAUUCUUACACAAAAUUUUGAAAUUUUCAUCAACUUUUUUAGAAAAUUUAGACUGUUUAUGGAGAGUGAUAUAAUCUUGGGUGAACUAUUUAUUUCCAAAAUGAUUAAUUGUAUUGCAAAAAAUUGACAAUAUAUCGUUAUUCUCAACCACCUAAGCUAAUGUUUAUUGGAGAUUGACCCUACAUCAUUAUUGUUGCAUUUCUUUUUCUUUUAAUUGGAAGGAUUUGAAUGGUGAAUGUCUAGGAAUAUGCAAAAUUUUGAAAGAGAGAAAAUCCUAUAAUUUUGGUACUAGUUAUGAACAAACCCUUCUAAAUUAGGACAUGUGAGUUUUGGACUAUAUUUUAUACCAUUUUAUUUGGUGUAGUUAAUAUUCUUGUCAUCAUCACAUAAUAAACGUAACUCAGUGGUUAUUGACAUACUCCUUUGUUAGAACUUUAAAUAUUUAUAUCCCCACCAAUAAGAAAAGAUUUUAACAUGCAUUCAUUCUCCUCACUGAAUCUUCAAGGAUAUAUGGAAAAGUUCAUCUCAAAAUAAUCAUAAAAGGAAAAGGUAAACUACACGUGACUCUCUUUAUAAAUAAAUCAUUACCGUUUGUGUGUAAAAAGUAAUUAAUUUAAAGCUUACUCACAAACUUCAUUGCUUCAACAUUCUAUCACUAUUUAACUUAUGCAUUUGAAUGUAUAAGACAAACGCCACACCAAUGCCGUACAUGUUUUCUCUUUUGUAAAUUAUGUUAUUUUCCAAUUUCAAACAAAUUAACCCUUAAAAUGUGAUAAACUUUGGAGUCGUCUAUGAGGAAGAAAUUGUAUUUCAAUUGUAAAUUGCAUACUUUACCAAAUAUAAGUAUAAGGAGAGACAAGAACAUAAAUAAAGAUGGAGAUUACUCCAACCAAGUCUGUCAGCCCCAAAGAACACAAAACCAUACAACACCUCAGUCUCACAUCCAUAAGAGGGGCGACCCAAGGAAAAUUGGAAACAUUAGAAAAGAAAGUGAAGUGAAUGGGUUAAAAUUAGAAAAGUAAGUGGAAUGAAUGGGUCAAUAUCGAACUUGUUUAUAACUAAAGUUUUUUUCUUACAACCAGAAUCUUCUUCUAAGGGUUCAACAAAACUUUUGUUAUACAAUUUUACUAAAGGAAAAGUCCCUUAGUUAAGGAUGCAAAAGAAAUUGGACCUCAUGUCCAAAGACCAAACAAACUUUAGGGGGAACAAGCAUAGAAGGAAAUUUGAGACUAUCAAAUACCAAUAACAACACGAAGCAAAACACAACAAACCUAGCAGGAACAUUGGACUACAGUAGGUAGUGCAAAUGUGCCAUUUAAUACGACUAGAGAUCAAGGAUCGCCAAGAACCUUAAAGAAUGAAGACAAUUGCGAUAGACAGUUGCAUAAGAUACCCUCACUUGCAUGUCACCUACACUAAUAUUGAGAUUUAUGUCAAAAAACUCGUAGAUUGUAAAUAUAAUUCAUUCAUUGUUAUUAAUAAAGUGUUAUUUUUAUAAUUUCAAUAAAUUUUAUUGAUUACAUUAUUAGUUUUGUCUUAAUAACCCAAAUCCAAUAAACUAACAUCCUAAGUUGUUUGAUGAGUCUUGAACAGUAUGUAGAGACAUACAUGGAUCAAUGUUCGAGACCAGCUUAAAAGGUCUAUACUAUAGAGAUAAGACUGGAUACCUUAUCCUGGUAACACUAUGAAUAUGGGUUACUUUGUAUUUGAUACAAACGCAAUUAUCCAACGUGUUCGUGUAGUUGACAUGCAAGUGAGGGUAUCGUAUGCAAUGAGUUUGCAUAAGACCAGACCACAAAAUAGUAACCACUAGAUGUAACUUCGUUAAAUAAGAUCUAUUUCAUUAGGAUGACCUAGGUAACUUAGUCUUAAUCCUAAGUGUAUUAUGAACUCCUAUUCGGGAGGGAUUGUCCUUUGAUUUGUACGGGUGAGAGUGACAAAAUCGCCAACUCAAUAAGCUUAUCAUUUUGGGUACAAGACCGAGUGGAGUGCUGGAACAUAAUUACACAAGAUGAAAUUCACUCAUUCCCUACUUUAGGGUAAGUAGAUGAACGUUUCCUUAAAUGGUGUCUUCAGGACUUGAACAAAGAGUUCUACCCUCUCUAUGGUACAAGAAGGGUUUUUGUUUAUUGGUUGGACCAUAACAGGUUGUCAUUAUAGCAGCACUAGUAUUUAAGGACUAAGUAACACAUGGGUAAAUCGAUAAUUUGACCUAGUUGGUGUUGCGAACACUUGUGAAGGAAUAACCUCUGUUAUUGGUCUAUAUCCGUGGACACAUAAAUGUAUCUACAGUGAGAAGAGUUCAACUGCUUUAGUGAAAUGUACACAUAGUUAACGAAUAUUGAUUAAUGUUGUUAAUAAGUUUAGCCAAUUAAUCUCAAAUCGUUGUAGCUUCUGAUCAAUAGGUCCAUUAGGUCCCCCUCCUAGCUCGUAAAGAGUAAUGAGAUUUAUUUAUAUUGGUUGUAAUUUGAAAUGUUCAAACUUACUUUGGGAAUUAGUAUAAUGUAUAGUGAUAUAUUAUAAUAUAAAAUUUAUCAAACUUUAUUAUAUAAAUUUAAUUUUGGAUAUUAUUAAAAAUUAAUUUAUGAGAGGUAAAAUAUUUGAAUGAGAUCAAAUAUUAAAUUAAUGUGAAUUUGAUUCAUAUUAAAACGAUUGGUUAUGAGAGAAAUGUAUAUUCUAAUAUGAUUCAAAUUUAACUUAAGUUAUACAUAAAAUAUUUAAUUUAGUUAUUAACUAAUUGGAGAAUUAAUUAGUAGUUUAGUUUAAUAUUAUUUAAUUAAGUUAAUAUAAAAUUAUAAGAUAUUUAAGAGAUAUUAAUUAAAUAAGAUUUAAAUGAAAUAUUAAAUAAAUAUUAUUUAAUUAAUUAUUAACUAACUGGUUAAUAGUUAAUUAAUUAGUUGAUUUGAAAUUUUUAUUAAUUUAAUCUUUUUAAAAUUAGUAGAAUCUCAUGAUUAUCUCCUACUCCCUUUCUUACUCCAAGAAGGAAAGAGGGUUAUAAAUAUCUAGAAGAAAACGGUUUUCUUUAACCAUUCAAUCAAUCAAAAUAAAACUAAUAAUUUUGUUUUUCUGCAAAUAAAACUAAUAAUUUUGUUUUUCUGCAGAAGAGAUCCUCUACAAAAUCUCUAAACUUAUUUCUAUCUUAGUUGGUAUCCACAAACCAAUCUUAUCUGAUAGGAUAGAAAGGUCUCCGACAGGUGGUGUCCCAAUUUGGAGAUUUAUUUAGUAGAUUCAAAGACUUCAAACAAGUAAAUUUUUCUUUCUCUAAUCUAUAAUUAGAAAGCAUGCUAAGCCUUUAAGUCUUAAUAAGAAAAGUAGUUUUUUAAAAUUAUUUUUGUCAAUUUAGUGGUAUUUUGAGAUUCACAAAAUAAAUUGAGGAAUGGUUCUGUAAAAUCUUCCACUGUCAUAUACUUUUAUCCCUUCAAUGUUGGAUUAUUGUGUUUGUAUCAAAUACAAAGUGAGUCGUAUCCAUAGUGUUACCAGGAUAAGGUACUCAGCCUUAUCUCUAUACUAUAGACCCUUUAAACUAAUCUCAAACAUAGAUCCUUGUAUGUCUCUACAUAUUAUUCAAGACUCAUCAAACAGCUUAGGGUGUUAGUUUAUUGAAUUUGGGUUAUUAAGACAAAACUAAUAAUAUAAUCAAUAACAUUUAUUAAAAUUACAAUAAUAACAUUUUAUUAACAACGGUCAAUGAAUUAUAUUUACAAUCUACGAGUUUUAGGACACAAAUUCCAACACCUUUGUUAUAUCGAGCAAGUUCCAAACCCAAGAAGUACUUGAGAGGACCAAGAUCUUUGAGUUUAAACUUUUCAUGUAAUAAUGAUUUGACUUGACUAAUCUGUCUUUCAUUUUCUUCUGUAAUGACUGUAUCAGCAACAUAGAUUAAUAGAGCAAUGAAGUAUUCUCUUUUUCCACGAACAAGCAAGGAGUAAUCAGGUUUUGAUUGAGUAAAGCCAAGCUAAGGGCUAUGAGGGUGUCAGAAAAUUUUGCAUACCAUUAUCAAGAUGCUUGUUUUAGGGCAUAGAUUGAUUUUUUCAAUCUACAAACAAUUUUCUGGUUAUGAAUAUGAGUUGUUUGUAGCUUGUAAUCGAGUGGUAGUUCUAUGAAAACUUCUUCAAAUAAGUCAUUGUGUAGAAAUGCAUUGUUCACAUCAAGUUGAAGAAGAGUCCAAUUGUAGGUUACUUCAUUGUGAGAAGAACUCAAACAGUAACUAGUUUGGCUACCGAUGAGAAGGUUUCUAUGAAGUCUAUUCCUUCUUGUUGGAUAUAUCCCUUUACAACAAGUUUGGCUUUGUAUCAUUCAAUGGAGCCAUCAGCCCUAUGUUUGAUCUUGUACACACAUUUACACCUAAUGGUAUGUUUUGAAGGAGGAAGAGGACCAAUGUUCAAAAUGUGAUUGUUUUCCAUGGCUUGUAUCUCAUGUUCCAUAGCUUCUUUCCAAUGAUCAUAGAAAAUGACUAGGUGAUAGUAUUGGGGUUCAUAAUGGGAAGAUGUGGCUAUUGAUAAAGAUUUGAAGCUAGAAGAAAGGUGGUUGUAUGAUAUAGAAGAGGUGGGGGGAUAACGUGUGUUGAGGGAAGGGAGGUUUGAGAGGUUGGUAAGGUUACAAUGGUAGUCUUGUAGAUAUGAGGGAGGUUUUGAUGUUUGUUGGAAUUUUCUAGGGAUUGAAGCGGGUGGUUGGGAAGUACAAGAUUCAUUGGAUGAUUCUAAGAGAUUGGGUUGGUUUGUGGUGGAAGAAAUGUCAUUGGUGGAUUGGUUAGGUUGAGAAGAUAUGUCACUUGUGGGAUUAUAUGUAAAGGGAUCUAAAUUAAAUAUGUCACUUGUGGGAUUAUAUGUAAAGGGAUCUAAAUUAACAGUGAUAUUAUUGUGAUGGCUAGAUGGUUGGCUACUUGGUUGGUGGCUGGAGGAGAGGUCAUUUGGUUUUCGGUAUUGACCGUUGGAGGGGAUUGGGUUUAGACGUCAAUAUCAAAGGAUUUGGGGAGGACAGGAUUUUGUAGGAAGGGUUGUUGUUCAUUAUGAUCAUUUUCUAUGUGAAAAGGAAAAUUGUUUCAUGGAAUAUCACAUCUCUCGAUGUAAACAUCUUAUUGUUGUCAAUGUCAAAUAAUUUGUAUGCUUUCAUACCAUUUGGGUAGACCAUAAAGAUGUCUGGUGUGGCUCUUGGAUCAAAUUUUGAUCUACCAUUCUGCAGUGUGUGGAUGCAAAGCAUAAGCAUCCAAAGAUCUUUAUCAUUGAGUAAUUUGCCAUUUGUCCAUGUAGGAGUUCAUAAGAAGUAUUCUAGUUCAACACAGGAGAUGAAGUUCAAUUGAUGAGGAAGACAGAGGUUAGGAUGCAUUUAUGCUCCAGAAUUGUAGUGAGACUUGUGAUUGAAAGAACAAAGCUCUUACAUUCAGGAUGUGUUGGUGCUUUUUUUCUACAACUGAAGUUCUGCUUCGGUCUUCCAAUGCAUGAGAAUUGAUGAAUAACUCCCUUUUAGAGGACGAAUUUCGUAAAGGACAGCUCCAGUGCAUUAUCAGAUCUGAACACAUUGAUUGUUUUGUUAUACUGAGUUUCUACAUAGGCAAAAAAUUGAGGAACUAUUUUUAGUAUACCAGACUUGUUUUUCAUGAGAAAAACUCAAGUAUAUCUACUAUGCUUUUUUAUCGAUAACCUCAAACCAAUCAAUCGAAUAGUGAGAAAAUAUUUGUAACCAACAAGUGAAUGAGUUGAGAAAGGACCUCAAACAUCAGCAUGUAUCAUAUCAAAAUUUAUGGUUCUAUUAUUAUGUGAUUCAAAAGAUAACCUCUUUUGUUUUGCUAAAGGACAUAUUUCACAAAGGUGAUUUUUAUUUAACAUAGAAGAAUCAAAAGACAACACAUCUUUUAAACCAGAUAACUGAGAGAUAGAUGAAUGUCCAAGUCUUGUAUGUCAUAUAUCAGGAGUUGCAUAGACUACUCCAUUAAUAAAGAGUUGGAUUUGUGAAGAAUCAACAGCUUUAUAUAGAUUUUCAAUGAUAUAAAGUCCUUCAUGUAGUUUACCCAUGUCAAUCUUCUUCAAAGUGGACUUUGCCUGAAUAUCACAAACAUCAUAAAAAAAAUCUCAUAAUGAGCGUGUUAUCUUUCAUUAAAGUAUUGACAUAUAGUAAGUUGUAUUGAAAUUCUGGUACAUAAAGGACAUGUUGGAGAGCUAUGGAGUCAAAGAGUCUAAUUGAGCCAAUAUAGUGUACUGGAAUUUGGGAGUUGUUGGGGAGAACAACUGAGCUUGCAAUGGGCUUCAAAUCAUAGAAGAUAUGUUUUUAAAAACAUAUGUGUGUUGAAGCUUCCAAGCUAAUAAUCCAUUCGUCUUUAGUUUUGUAAGGAAAGCAAGUACCUACUAUAUGAGUGGUGGUUUCAUGAUCAGUUCUAACAACAACAAGUUUUGACUGUAGCAUGGAGAGUAUGUUGUGGCAUUGAGCAAGUGUCUCACUGUCUAGUGUGAGAUUUGAUGCAGAGGAUGUUUGAUUGAUUUUUGUAGUGUUAUUUGCAGCAAGUGGAUUGUUUGAUGGAGCUUUAUGUAUUUGAUUGUUUGUUCUGCUCUUUGGUUUACAGCAUAGAGGAUAGCCAAUAAGUUUGUAGCAUUUAUCUAUGGUAUGCCCGAAUAAAUGUCAGUAUGUGCAAACGAGUCUAUUCUUGUUUGAGCUAUUGAGAUUAUAGGAAGAGUUUUGGUUGGGGUUUAAUUGAAAUUGUGUGUGGUAUGGGGAUGGAUUAGAUUUUUGGGCGGCUAAAGUGAGGGAUGGAGUAGGUUUUGAAGUAGACUGAAGUUGUUUUUGUUGCACUAUUAAUAAUAAUAAAAAAAACUUUAUUUAUUGCAGUGGAAGGAUCCACAAGCAGAACUUGUGAGCGGGCAUGGUUGAAAUCAUCACUCAAUCCCAUUAGAAAGUACAUAAGAUAUUCAAAUUCCACUAAUUUUUCAAUGGAUUUUAGCACCACCGCAGGUACAUUUGCCACAAGUACAACUUGGACAAUAUAAACCAUAUUCAUCCCAUAAUUAAGCUUUUGAUCUUGAAAAAAUACACUGUGACAUAUUAUUGUUCUUGUUUGAGUGUGGAUAGGUCAAGUUUCAACUAGAUUAUCCUUGGACUAUUUCUCUUUUGGAAACGAUCUUGAAGAUCAAUCCAUAUUGCUCGAGCGAAUUCAGUAAAUAAGAUGCUUGAUGAAAUGCCCUUAGAAACAGAGUUCAGAAUCCAAGCGAUAACUACAUUAUUGUUUCUAAUCCAUAAAGGAAGUAACUCACUAGCAGGUUUGGUAAUUGAUCCAUCAAUGAAUCCGAGCUUGUUCUAAAUUGAUAAAGCAAGAAUCAUCGAGCGGCUUCAUGUGACAUAAUUGUCAUCUGUCAGAUGUUUGAUAACAAGAACAAGAUUGAAUGUAUCACUGUGAUGAAGAGUAUAUGGACUGUUAUAGAGGUUUAUUGUUCCUGUUGGGUAUUACAUGAGGUAUUUGGUGGAUAAUUUAUGGAAGAAGGAGGUAUUGACGAGGAAACUGGAAGUUGGGGAGGAUCUUCAAGAAUUGGAUUUGAGUCAUGGUUUGGCGCGUGGGUAGUAAAAAAAAGCUUAAAACUCUAAUACCAUCUUAAGGAAAAUGCUAGAGGAGAAAGUAUAUUUGACUUGUAUUGAUAAUUUUUUAUCGAUGGAUAUUUAUUGGUGAGGAAGAAAAAUAAUUAAUAAAUAACAUAAAUUUGAAACUAACUAUGGAACUAACUACCAGAUUAAUAACCUCUUUAUAUCUAAUAGUAUCUCAAACUACCAUAAGUUUCUUCCCGACUAUUCUCCAACCUUAAAACAGAGUUGUGGGACCCAAUAUGUGAUUAAUAUUUGGAGAGUAAAUAGAAUUGUGAGUGUAGGAGUUUUUGUGUGUCAAAGUGCUCAAUCUCAUCAAAGUUCUCUAACUCAAGUCCUGCACAAAAAAAAAAAAAAAAAAAAAAUCUCAUAAGUUUACAAAACCAUUGCAUUUAUAGAGAGAAUUAGGAUGAACAAUUGUGUUACAGAUUUUGGUUAGCUUAUUUUAUUAAAGGCAAAAUGGGAGCAUAUAAAAUAUUUAUUAAUAAAUAUAUGGUUAAUAUUUAUUAAUAAAUACAUGAAGUUGGCUUUGGUUGUUUUGACCUAAAAAAAUACACUUUGUGGGCUGUGUGGUUUAUUUUAUGUUUUUGAAAGACAGAAGUGUAAUAUACAUGCAAUAAAAUUAUGUAUUGAUAAAUUUUUUUACGAAGUGUACUCAGUUUGUAUGACAUUUGAUUAACAUCUUGUUACUGUUGUUGUGAAGUACUUGUUAGAGAAAAUCUGCGCAAGUUAGAGGUAGCCUAAUAUUGAAGAUUAUUAUGAGUCUCUCACAAGGGAAACCUACACAUUGAGAUGCAAGGGUGAAGCAUAAAUCAUAUAAUCUAGAGGGAGCCUAGAUCGAAUUCCUUGUUCACACAUCAAGUGAUUUAGAGGGAGCCUAAACGUUUAUCUUGUAAAAGUCAUAAAAUUCAAAAUAAUUGAUUAAAUAAGUUAUGUACUUGUCUCUUCAAUCUUUAUAAAUGAUCUUUUCAAUAGAGCUAAAGGUCUCCCAGAUGUAGGUGUGAUUACACAAAACUGAGUUACCAACAUGCUGUGUUCUAUUCUGUCUUUUCGUACUGUUACUCAUAUUGUUCCUUUAGUUAUUAAUUCGUGUGUUAACUUUAGAUAUCAAGUUAAUAUAUUAUUUAUUUUCUCAAAUUACAUGAAGAGAUUGAACCAUAUAUGCUGACACAUUGGAUUCCAUUAAGACAAAGUGGGGAGCACUAUUUCUAGAAACCACUACUCCAUAAUUCUACUAAGCUUGGGUGGGAGACAUGAGAUAUUUUUAUGCAACUACACCAUCCCAUGAGAAAAUUCAACUAUGUCAGUGGAAUUAACCAAAAGUAAUUGUUGGAAUUUUCCACUAAAUGGUCAAAGGAUAUUUUGGUCAUUUAACCUUUAGGUCAGUAUCUUGACUAGUCAAAAUUUUGACUUCUAAAGUCAAGCAGUUAACAAUUUUAACUAACAUUUACCUUUAAUUUUACUUUUUAUAUUUAAUAUUUCGUAUUAAAUCUCAAACACCCAAAUGUGAAUAUGAAUUUAUAUUCUCGAUAUUUAAAUCGUAUUUAAAUAUUUUGCUAAUUCUCUCAAUACCUUAUCGUUAAUAUUCUCUCCAACCUAAUUCUAAUACUUUGAAUUAAUAUGUUGUAUUGUUCUAGAGUUUAUCUCAUUGUGAGCUAGCAAAGGAACCUUAUGGACCUACAGAUCAUGAGCUCCAACAAUAUGAGAUUAACCAAAAACUCUUUAACCUAGUUAACCAACACUCGUUAACUAACUAGACAUGUCCACUAUAGUUAGUAGCUACACUCUCCUCACUAUAAAUAUAAUUAUGUUCACUUAAUAUAAACAUGAUUAGUAAGUCGUCGAUCCUUCACAUGUUAUUCAUAAUUUAAAGCGGUUGGGUUAAAAUGUCGUUUUACCCCACAAUUACAUCUUCUUCCUUAAGCCUCACCAAUCAUCUAAUGAACAGUUGAUUUAAGGUCUAAUUACCACUAAACCAAAUCUCUCUCAUGUCAAUAAGAGGGUGGAGCUCCUUAUUUCAAUCCCAAAGUCAACACACUUAAGGAACAAGCUCUCUACUAUCUCUUACAGCAGGAAAGUGAAUUUCGUCUUGCAUCCUAUGUUUCCAACUAACUACCGAUCUUACCCUUAAAAUGGAAGGCUUGUUCUAUCAUGGAGCUGCCCUCACGCAUGCAAAUAUAUGGCUAAUUUCAAAUUAACAGGAGUUCAUAGUUAGCUCAAAAUUAAGAUUGAGUUACAUAGGUCAAUAGUUAGUUUUAAAUAGUAAAUUGUGUUAUAAUGUAAAAAUGAUUAUUUCAUAAUUCGGUUUUAUGCAAACUCUUUGCAUAGGAUGACUUCACUCGCAAUGUAUUCACAUGAACGAUUUAGGAUUACAUUCUUUAUACUAAACAAAAAGUGGGUCGUAUCCAUAGUGUCCUCAGAAUAAUGUAUCCAACUCUAUUUCUAUAUUGUAGACCAUUUAGAUUAUUAACUCAAACUUGAUCCACUUUUAUGUCAUUAUCUGAAGUUUGAGUAUUGGUUAAAUAUUUAUCGUUUAUUAAAUAUUUGUAGAGAAUGUGAUUGUAGGCAGAAAAUUUCAUCAGCAAAAAACAAAAGACUAAUUACAUCAAAAUAGCAUAGACUUUAAAUGGUCAAUCUUAGAAAUGAAAUCUUAUUUUAAUUUAAAACCAUUACUUUAAACACAAGUGACUUAAAUGUUGAUAAUUAAACACGUGUAGAAGGGUAAAAAUAAGAAAUAAUGAACCCCUAAAACAAAAAGUAUAGGUCAUAGUUAGAUCAUAAUUUGAGGUGUAUUAUUUGUAUCCAUUCAUAUGAAAAACAGAAAAAAGAGUUUAUUAUUAUUGGGAUUAUUUUGUCUCCGGUAGAAUAGAUAAAUAUUAAAGCGAUAAACAAUGAACAAUUAGAAUUUGCAUUGACUUAGGAAUAUGGAAAAAAAGACUUUAAUGCAUAACAUUAUAUGAAAGUGGGGAAAGGUAUCUUUUAAAGAAAGAAAGAGAGAGAUGGUAGGGUAUGUACCCUAAGCUAGAAGACAAUGCCACUCCCAUAAGAGCACGGACCCGUACCAACCAAUAUAUUGGAUUCGAAAGGAUUGGUGGGUCAAUUUUGAUGGGGUUUUUAUUUGUUUAUUUUUUUUUUAUUUGAUGAUUUAAUUUCUCGUCAAUUUGAUGAAUUAUUGAAUAUGGUUGUAGUUCACUAUCAAUAAUGUAUGUAUGUGUCUUCAAACCAUACCACCCUUUAUUUGGCUAUUUAUCAUUUUAGUGAUGGUUAACUUUAGGACAUUUAACUUAUCAAACUCCAAGUUUAUGAUUUAGAAUUUGGAUUCAACAUUUGAUAGGCCAUAAUAUUUUCUUACUCACACAAAAUAUUCAAGAAGUCGUCUUCUAAUAUCGUUCCAAUCUAAGCACAUUUAACUAUAAAAUUCCUAUAAUUGAGGUACUAACUAAAAGAAAAAGAUGAUAUUAGGUAGUGUACGACUUUCUUAACUAUACAUUCAUAUCAUUAGAAUCACUCUUAUUCAUAUCUUUCCUAGACUCAACCAUACAUGAUCAUCAACUUUUGCUUCCAUUUGUCCUUCAACCAUAACUUUUGCCUUAAUACCAUUUGUAACUCUAGAUUCAUGAUUCAAACUCCAAAAUCGACUCCUAAUUAAUGAUCUCACAUUCUCUUGCUUCCUCUGUGCAAACAAUUUGUGGUAUAUACCUAUCUUGAACUGCUUUCAAAGAGAGAAGAUUAUGCCCACAAACUAAUUCUCUAAUACAAUUUGUUGUCCUAGGUUUAUAAUUUAGAAUAAAAAUUUGGCACUUAACGACCUAAAAUUCUUUUGCAUCCUAUUUGACCUAGCUAGGUUAUCUACUUGUCUUAAAUUACUUUCAAGUGUGGGAAUUAUCCUCACAAACCAACACGUGCUUUUUCAACAUGUUUUAUCCUUACUCGCAUGUCUGCUUUUUAGAAAAAAUUAUUAUGAGAUCACCUAACAUAAAAUUUCUCCAAUCUAAUUAAGCGCAUAUGACUAUGAAAUUCUUAUUACCGAGCCAUUAAAAAAAAAAUUGCACAUUGUUAGUAUAGGUAAUAUCUUUUAAUUCUUUCAAACAUUUCUUAACCAUAUUUUUGUAUUAUCGAGAUCUCUCUCAUUCAAUCGUGAUAUCAACUCGUUCAUAUACUUCUUUUAAAUGCGGCCAUUACAUUUGGAAUUGUUUUUUUGAAGUUUGACUUUUAAGAUCAUUUGGAUUGACUUUCUAAAUAUUUAUAAACUUUUUUUUUUUUUCUGUGCUCAUGAACACUUAUUUAAAAUUUAGGAUGUCAACGCAGAUGCAUCCUUACAUUUUAAGAGUAUAGAUUAGUCAAUACUUUUAAAUAAACUAACAUGAUUUUUGAGAAGUUUAAGUAACAAAAUUUUACUUCUUUGUUGCUCUAUUCCUUAACUAUUUGAUUUUUUUUUUGUUUGUAUGUUAUGAUUUUUAAUUUUGUUUUUUUUUAUAGGAACAAAAACCAAACAUGUUUGAUAAUGAUUUUUAGAUUUCUAUUUUUUUUUACAAAAAAAUAUUUUGAAUAUUAUUUUUUUAAGAAAAAAAUCAAACUAUUUUUACUGUUAUUUUUCAUCUAAUAUUAUAAUUACAAAAUUAUAUCCUUGUUUUAUUUAUUAUUAUCGUUUUUAUAAUAUGCUUCCAUGGAAGAAAAUUUCAUUAUUUAUUUAUAUUUAAAAUUCAUUUGACAAAACAAUAUGAAUAUUUUAAAUGAUUUGAUUAAUCAUAAAUAAAAUAUUGCUUCUAUGGAAGAAAAGUUACAAUAAAACGUAUCAACAAAUUAAAGGAAAAUAAUGCUAUUUUGUAAGAACAAACUACAAGGGAAUAAAGAAACAAUGAAAAAAAUUGUUUUACAAAAAGAAAAAACAAUCUCAUGAUAACUUGUGGUUUUCUAAUUUACUAAAAAAUAAUAUUUUCUACCAUACUAUAAAAGAAAUUUCCCUUUAAAUCAUUUUUCUAAUACUUUCAUUGUUCAAAAAUAAUAUUUUCACCAUGUCAUAUUUUGUUCUCUUUUUCCCACAUUAAAUUGUUAAAGAAUUGUCAAAAUUAAUAUAUACAUUCCAUCAAAAACCUUUCUCUUUUAGUAAUUUUUUUAUUGGAACGUAAAUAGUUUGUUUUUUUUAUUAUUUUUAAAAAAGAUUCUUUUAAGUUUUUAGAUUGUUUAUUGUAAUAUAUUUAUUUAGGUUAUUUAACGAUUUUACUACCGUUUAUAAAUAUUUUUAAAUUCUUUGCCAUAUUUAAAAAUGCCGUUAGUUUAUGACAAUAAAAUUUAUAAUUAAUAAUAAAAAAAACUCUAGUUAACUAAAAUUAAAGAUCGUAAAAAAAAUGAAGAGCCAUGCACUUUAAGUGUGUUAAAUUUUUGAAUAAAUGUAAGUAUUAAAGAUAAGUGCAAAAUCAAUCUAAUUUUGGUUAUAUCCAAAAUGGAUGAUUUGACACUGGGAUGACUUAUUUGUUGAAUGAUGUAAAAUUUUGAUUGCUAUUUGAUGCUCUACCAAAUUAUUAAGAGAUGUUUUUAGUAAUUUUCCAUAUACUAAUGGUGACAUCUGAAUUGACAUUUUAAAUAAUAUUCAAAGACAUAAUCAUAUGUUUUACUCUUUAUUUGCUCCAAUUAGAAUUUUAUAAUCAAACAAAUACAUUGAAAAGAAUCUUUUAUAGAUAAAUUUCCUCCAAUUUAUGUUUCAAUGGUGACCUUUAAAAUUAACUUCUAGUAAUUAGGAUAUAUAAUCAAUCCUUUUCACUAUUCACCAACUUUUACUAGUCAUAUAUAUCUUUAAAAAAAAACAUCAAUAACUUUGUCCAGUUAUAAACCAUCAAACUAAUUCAUUUAUAUUUAGAAUCUUUUUAAAAAUGUAAAUCGAUAAAGAUCGUUUAAAUAUAUUGAUACACGAUCGUUUAGAUCAAAUCAACACGAUCGUGUAGUUAUUUAUAAACGAUAAAAAAAAGAAUUUUAAAUUCAAACGAUCGUGUUGAUCACGAUAAACGAUUGUGUAGAUUAUGUCAAAAUGAUAUUUAAACGAUCGUAAUAUUCUUCAAUAUGAGAAAGAUGAAUUAGCUUCAAAGAAUUUUGUCGAAAACGGUGAAGAUGAAAUAGGAGAUUUAAACAAAAGAAUAAAUCGUUAAAAAUAUAAUAAAGAAAAUUUGAAAUAGAAGGUGAAGAAUUAUGGAAGAGAAAAUGAAUAAAUCACAAAAAGGAAGAAGAAAAAGAAGUGACGAAUCUGUCUCCAAUAUCGAAAAAAAUUUAAAAUUAUGAAUCGGUAAUAUAACUAGCAAUGUAUGAUGUAGUUUCUUCCCAUCCCUCUCAUCUUUCUUUCUUUUUCUUUUUCUUUUUUUAUUUUUCUCAAAAUUUUGAAGUUCAAUAUAUAGAAGAAUUGUUCUAUAACUCAUCAAAUUGAAGUUGCAAAAGCAUGCUGAUGUCAAAUUUUGGACAACGUUAAGCCCACAUAUUAUCUUCUCGUAUGACAAAUUUGUUAAAAGAGGGAAAGAAAGUGACCUGCAAAAAAAGAAACUUACACACACUGGCGUAAGUGUUUGUCACACAUACUCUGAUGCUUAAGUUAGAGAAAUUAAAAAUUUGUGGAAGUUAGAAAGAGUUUGAAAGUCUAACUCAAGUUACCUCAUAAGAAGUUAUAAUGAUGUAUUUAUAAAGAAAAUUAACCUAAUGUGUUCUUAAGGUUUUUGAGUUUUCUUAAGAUAAUUAGUCAUAACAAGCCAAAAAAAGAGUAUGUCUGGUUUAAUGAUUGACUAGGGUUGGCCUCGACUGAGAAACUUCCUUGAAUUAUAUAUUGAGCUUUAAUUAAAGUGUUACUUCGGGUUGAACAUGGGUAAAACUUGCUCGGCUUGGCAUUUGGCAAGGAUUGGCCUAGGCUACUAGCUUAGGCCAAGCCCAAUCUAGCUCCCUUUUCCUAGGCCUAUUUCAGUUUUUACUUGUUAAUUUUGGCUCGUAUCAUGCUUCUUGAUUUUGUCAUUUCUAAAUGUGAAUUAUAUCAUUUAGUCCAAAAUCAGUCAUAAACAAAAUUAAAUGUUGUGUAAUGAUUAUAGACCAUUUUAUAUCCUUAAAAUUAAUCGUUAAGAGAACUUCUAAUAUAAUCUUGGACCGAUGUAUGGCAUAUGACAUAACUUUUGAUUCCAUUCUCCUUUUUCAAUUAGUGUACGGUUCUUUUUCAAAAGUGUUACUAAAUGUUGGAACGAAUAUACAUUCAACUAGUUUUUUCAACCAAAAGAAUUUUUAAUUAGUUUGAAUUAGAAAAGGAGCCAAAAAAUUUAUGAAUUAGUUUAAGUUGAAGAAGCAUAAAUGUCAACUUCAAAAUUCUCAAUAUACUUCGGUGGUACAAAAUUUUCUCUCUUUAAAAAGCAUAACAUUAACUUUUGGGUCACCACAAAAAAAACUCUUAUCCACAUCUCAUACCUUAAGAAUUACCCGAUCAAAUUCGCCAAUAAAGAAUGUUACUAUACCAAUUUAUUUUGUUUUAUUUGUAGCAAUCAUUUAUGACAUACUAAUGCUAUGAUAUCAUUUUUAUAUCUAGCCUGGAUACUUCAAUAUAGAAUUCAUAUUUUUAUUUUUAUAUACCUAAGUGGGAGAUGUUAUGAGCUUUAAUGAUCUACUUGGUUAUUUUUAGACACAUAUCUCCCUCUAGAUUUUAUUUCUAAAAAUGAAAAUGAAAUAAAUAACUUUUAUUUUUUUCCCUACUUUUAUAAUAAGCAUAAGCUUUUGAAUCUUAUGGUAAACAAUUCAUCUUUCCUCAAACGAAAAGGGUAAAUAAUUAAUUGAACAAUAUUCUCAUCCAAAUAAGAAAAAAAUAUCCAUUUAUACAUAGAAGGAUAUCUAUUAAAAUUCUAAAUUAACAAUUUUACAUCUUUGACAUUUUAAGAUUUUAAAAAUAAUCAAAUUAGACUAUUUUCACUCUCAUUUUAGGUACCCUCCAAAAAUAGCAAAAGAAUUUAUGAUAAUGGAACUCAUGUCAUUAUAUUUUCUAAAUUGUAAAAGUAUCAAAUUUAAAAACUGAUAACUCUAUAAUUAUCGUCUGAUAGCCCUUCGAUAACCCUAUGAUUACCGUUUGAUAUCACUAAUUUUGUCAUAUUCGUAAUAUACAAAAAAUAGGUGUCAUGAGCUGUCUUUUUCUUUUCUAAAUGUUUUUGUCAUUUGAUGCAAUUUCAUUCAUUUUAUUUAAAAUAAAAUCAAAACUAGAAAUAAAAUUACUAAUUUUCCCAAGGUAGAUUCUAUAAAAGUAUAAAGUAGUAUUAAGUAACAAAAUAGACGUUGAUAUAAAAGAAUAAAUCAGUUUGAAAUGUUGAUACUUUUAAUAAUGUUAUUGAAAUAACUAUUAUUAAUAAUAGGGUGGUGAAGUCGUAUAUUGGGUACACGACUACGUUAAGUCGUAUGUCAAGUACACGACUCAUAUAAGUUGUCUUUCUAGUGUGGCAAUAUUGAUUGUCAUGUUGUCUAGCCUGCAAUGAAGUCGUGAACCAAGUGCACCACUUCAAUGCCUAGUCGUGUACUGAGCACAUGACUCCUCUCUCAAAAUCCUACCAUUCCCUUUUGGGAACCCUCAACCCAUUUUCUUAAAAAAAAAAUAAAAGAACACAACGGUUCUUUCCCUUCGAUCACCGCUAUCUCCAACACAACCGUUAUUGUCAUCGUGUCCCACCAUUUGUCAUCCGUUGUUGCCAUUAUUACCAUCGAUCUAAGCUAUAUAAAAUUAUUCUCUUUUUUUAUACAUUUUGGUUUAUCAUAUAUAAAUCUAUUUGUAUGAUUUAUUUGAAUUUCAUAUUCUUUUUGUUCUAUAAAGAAUACAUUGCAUCAGAAAUUGAGCGUUUAUAAAGUUGUAUGUUUUAAUUGUUUGGAGUGUUAUUGAUUAUAAUUGCAUUGUAUGUGUUGUAUAAAUCUAUUUGUAUGAUUGUUUGUUCUAUAAAAGUGUAAGUUUGAUGUAUUGAUAUGUAAAUUCUAAAAACAAAAAUAGACAUUUUGAAAAAAUAAAUAUCUUGUAAUGAAAACUUAGAUAUUUUAAAUUAAUUUUUGACAUUAUCUCAAUGUAUUUUAAGUGUUUCUCUGACUCUAAUCUUGUUUUUUAGAUUUUUUUUUUUUUUUUGUUACGGGUAAGGCAAUUAAAGUUUGGACUUGAGUAUUGAAGUUUUUUUUUUCUUUAAUUAGUGUAAUGUUGAAAUAGGUUAUGGUUUGAUGUUUUUCCAACUUUAACAGUUGAUUAAAUAUGUGAUGUGAUCUGAAGAUUUAGUUAUUUUUUAACUUGGUAAUGAUGGGGAUAGUGAAUUGAUAUAAAAGUUGAUGAAUUAUUUGGAAAUAAAUGAACGAAAUACAUAGCACGAAAAUGAAAUGGUAUCGUCUGAGAUAUUCACCUAAAUAGACUAGAACAUUAUUGAUUCUAUUUGUGAACAAGGUUAACAUUGGGAGAUAGAAAUAUAUAAUGUAAAUUGUUCUUGUUCAAUUCAAAAGGGCGUAUGUUAUUUAACACUAGAGAAGAAGUUCAAUGGGUGGUUAUAAAGUAUUGCAUGACAACACUAUCAUUGAGUUGAUGAUUUUUUUUUACCCUUUUUGUUAUUUAAUAGUAAAGAAGAUCUUCAAAUGAAACAUGUCGAACAAUCAGCAAAUAUGAUGUUAAUCUAUCAACAGCUAUUUGACCGAGAUUGAUGCGCACUCAAAUAGCAAAGUAUUAUACAAAUGAAUACUACAUAUUUUUUGUUGUCUACUUAUGUUUUUUUUAACAUAUUAAUUAUGGAGACGAUACGCACACAAUAUUAUGGCAUUAUUGCCUAAUCAGUGUCAUAAUGGUCAAGAAGUUUGGACUUACUUUGGCCCUCUGAUAUGCUUUCGUGCCGUAGGUGACAUUUACCAAAUAAACUGUUACGACAGUACGGUCUGCUCCAAAACGCACCAUCGUUGUGGUGUACUGGCUUAACACUACACCAAAUUGAUUUAAGAGGUAAACAUGAUCAAUGUUGAUGUAAGAUUCACGAUGUGGCCUAUACAUCAUGAUCAUUGUGCACAUGGAGAAGCAACACACAUGACCCAAUUGUAUUAGCUGAUGACUAUUUUUUCCGACACAAGUCAAUAUUACAAGAUGAUUUAUCACACCUAAUCGCGCUUACUAUUAUUGCAUAGUAAGAAUUUUAAUAUGAUAUGUUUUAUAAUUUUAUAAUAUGAACAUUAUUUAGUGUUUUAUAUUUAAUCAUGCAAAAUAAUUUUGUUCAAGAAGAUGUACAUAAUUAAUGAAACACGAUUUCCUAGAUUUGAGUUCAAUGUAUUAUCAAACAUUGGUAAAUGUAAAACAUAUUAUUCAACAAACAAAACGAUUAAUGUUAUAAACAUGAAUCGAAGACAUAUUUAAUACAUAAACAACGAUAUGGGAAUGAUAUUAUAUAAAAUAAUUGCAUUCUAAUUCUUUCCACCAAAACAGCAGUCAUAAAAGAAACUUAAAGGAAAAAAUAACAAAAUUAUAAGAGUAAUCUAUUUUCAACUAGAAAUGUAACAUUUACAGCUUAAACAAAAAAUGAACAAAAGCAAAAGAAAAGAAAUCAAUUUAUGGUGCUUUAGUCUAUUUAUAAUUUAUUAUUAAAUAAAUAAUUAAAAAAUAUUAAAUACAAUUAAACAACGGAUACAUUAAUGUUUGCUUGUCCACUCUUACCAAACAAGAAUAAGUAUAUUGUUGAUAUGCCUUGAAUAAGAAAAUAACAUCGCAUAACCGACAUGAACUUAGUUUAACAUCGCACACCUUUAAAAAUUUAAAGGAUAGAACUUAAAAAUUUGAGAUAACAUUCUUUUAAUGGUCCACGUGAUUCUGCAUAUAUUCAGCAUGCAACAUGCAAAAUUUUAGUAAAUAGACAUGAAAAAAGUCAAACGUAUAUAAUAUUUAUUAUCAAAUAUGAUAACUUGACCAUAAAAGUAUUUUUUUUCCCUGUAUUCAUAUUUAAAUUUUACCACUCUUAAUUAUUUGGUAUGUUAUAUUUAUUAUCAAAUAAAUAAUAUAAUCGACUAGACAAAUUCUACAUUUUUAAUGUACCUUCUCUUUUAUCAUUGUUAUAUAAUUAAUUAUUUGCAACUAAAUUUAUAAAAAUCAAACUAUAUAUAUACACACAUACAUACAUACACACAUACAUAUAUACACAUACAUACAUAUACAUAUAUCUAUACAUACAUUACGCAUACACAUACACAUAUCUAUAUAUACAUAUACUUUUUUAUUAUUUGAAAUAUAGUUUGAACGUUUGUGCAUUUUUGUCUGGUCAUUUGAUAUGAAAGGACAAGACCUAACAUUGACAUGAGGUUAUAUAUAUAUCUUCAACAUACUCUAAUGUUUAAAUCGAUGUACUUAAGUUGUUAAGGUUGUACAUAAUAGCAAACAACAAGUACUUAAUUGAAAAGUAGAGACAAUGUCUUGAGAGUCGUUGGUUGUAUAUUACUUAAAUGUUUGCUGAUCAUAUUGAUCUUAAGCCUUACGAGAUGCUUAUUCAUCGAUCAUUAGUUCACAUGAUGUUUUACAAGAGAUCAUAGCGACCAUGGGCUCAUUGGCUUUUGACCUCACACCCAUUUAGGGUAUCCUUAACAAUUUGGUUUCAUUCCAAAAAUUUUAACAUAUAAAAACGUUCGUAUUAAUAAAAAAAAUAAUCAUGAUAACAUAUACACACAUUAUUUUCUUCUUUGGUAACCCAUGUGAAACUUUUUUGUUACAAUAACUACUCUACAUAAUUUGAGAUUAGGGUUAUCCCCAUUGGAAUACAUUGAAUAUAAGCAAAUUUCUCUUUUGAAAACUCAUAAUGUAGAACAAGAAACCAAAAAUGGUAAUCCAAUCAUCCAAUGAGUGUAAUAACAAAAGGCAGAGAAGGAUACAAUGUCAGUCAAAAAUAGGGCAGAAGCUAUAGAGCUGCCAUUGAUGAAGUUUUUAGCUUCACAAUAGACCUUCCCCCACCUUAAUUAGGCCUUGCAAAUUCCAAUAAACUAUACCUAAAGAAAUAUACAAUUUUUUAAUUUUUUUUUUAAAUUGUGAAAGGUCAAAAUUCAAUGAUAAAUUGGUAAUUCUCAAAAGAAGUGUUUCAAAACAACUAACCUGCUUGAUGAAUGGUAUACACCAUCACCUUAAAUUACUACUUAACUGCAUGCAUUACCAUGUGAUUUUAUAAAUUAAUCAUUUUUAAUUUGUGUGUUUCUCUUCCAUUAAAAUAUAUAGAAUCUUCCACACUAUAUAUUAAUUAACAUAUAUUCCUUUUGAUUUAGAGAGAGAAAAAGAGUUGAGAUGAUAGGGGUUGGAACUAAAUAAACAUAAUAUGAUAUAUUGUAUUAAAUUAUAAUAUAUUGGGUUCUAAAAGAAUGUUUGGUAUGUGGGUUUUUGGAAAGAUAAUGUAUAAAAUAUUUGAAAAAGGCAGUUCAUAUCCUAUCUAGUAUGUUUAAAUUAUACAUAUUUAAUGAAUAUUAUUUUUAUUAAUCUCAACUUAAAUAUAGCUCAAUUUAUUAGGUAGGAAAAAAAUUAUCCUAUCCUUUUAUCAUUGUUGAACCAAAUUGUAAUGAUAAACUAAUUAACUGUUAAAUGGUUAAUUGAUUAUAAGAUGUCAUAAUAUUUAUCACACUUGCGAAAUGAUAAACUUAUUACAUAUCAAAUUUAUUCCUAAACUAUAAAAGCUAAUUAUGUCAUUUCGCGCAAUAAAAACUUAUCAUUAAUUUUGUUUUGAAGUAGGGAAUACUUUGUUCCAAAUUUGAAAGUAUAAAGACAUUAUUGUUAUCUAACUUACAUUGUUAUAAGCUAGAAAGUAAAAAAACUCAAUUGUUAUAAAUGAAAGUACAUUUACUAAAUCAUUUUGACAAGUGGGAGUCUACACUAAGUGGACAAUAAAAAAACCUAAAACGACUUGUUAUAUUCAAACCAAAGAACCAUAAAAGGGAUAGAAAUGAGAAAAAAAAUGGGGACCAAAAAGGAUUUAAACCAAAAAAAUGAAAAGGCACAAGUUUUCUCAUUUGUUUAUUUUUCUUUGGGUUUGUUUGAGUGUGGGUUGUUGAAUAAGAAAUUUUGAGACCAAUUACAAGUUGCCACAUCAUUUAUUAAGUUAAUGAUGAAAAGUACAAAUAAUUAAAUUUGGGACUAAUUAAAAUUGACACAUGCCCCAAAUUAAAGAGUUAAAAUAAAUAAAUUGGUCAUUCUAAUAAUGCCACAUGUUUUCAUAUUAAUCGUUGGAUUAAGUUAAUCAUUUUAGUUCAAUUAAGCCAAAAAAAAUAAGCUUAAUUGAGCCCAAAGACUAAAUAUAACCUAAGUCCAUAUGGUUGAGCCCAUGGGUCUGGUCCAUGGACCAACCAAGUUCAAACCCAUAAAGCCCACCAGUGAACUCUAUAAAUAGAGGAAUUCUCCUCAUUUGCAGGGGUUGGAAAAUUUUGACUCUAGAAGAUCCAGAGAGAAUUCUUCCAAAAGCUAGAAGACUCCCUAACUUCUGAAGUUGACCAUCCUCGAAGAUUGAAGCUGUUUUGAAGAUACAAACUUUCUUCCAAGACUCCAACUUCAAGAACAUCACGUGCUCCGCUUCCUCAAAUCAAGCGUAAGCAUUCAACCAACUUGAAGAAAAUCACGUGCUCCGCUUCUCCAAAUCAAGCGUAGACGUUCAACAAACUUCAAGAACAUCACGUGCUCCGCUUCUCCAAAUCAAGCGUAGACGUUCAACAAACUUCAAGAACAUCACGUGCUCCGCUUCCUCCAAAUCAAGCGUAGACAUACAGUUGAGAGAGAAUCAGAGGAUCAAAUUCUAGAGAUUGAACCGCAUCGCAUCAAAUCAACAAAAAUACAACAUCAACCCAAGUUCAAGUCCACGAAUUAAAUUUCUCCGGAAAUCUCGUGCGAACAAAUUGGCACGCCCGGUGGGACCAUCUCUACCUCUCAUCUCUCUCUCAUCAUCUAGAUCUACAAGCAAAUCAAUGGCAUCAAAGAAAGCUGCAUCCAAAUCUUCAGCUGCAAGCGACACCUACACGGGACCUAUCACCCGUAGUCGUUCCAAGGGGAUCAUCCAAGGGCAAGACCAAGGUUCCGCCAUCGCGCAGAGCAUCCUGAAGCAAUUGAUGGAAUCUCCUAAAGCUGGAAUUGUCAUCAAGGAAAAUCCUCUAUAUAAUGAUUAUGAUUCUGCCUCUAGCAGGUCACUGAAAGAAGCACACCCAGAUGUGAUGUCCGUCAUGAUGGCUGAUGUAGCAGUCGAGACUGCCAUGGCGGAGAUGGAGAGAAAAAUUAAUCUCCUGAUGAAGGUUGUUGAUGAACGAGACCACGAAAUUGCAGCUUUAAAGGAGCAGAUGCAGACUCGUGAAACUGCUGAAUCGAGUCAAACUCCUGUCGUUAAAGUUGAUGACAAAGGGAAGAACGUGGUACAAGAAAAUCAGCCACAACAACAAUCAACUUCUGUGGCUUCUCUCUCGGUUCAACAAUUACAAGAUAUGAUCACAAGCUCCAUCAGAGCACAAUAUGGAGGCCCAUCUCAGACUUCUUUCAUGUACUCUAAACCAUACACCAAAAGAAUCGACAACUUGAGAAUGCCGCUUGGAUAUCAGCCUCCAAAAUUCCAGCAGUUUGACGGAAAGGGCAAUCCAAAACAGCACGUUGCUCACUUCGUCGAAACAUGUGAGAAUGCAGGAUCAAGAGGAGAUCAACUAGUCAGACAAUUUGUUCGAAGCUUGAAAGGAAAUGCUUUUGAAUGGUAUACUGAUCUGGAGCCAGAAAGCAUUGAGAGUUGGGAACAACUAGAAAAGGAGUUUCUCAAUCGCUUCUACAGCACCAGGCGUACUGUAAGCAUGAUGGAGCUUACAAAUACGAAACAAAGAAAGGGAGAACCAGUCAUCGACUACAUCAAUAGAUGGAGAGCUCUAAGUCUUGACUGUAAAGAUCGGCUCACCGAACUGUCGGCUGUAGAAAUGUGCACCCAAGGCAUGCACUGGGGACUCCUCUACAUUUUGCAGGGAAUAAAGCCCCGCACAUUUGAAGAACUGGCAACUCGAGCUCAUGAUAUGGAGUUGAGCAUCGCCAGUAGAGGAACUAAAGAUUUUCUUGUUCCUGAAGUAAAGAAAGAUAAGAAAGAGAUGAAAGGUGCUGAAAAGAUAGUGAAAAGCACCUCGAAAGAAUCUAUGGUCGUAAACACAACCCCGCUGAAAUUCUCCAAAGGAAAGGAAGCGAGGGUUGAAAAGAAGGAUGAUGGAAGCGAAAGGCGACGUCUGACUUUAAAAGAAAGGCAGGAAAAAGUUUACCCAUUUCCUGAUUCAGAUAUCGCUGACAUGCUAGAGCAACUACUAGAGAAGCAGCUGAUCCAGCUGCCAGAAUGUAAACGACCUGAGCAAGCAGGAAAGGUAGAUGAUCCCAAUUACUGCAAGUAUCAUCGGGUCAUCAGUCAUCCAGUAGAGAAAUGCUUCGUGCUGAAGGAGCUAAUUCUAAGGUUGGCUCGUGAGAAAAGGAUUGAGCUAGAUUUGGAGGAAGUAGCUCAAACAAACCACGCUGAAGUGACGAUAAUGUCUGAGGCUUCUUCGUCGAGAUUGAUUUUUGAGCAAAGGAAAAGCUUGGUCCAGUUCGGGACCUUUGAGCCUAUAGUUGUCCAAUUCUUUCAGGAAAUCUCAUACGAGGAUCCUCAAGGAGAGAAAAGACCAAUUGAAGAAGACGAUGAAGGGUGGAUAGUGGUGACCCACCGAAAGAAAAGACAGUCGAUCCCGACCCAAAGAGAGUCUCGCUCUUACCAAAACUAUAGAAGAGGAAAUAAGACUCAAAAGAAUAAGAAAAAGAAGAAGACUCAUAAGCUUAAGCUCGUACAUAAUGAAGACAUGAAUUUCUCUCGACCUCAACGCUUAGUGACCUUGGCAGACUUCCUUCCAAAAAGCUUCCUUUGUGAUCAUCAGGAUGAAGACCCAGAAGUCGUUGCGUGUCAUGCUAUCAACACAACGGAGGAAGAAAUAAUCCCUCCAAGAUCACUAGAAGGAGAGGGAGUAUCAAAAGACCUUUCAAGGUUUAAUGUAGAGGAUCUAUUAUCACUUCCUCAAGAGACCAAAACCAUCCUUAUUGAUGCAUUGCUAAAUUCAAGAGCAUCAAGUUCGAGUACUCCGACUAUGACAUAUGAGAGUGGUUCUUAUUGUAUGUCUAUAGACUUCUCAGAUGAGGAUUUGUUGUUGGGAUCUAAACUUCAUAAUAGACCUUUGUAUGUUUCUGGAUACGUUCGAGAACAGAGAGUCGAUCGAAUCCUCAUUGAUAAUGGCUCAGCUGUCAACAUAAUGCCAAAGUCGACUAUGUGGCAAUUAGGCAUCUUGAUGGACGAGCUCUCAAAUAGCAAGCUAGUAAUUCAAGGUUUUAACCAAGGUAGCCAAAGAGCAAUAGGCAUGAUACGGUUAGAACUCAUAAUUGGCGACCUAAAGGCCAGUGCAUUGUUUCAUGUCAUAGACUCAAGGACUACUUACAAGUUGUUACUAGGGCGUCCUUGGAUUCAUGGAAACGGAGUAGUAACUUCAACACUGCAUCAGUGCUUCAAAUUUUAUCAGGACGGUGUAAAGAAGGUUGAAGCCGACUCUAAUCCAUUCUCAGAAGCUGAGUCUCACUUCGCAGAUGCAAAGUUUUAUUCAAAGAAUAAUAAUAUUUUAGAAGUUUUGCCUGCAGAAACCCCUCUUACAAAAGGAGAAGAUAAUUCACAAUUGAAAUCACUCGCAACCACAGAACCACAUGAAAGUGCGAGAACCUUUAACUCUGGAAAGGGUGAAGCAUACACUAGCAACACAAAGGGUAUGAUCUUGAAGGAUGAAAAUGCUGCAAACACACCAGUUUUGCGUUAUGUCCCUCUGUCAAGGCGCAAGAAAGGCGAAUCACCAUUCAUGGAGUCUCCAAAAGGUUUGAAAGUUGGUGACAUCGAAAUCAUAAAAGAAAGCUUCACUACACCACUAACUAAGAUAGCGAAGCAAGAGGUAAAGGUAGAUCUGGUGGAAGCAAACUUGCCCCAAAGGCGAACGAAAGACGGAUUCGACCCCAAGGCUUACAAAUUGAUGGCGAAAGCAGGUUAUGACUUCACAGCUCACACCGAGUUUAAAAGCUUGGAAAUUCAUGACCGACCUGAGCUCUCCUCAACUCAAAAGAAGCUUCUACGGGAAGGACAUUCUAUACCCGUGUCGAGAAAAGGACUCGGAUACAAGUCGCCAGAACCGAUCCGUAUAACUAAAAAGGGGAAGGAAAAAGUGGUUGACAUCAAUCAUAUAACUAUAGAGGAGGAUGACAAUACUGACGUAAAAGAAGGUGAUAAUCAGAGAAUCUCAGUAUUUGAUCGAAUUAGACCAUCUGUUGCACGUCCCGUAGUAUUUGAAAGGCUAAGCAUGACAGAGGCAGAAAGAGAAAGGCUCCAGUCAGUACCAAACCUUGAGAGACAUUCGGUCUUUCGAAGGCUAACUACGACUCCCAUAAAGGAAGAAAGCACAUGCCAUGCCUUGACAACUACAAGACCAUCAGCCUUUGAAAGGCUAGGUGUGUCUAAAAAGAAAAAUGUACAAGCACCCCGUGCUCCGAUUUUUAAUCAUCUCGGGGAUAAAGGAUCACACGACAACAUUGAUUCCAACAUAGAUACAAAGAAGAAGGAACCAAUGUCUCGUGUGAAAGUUUGGCGUCGAAUUAAGCAUACAGAUGUCGAUAAUUAUCGUAGUAAGAAGUUUCCUUGCGAGACAAAGGAAAAUGGAGAAAUUCAUAGCAACGUUCCUUCUCGCAUGAAAAGAAAAACUUUUGUUACUCUCAAUACAAGUCAAGGUUCGUUAAAGGUAAAAAGACAUGAUGUUAUACUAACGAAUCCUGAAAAAGAAGGGUCGGAACAAGGGGAAUGUGAAACUUCAUGUCAUCACAUCACCAUUAUUGAGGAAUCAGAGACUGGAACUCAUGAAGAAGACGCAGAAAAUGCCCCACAAAGUUUAGAGGAUGGUGGCAAUCUACUGUAGACGAGCUAAAAGAGGUGAACCUUGGUACAAUAGAGGAACCACGCCCGACUUUCAUUAGUGCGUCCCUCUCUAACGAAGAGGUGGAUAAAUAUAUGAGUUUGCUCACCGAAUACAGGGACAUCUUUGCGUGGUCGUACAAGGAGAUGCCAGGACUUGACCCAAAAGUAGCAGUCCAUCAUCUUGCAAUUAAACCUGGAUAUCGACCGAUUAAACAAGCACAACGACGUUUUCGACCGGAGCUUAUCCCUCAAAUCGAGGUGGAAGUCAACAAGUUGAUCGAAGCAGGAUUCAUUCGCGAGGUCAAAUAUCCAACGUGGAUAGCAAACAUUGUCCCUGUUAGAAAAAAAAUGGACAACUUCGCGUUUGUGUAGACUUUCGCGAUCUGAAUAAUGCAUGCCCUAAAGAUGAUUUUCCCUUGCCCAUCACCGAAAUCAUGGUUGAUGCAACUACUGGACACGAGGCGUUGUCGUUUAUGGAUGGGUCGUCUGGAUAUAAUCAAAUACGGAUGGCCCUCUCAGAUGAAGAAAUGACAGCUUUCAGAACUCCAAAGGGAAUAUACUGUUACAAGGUGAUGCCCUUUGGAUUGAAAAAUGCCGGCGCUACUUAUCAACGUGCCAUGCAGAAAGUGUUUGAUGAUAUGUUGCACAGGUAUGUUGAAUGUUAUGUUGAUGAUCUUGUAGUCAAAACAAAGAGACGACAAGACCAUUUGAAGGAUCUAAAAGUCGUGUUUGAUCGCUUGCGAAAAUAUCAGCUAAGGAUGAACCCUCUCAAGUGUGCGUUUGGUGUAACUUCAGGAAAAUUUCUUGGCUUCAUUGUAAGGCAUCGAGGGAUCGAAAUAGACCAGUCCAAGAUUGAUGCCAUUCAGAAGAUGUCAAGACCUAAAAGUUUGCAUGACCUAAGAAGUCUCCAAGGACGACUGGCUUACAUCCGAAGGUUCAUCUCUAACUUGGCCGGUCGGUGUCAACCUUUUCAAAAGUUGAUGAGAAAAGGAGAAAAUUUUGUGUGGGAUGAAGCUUGUCAGAACGCUUUUGAUAGCAUAAAGAAAUACUUGCUUACUCCCCCAGUGCUGGGAGCUCCAGUACCUGACAAACCACUAAUAUUGUACAUUGCUGCACAAGAAAGGUCCUUAGGAGCAUUACUGGCACAAGAAGAGGUAAAGGGAAAGGAGCGUUCUCUCUACUAUCUAAGCAGAACAUUAAUUGGGGCUGAAGUUAACUAUUCUCCUAUCGAAAAGAUGUGUCUUGCACUUUUCUUUGCCAUUGAUAAGUUGAGGCAUUAUAUGCAGGCCUUCACGGUUCAUCUAGUGGCAAAAGCAGACCCUAUAAAGUAUGUUCUAUCCAGGCCAAUCAUCGCUGGACGCUUAGCCAAAUGGGCGGUUCUACUCCAACAAUAUGACAUUGUCUAUAUUCCCCAAAAGGCGAUAAAAGGACAAGCGCUAGCAGACUUUUUAGCAGACCACCCAAUUCCUUCGGAUUGGAAGUUAUGUGAUGACCUACCAGACGAUGAGGUUUUCUUCACAGAAGUUAUGGAACCUUGGACUAUGUACUUCGAUGGUGCAGCUCGAAGAAGUGGUGCGGGGGCAGGCAUUGUCCUCAUUUCUCCUGAGAAGCAUAUGUUGCCUUAUAGCUUUGCACUUUCCGAAUUGUGUUCAAACAAUGUGGCUGAAUAUCAGGCUUUGAUAAUUGGCCUUCAAAUAGCAUUAGAAAUCGGAGUGUCAUUCAUAGAGGUCUAUGGUGAUUCAAAAUUGAUAAUCAAUCAACUCUCGCUUCAAUAUGACGUGAAACAUGAAGACUUGAAGCCAUAUUUUGCUUAUGCUCGACAAUUGAUGGAAAAGUUUGAUAAUGUGAUGUUAGAACAUGUCCCUAGAGUAGAAAAUAAGAGAGCGGAUGCAUUGGCAAAUUUAGCCACGGCCUUGACCAUGCCAGAUGAUGUAACUCUGAACAUACCACUUUGUCAACGAUGGAUUAUACCCCCAGUUAGGCCUGAAUGUCAGGAAGUGAACAUGGCAACAUCCUAUUUGAUUGAUGAAGAAGAUUGGCGUCAACCCAUCAUAGAGUAUCUUGAACAUGGAAAGCUUCCAAAGGAUUCUCGUCAUAAAAUUGAGAUACGAAGAAGGGCAGCACACUUCAUUUAUUACAAGGGAACUUUAUAUCGCCGUUCUCUUGAAGGGCUCUUCCUUCGAUGUCUCGGAAAGGAAGAUUCGGUAAAAGCUCUAAAGGAAGUACAUGCAGGUGUUUGUGGAGCACAUCAAUCGGGACCAAAGCUUCAAUUCCAGCUAAGAAGAAUGGGCUACUACUGGCCUAAGAUGAUCCAAGAUUCAAUAGACUAUGUGAAGAAGUGUGAGCCUUGUCAAUACCAUGCAAACUUCAUACACCAACCUCCAGAACCUCUUCAUCCAACUGUGGCUUCUUGGCCUUUUGAGGCUUGGGGACUCGAUCUGGUUGGCCCCAUUACACCAAAAUCAUCAGCAGGACAUUCUUAUAUCCUAGCAGCAACAGACUAUUUUUCAAGGUGGGCUGAGGCCAUUUCAUUGAGAGAAGCCAAGAAGGAGAACGUGGCAGACUUUAUUCGAACACACAUCAUCUAUCGAUACGGUAUUCCACAUCGAAUCGUGACGGAUAAUGGAAAGCAAUUCUCCAAUAGUAUGAUGGACAAGUUAUGUGAAAAAUUCAAAUUCAAGCAAUAUAAGUCAUCCAUGUACAACGCAGCUGCGAAUGGACUAGCAGAAGCAUUCAACAAAACAUUGUGUAAUCUUUUAAAGAAAAUUGUCUCCAAGUCAAAGAGGGAUUGGCAAGAAAAGAUCGGCGAGGCAUUAUGGGCUUAUCGAACGACUCAUCGCACCCCUACAGGGGUUACACCAUAUUCGCUUGUUUACGGUGUGGAGGCUGUCCUUCCUCUCGAAAGGGAAAUUCCGUCACUAAGAAUGGCAGUACAAGAGGGAUUGACUACCGAAGAUAAUGUGAAGUUACGUCUUCAAGAAUUAGAAGCACUUGACGAAAAGCGAUUAGAGGCUCAGCAAGCAUUGGAAUGUUAUCAAGCGAGAAUGUCCAAAGCUUUUGAUAAACACGUUAAACCUCGCUCCUUUCAAGUCGGUGAUCUAGUACUUGCCGUAAGGAGACCGAUCAUCACAACAAGGCAUACAGGAAAUAAGUUCACACCUAAAUGGGAUGGACCUUACAUUGUUAAAGAAGUUUAUACAAAUGGCGCAUACAAGAUCGUUGAUCAAGACGGACUACGAAUUGGCCCAAUCAAUGGUAAAUUUCUUAAAAAAUUUUAUGCUUAAUUUUGUUAGGUAAAAAAAAAAAAAAAAAAAGUUGAACUACGUUAUGACUUGAUCCCUAUAUUAUAAAGGGUACGUAGGCAGCUUAAGGAAAACCUUAAGCCCAGUCCAGCAAAAAAAAAGUUGAACUACGUUAUGACUUGAUCCCUAUAUUAUAAAGGGUACGUAGGCAGCUUAAGGAAAACCUUAAGCCCAGUCCAGCAAAAAAAAAAGUUGAACUACGUUAUGACUUGAUCCCUACAUUAUAAAGGGUACGUAGGCAACUUAAAGAAAAACUUUAAGUUCAGUCCACCAUUAUAAAAAAAAAAAAAAAAAAAAAAAAAAAAAAAAAAAACCUUGAAACUACGUCGUGAGUUAAUUCUUUUCUUCAAAGGGUGUUCAUCUCUACUAAGGAAUCAUAACAAAUUGGGGGCAAAUCCCUAAAUUCAAGAUGUUCAUCUUUAGUAACAAUGAGAUGAAAUAAAAUUGAAGAUGUACAACUCCGUGCAAAGACUAUGUACAAGUUGAGUGCAUGUAAAAGAAAAAAAAAAAAAGGAAUCUCAAUCAAGCUCAAAGGCAUCAUUAAUGAUCCCUCAAAUUCAAGCAUAAAAGUUUUCAUUGAUGAUUCCUUAAUAUUCAAGUUUAAGGCUUCAUCGAGCUGCAGCUCCAGCUCUUUGAGAGGAUAACGAUGGUACAACUUUGAUAGGACGACGAUCGGGCAGCUCUGCCUUCGCCUCUCCAAGAUGAAAACGACAGUGUAACAUCGUUUCUGCCUCUUGAAGAGAUGCAUGAAUGCUAAAGCUUUAACCUCUGCUUCAUCUUCAGGCUUAUUGCAACUGAAGAGGAUUCAUCUUUCAUCGUCUUUCUAAGUUCAUGUGCAAUCGAAGAUGAUUCAUCUUCANNNNNNNNNNNNNNNNNNNNNNNNNNNNNNNNNNNNNNNNNNNNNNNNNNNNNNNNNNNNNNNNNNNNNNNNNNNNNNNNNNNNNNNNNNNNNNNNNNNNNNNNNNNNNNNNNNNNNNNNNNNNNNNNNNNNNNNNNNNNNNNNNNNNNNNNNNNNNNNNNNNNNNNNNNNNNNNNNNNNNNNNNNNNNNNNNNNNNNNNNNNNNNNNNNNNNNNNNNNNNNNNNNNNNNNNNNNNNNNNNNNNNNNNNNNNNNNNNNNNNNNNNNNNNNNNNNNNNNNNNNNNNNNNNNNNNNNNNNNNNNNNNNNNNNNNNNNNNNNNNNNNNNNNNNNNNNNNNNNNNNNNNNNNNNNNNNNNNNNNNNNNNNNNNNNNNNNNNNNNNNNNNNNNNNNNNNNNNNNNNNNNNNNNNNNNNNNNNNNNNNNNNNNNNNNNNNNNNNNNNNNNNNNNNNNNNNNNNNNNNNNNNNNNNNNNNNNNNNNNNNNNNNNNNNNNNNNNNNNNAUCAGGUUGUUGACGAAGAAACGGUAGGGUUAACGAUCUGGAGGCUCCUUGGUGGCGUGUUUGAACAUCUUGAUGGGAAAGUAGAAAUUAAGUUUGAAAACGAAUCACCUAGCUUCCUUGUUGUUAAAGAAAAUAUGAGUUCAAGGCCCAGUACAUGUAGUAUUAAGAGUGAACCAAUAUCUAAUCAAACAGAUCAAGUUCUCGAAAGUAAAAUUAAUAUGUUAGAUUAGAUCAAGAAUACCAAAUAACAUUUAUGAAGAAAAUCUCCCUGGUUCUCUAACUCAAACAGAAAUGGAUACUAGUUCUCAAGUAAAUGUAAUUAUUUUAGAAUCAAAAUUUGAGCUUGACAAAGAAUCCUUACAAAAGGAAUUUAUGUCUAAAGCAAAUUUUAUUGAAAGAAUUUCCUUUUCCGAAACUUACUUUGAAACAGAACAGAAGUUGUUUAGAGAAGUUUCAAGGCUUUUGAAAUACUUCAAGAACAUAUUACAUUUUUUAAAUGGUUCAACCAAAGAAAAGAUUUUGACCAUCUUUGUAGAAUAAAAGAAAAUGAAUAUUGGAAAACUCAAAGAGGAGAAAUCAAAGAUGAUUUCCCUCCGAUGGAAGAUGUUGAGUUCAAAAGUUUUUCUAAUAAGAAUGUUAUAGCAAAUCCUUUUCAAAUUAUCAAUGAAUUUGAACACAAGACUCCUACAAAUAAAGAAAUAAAGAGUAUCCAAGUUUAAAAUAAUUAUUCUAACAUAAUGAUUUCUUCAAUCGUAGUCACGUCUUCAAGUUAGAAGAAAAUUUCAAUUCUUCUACUCUCGAAGAAACUUCUAACCUUUUCCAACCUUUAGAUAAUGUUAAGAUAAAAACUCAUAAACAAAACCUUCCGGAUGAUAUUAAUAAAAACCUAAACAACCUAAGGGGCGAAAGUUUUCAUGGAAGAUUUUGAAAAUCUUUCAUUCAACGAAGAAGAAAAACAAAUCAACAAGAUAAAUUUUGGAAGAUUUGUUAAUAGGAAAGAUAAAAUAAAUUUUCAUCCUUGACCUUCAUUUCCCGGAGAAGAACUAGAGCAAGACAAAUGUAUGUCAUAAAUACAGAAUUCAAUGGAGAAUCCAUAUAUCUUUGGAAUAUUGAUGGAACUCUAGAGUAUCAAAUUUAUGACACAUUGAAUAACAUGUUAACUUGUUCCAUAACCUAUGAAUCCAAUGCUCAUACAAAUGGAGAGGCUCCUAUGCUUCUAAUCAAUGGAUUUAGUGGAACUUUCAAACUAUGGUGGGAUCAUGCCCUAAUCAAUAAACAAAAAGUAGCAAUUAAAAAUCAUAGGACAAGAAUCAAAAGGACAAUUAAGACUAAAGAUGGAGCUUUAGUAACUCAAGAAAUAAAAGAAGAGUGAGAGGACACUGUUCCUCUUUGAAAAAAUUUAGAUGGUACAAAAACAUGUUCUUAUUUAAAAUUUAUAUAUUUUUAAGGAUUGUAAUGUCAGACACUUGAAAGAAAUGUCCAUUGAUAGACUUUCAAGCUUCAUGGCAGAAAGAGUCUAAAACUCCCUCAACAAAGCAUAUCCUAAGGAAAUACCUUGGGAAACUCUUACCUAUGUCCAACUAACUUCUAGAAUCAUAGAAUGUGGUUUAGAUAUAUACGAUGAGAUAAAAAUUCAAACCAAAGUACACAAACAUUCAAAUCUUCAUAAAAAAUAAAUAAAGACAUUUUGUUCUCGAAUUUGAGAAGGUCAAAGAACCAGCUUCUUCUUCAAGAAAAAUUCGACCAAAAAACUAUAAUAUGAAACUCACAUAUUAUGGAAAAUUCCAAGGUAUAACAAGUCUUACCCCAAAAGAAAUAUCACAAAUAUUCAAAUUACAAAAAACCUGCAGAAAAUCAACCCAAAAAAGUUCAAAAAAGAGGAAAAUCAAACAAUUUGUUUUUUUUUUUUUUUUUGUUAGAAAUAAAGAAAAGAAGGACAUUAUGCCAAUAAGUGUCCACAAAGAGAGAUUCAUGAAAAAAAAAUGAAGAAAAAUAUUAUUAAGAUUUAUCUUAUAUUUCUAACUUUCAAUUGUAGGAAAUUACAGAUCAAACCAAUUCAAAAAUUUCAAGUCAAGAACCAUAUAAAUAUAUUUUAAUUUAAAUAAAUGUUUUAACUUUCAAACAUAAUUUAUUAUUUCAAACAAUUAACCAUGUUUCAAAUGAAGAUUUAAAAAGAAAUAUUUUGGAAACCAUCUCUAAAGAAGAAAAUGAUUUUGAAAAAAGUCUUUAAAAAGUUUUACAAACUCCAAAAAUAUAAACACCAAUUUCUAUUGAAUUUUGAAAUCAAUUGUCUAGAAAGAAAAAUUUCUCAAAAUAAAUAUGAAAUUUUAUAAAUUAAAAAAGAAAUUUCUCAAAUAAAGCAAAAUGAUAAUUUAGAUGAUUUAGACCUAAGGAAAAGAUUUUUUAAGUAAUCUAAAUGCUAAAAUUAAUUUAAUUUCAAGAAUAAGUUUUCAAAAAUAGUAUUUUUUAAUUAUUUUAAAAAUAUAAAAUUUUAAAAUUACUUUGAAAGCAUUGAUAGACUCAGGUGCAAAUCAAAAUUGUAUUCAAGAAUGUUUAAUUUCUACAAAAUAUUUUGAAAAAAUCACAUAGGUUUUUAUUAGAGCAAACAUAAAAAAAAAUAGAAAAAUUGCAUCAUAUGACAAAAAAAAAAUAGAAAUAAGCAGUCCAUAAUACAUUUUUUUUUUGCAUAUUGCAAAUAUGACAAAUAUGACAAGUAAUUAGAUAUAUCAGAUAAGACGGUUAUCAGGGCUAUUGGAGGGCUAUCCGAUUUAAAUUUACUAUUUUUGCAAUUUAGAAAAUGUAGUGUCAUUAGUUCUAUUACCAUAAAUUUUUUUUGCUAUUUUUGCAAACGCACCCCAAAUGAUUAAUUAAAUAUCAAAUUUAAACUUUCAAAAGUAUAUGUUUGUAAUAAAAAAUUUUGUUUCAAAAUAUAUUUUCUUUUAGUCAAACAUCUUCGCUAAGAAUUAAUUCUUCGGACACCUUUAACAAAUAAAUUUGGAGAAGAAAUGAUUUUUGAAUUUAUCUCUCCAAUUUUACCUCAUCAACUUUUAAAAAUUAUUGUUUUGAAAAGUGAACAAAUGAAAAGAAAAUAAAACAAACUAGUUUUCGAAAAUAAGAAAUUCGAUUACAAAAGAAUUGAAAAAAGUUUAAAAGAAUUUUCAAUUUAAAAUAGGAUAAAAGAAAUGGACACUUGCAAAAAUAGCAAAUAUAUAUAUAUAUAUAUAAGAUAAUAGACAUAUGUUACUACAUUUUCUAAAAUGCAAAAGUAGCAAAUUUAAAAGUCGAUUACCCUCUGAUAGCGCUCCGAUAGUCAUCUUAUAGUUGUCUAAUAUCACUAAUUUUGUCAUAUUCGCAAUAUGCAAAAAGUAGGUGUCGUAUGCUGUUUUUUUUUUAAAUGUUUUUGUCAUCUGAUGCAAUUUCUCAUUCAAUUUAAAAUUGAAAAGAAAUUUGUUCUAGUUCACCACAUGCAUUGUGGGAUAGGAAAAAACACAUAGUUGAUCUUCCAUAUUCUAAAGAAUUCAAAGAAUCGGAUAUCCCAACAAAGACUAGAUCGAUUCAAAUAAAUUCAUACUUGCUAACACAUUGUAGAAAAGAAAUACAAAACUUUUAGAUAAAAAUCUAAUAAGAUACUAUAAAAGUCUAUGGUCGUGUGUCGACUUUUAUGUCAAUAACGUCGUCGAAAAAGAGCAUGGAGUUCCAAGGUUAGUAACCAACUAUAAACCUUUAAACAAAGUCUUGGAAUGAAUUAAAUAUCUAAUUCCCGACAAACAAUAUUUAUUAAAAAGAAUUGCAAAUGCAAAAAUAUUUUUAAAAUUUGACAUAAAAUUCAAAUUUUGGCAAAUUCAAAGUUUCGAAAAAGAUAAAUACAAAACUGCUUUUAAUGUUCCGUUAAGACAUUAUGAAUAGAAUUUAAUGCGUUUUGGGCUAAAAAAUGCACCAUUAGAAUUUCAAAAAAUCAUGAAUGAUAUUUUUAAUGAUUUUCAAGAUUUUACAAUUGUUUAUAUUAAUAAUGUUUUGGUCUUUUCUCCAAAUAUAAAAAAGCAUUUUAAGCAUAUCAAUAUUUUUAUAGAUAUUAUAAAAACAAAUGGUUUGGUAGUCUCUCUACCAAAAGUAAAAUUAAUUUGAAACAAAAAUAAGUUAUUUGGGCUUUGAAAUACAUGUAGGAGAAUUUAAGCCGAUUCAGAGAUCAAUUGAGUUUGCUUUAAAUUUUAGGGCUGACAAGAACAAUGACAAUUUAUGAGGUUUAUUUUGAGAAAAUAGCAAAUUUAAUUUUAAAUUGUUAGAAUGGUAAAACUCAAAAAUCUGUAAAUAAAUAAAUGAAACAAUGUCUCAAAUGCCCCUACCCAAUUCAAAAUCAGUUCUAAAUACAAUUGUUCAUCUAAACCCCAAAUACCUUGUAAUUAAAUAACACAUCCUUGUUGAAAUUGUGCAUGUUUAGGUAUUAAAAGCCGAAAAGAAUCCAGCUUCACUACCUUCCACUUUCGUAGAUUCCACUAAAUCUUCAAAGUCUUCGAUUCAUUUGCUGAAAAGAUUGGAGCUUUAAACUUCGUUCUUCUCGAAACCUUCAAAGUUUUCAUACAUUCAGUGCAAAUCAAAGAAUUUUCUUCUUGUCAACCAUCUUUUUCAUCAAACCGAUUAUAGAUUCUUUUUUGUUUCACGCAAAGGUAAGCUUCUUCAACGGAUUUUCUUCUUCGCUCGUUUAAAUUACAACAACAAUAUAUCCGCUUGAUUUUUAGAAAAGAUACAAUGUAUGUCACAAAACCCCAACAACAACAAAGACACUAAAAUUCGACGGCUGACAGUGGCUGAAAGUUUUGGCAUAAUCGGUGAACGAAUGCAGAAGAAGAAAACCGGCGCAACUGGGCGUGUAGCGGAGGAGAUGUUUCUUUAUAGCUUAGUUCUUGAUCAACAUAAUGGAGGAGAUGGUUACAAAGGUGAGAUCUCGAUUGGACGAAGAACACUCGAACGGAGAUAGAAGUGUCAGCGGCGGCUAGGGUUUGGUGAAGUGAAGAAGAUGAUGAAUAGUAAUAAUAAUAUUAUUAUAUUAUUAUUUCCCUUAAAUAUCUUCCUUUUCCUUUUUUUCUUUUCCAAUUUAAAUAAAACAAAUCUUUUCUUCUCAAUUAAUUCUUCCAAAAAUAAAAUAUUAUUUUUAUAAAUAUUUUGAAUAUAAAUAAUUCGAAAAUGUUAAAUUUAUGUUUGCUAUUAUUUUGGAGAUAUAAAUAAUCUUAGCAUGAUUUUAGGGAUAAAAAUUUUAAAUUCAAAUUAUUAUUAACAUAACUAUUUUUAUAAAUUUUUAAAUCAAUUUUAAUAUUUUGACGGUUUCAAAUCAAAAUUUAAAAUCUAUUUUUAAAUAACAAUUAUGGAAAAUAGAUAAAGAUAUUAACAAGAUAAUCCUAAAAUUUUGAAAUUAUGUUUGACAUUAUUUUAGGAAAUCAAUCAAUACCACGAUUAUAGGGGAAGAUCAAAAUUUUCUUAGAAUAAUCAUAUAUAUAUCAUUAAAUGCAUCAUAAUUAUAGGGUAAGAUACAAUUUUAAUUUUAACAACCACAACUAAAUAAAUUGUUAAUUACUUGAUUUGAAACCUACAAACAAGAAAACUGGAAUAAAUUGUAGCUUAAAUCUAGGGAUGUUGAUUCAAUCAAAUUAUUUCGAAAAUAAAUAUUUAUUUAAUAUUUUUACACAACUGAAUGAUUUGCAAAUACAAUGUAUUCGUGAUUUGGGUUAUAUUCCAUCAUUACCAUCAUUUUAAUGUAGUAGACUAUAUCUAUCAGAUAAGAAUUUUCCUCUAUACAAGUAAAAUCGACUAAAAAUAUAAAAAAGUGAAAUUAUUAUAUUUAUAUUUGACAUAAUUUUAGGGAAGAUCUAAAAUUUAAAUUCAAAUUGUUAUUAAAACUAUAUCAUGUAUUAUUUAAUAAAUUGUACAAAAUAACAUGUUUAGUUAAGAUUUACAAAUUUGAAUGUUAUUUACAAAAUAGUGAAUUUGUGCUAUUUUCAAUAUCAUGUCUCGUUUUUUUACCUAUUGAAAUAAAUUGUAUUUGGAAUAUGUGAAAUCAAGAUGGUAAUGAACUACAUCUUGAUGACCAAAUUUUUUAUCUUUUUUUGUGUGUCCAAAAUCUGUUGAUUGGAAUAUGUUUGUAUAAUAGAUGACUAUAAGAUUUUAAAGAUUGUGGAUCACAAUUAUGAUGUAUUUGAGACUCUUACUAGAUGAAAAUAAACGUAGAUAUUAACGUAAUUUAAAAACACGUCUCAAAAUAAUUAUUCCUACCAUUGGCACAAUAAAACAAUUUUUAAAAAAUAAAAUAACAAUUAGACGAUUUUAGGGAAGAUAAAAUUUUAAAUUCAAUUUGUUACGAGCAAUACGUAUUUUGGAGGUAAAUUUUAAAUUCAAUAAUUUUAUAAAUAUUUUGAAAUAUAAAUAAUCAAAAAUGUUAAAUUUAUAUUUGCCAUUAUUUUAGGGAUAUCAAUCCAAUAACACGAUUUUAGGAGAAUUUACAAGAAUUUAAAAUCAAUUUUUAAAUGGUAGUAAAUAAUAUAUAAAGAAAAUGUUUCUAAUUUAAUGAUAAUUACAUAACAAGAUUGCAUUGUGUUAUGUUACCAUUUAUUCCCUAAAAUAAUCUUAACAAUUUAUUAUUAUUAAUAUGAUCAAUCCGAAAAUGGAAUAAUUGCUAUAUACAUAAUUAUAGGAAGAUACACCAUUUAUAUGAAGUUGUUAUUAUAUAAAAUGCAUAAUUUUAGGUAAAAGAUAUUAUUUUAAAUUCAAAUUUUUGAAUCUUCCAACGAACCUACAAUUAAGCAAUAGAUAAUCUGUUAUAAAUUUAAGGCAUGAAUCUAGAAUUUAGUUAAAUGAGAUCAAUAGAUAAAAUAAAUAUUUAUUUAAUAUUAUUAUAAAAUUGAAUGAUAUCCAAAUACAUCGUAAUCGUAAUUAUGUGUUAUGUUUUAUUGUUUUACGGUUCACAAAUAUAUUGUAAUUAACAAAAUGAUAUUCAUUCUAUCAAGGGAUAAAAUCGGUUGAAAGAUUCUCAAAAAGUAUAUAUGUUUUACAAUUUUGCUAAAAUUCAAAUUAUUUUUUAAAUUUGCUUUUUUCCAAACUGCACUAUCUUAUUUUGUAAUUCUCACAAUUUUCUCUAAAUUUUACUAAUCAAAUUCGAGAUAAAACCCAUCUUCAAAGGUUUUUGGACUGCCUAGAUUAUGUGCUUGAUUUCAUAAAGAACCUCAACCGCAUUUGCAAACCGUUGUACAAAAGGUUAAAGAAAAAUUUAAAACCAUGGUCUGAUAAGCACACCCAAAUUGUUCAAAAAAUUAAGUCUUUAGUCAAAUGAAUCAUUUGUCUCAAUCUCAUUAAUUCAAAAGCAAACCUUAUCAUUGAAAUUGAUGCCUCUAAUAUAGAAGAUGGAGGAAUCCUCAAAUAGUGUCUAGAUAAGACCGAAUCAAUGAUCUGACUCCACUCAGAAAUUUGGAAUGAUACACAAAAAAUUACUCAACGAUAAAAAAGGAAUUACUUGUCGUAGUUCUUUGUGUCUUAAAAAAUUCCAAGGAGAACUAAUCAAUAAAAAAUUCAUAAUCAAAACAAAUUCAAGAGCUUCAAAAUUCGUGUUAGAAAAAAAUGUGAAAAAUCUUGUUUCAAAACAAAUUUUUGCCAAAUGGCAAACCGUCUUGCUUUGAUUUUGAAGUUGUGCCUAUAAAAGGAUAACAAAAACCCCUAGUUGAUUACAUCUCAAAGGAGUUUCUAACUCCAAAACUCUCUCCUUUUUAAAAGCACUCGAAGAAGAAGAAUGAGUUUGGAAAAGGAAAGUGCAAGAUGAAGAGUAAACUCGACCUCUUCAAAGGGCAACCACCCAUCUCUUCUUCUUCUAAUUAUGCACCUUCACACAUGAGUGCAGAUCAAUAUGCUAUGGAUAUAAGGAAUACCACAGUAACCUAAUCCAGAGUAAGAUCAUCGGGCAUACGGACUGGAUCUCCCAUAGAGCCAUCAACUCCAUCUAGGCCUUCGGCCAAUCUCAUCUGUCCUUCUAGCGGAGUUGUUCCAAUGAGGCUUCCUACCUCUCCUUCAUCCAAUAGGGAGUCUUCCACUCCUCCUCUAACUUAUUCUCAUGCUGUCACUUUCGAUAAACGGUUCGUGCCAAGACCCAAGAUCAAAACUUAUUUUUAAAAUUCGAUCGUGGUCUAUGGUCCUAUCAUAGAACUCGAAUAUCAAAGUCUCACUCUAUAAGAGAGUUUAAAAAAUAUUCCCCCAAGGGCUUCAACUUCGAUCCAAAAGACCUCAAAAAAACAAGAAAAUUCUAUGAGUAUAUUUUAGCUGAUCCUUUAAAAAUUGCAUAUUCAAAAUUAAAAAAUUUCAAAGCAAUCAAUUGAUCAACUCAUUAGAAUCAAAAACAUUUUACAAAAAAAAUCAUUUUCAAAGCGUUUUGUUCCUCAAUCUUACUCCUUUCAAGAUUACAUCAAAACUUGGUUUAGAGUAUUUUAAUUUUCAAAUAGAAACCAUUCGUGGUUCUUUCUUUUUGUCAAAACGCCUACAAAAUUAAUUUUCCUUUAUGGUUUAUUCAAUGGUUGAAUAACUUUGGUAUUACCAACGAUAUUCUACCAACUCCAAUUCAAGAAUCAUAUUUUUAUUUUUCAAGAACAUUUCAAAAGAAUUCAUUUCAUAAUUCGAUGAGAUUUUGCCUUUAUUUUCAAAUUCUAUGGAUAUUUUGUUGGAGCUACAAUAUAACAUCAUAUCCUCAAUACAAAAUGUUAGUAAAAAAUCUGAAGAUCCAACGGUGGGAAAAAUAAAACUUUCAACAUGUCACCGUCAACACACGUGAAAGAAUGGUUUGUAAAGAACAACUAUUUACAAGACCUUGAUCAAAGAAAGAAUGCUGAAUUCUUAAAUGAUAAACCAAAGCUUCUUGCAGAACUUGCUCAAGCCACGACUGAUGUAGAUUUCCAAAGAUUACUAUUAACAGCAAGUAAAUGCUUCCUCAUCUUCAAAUCAAUCUCUUCCUCCAUAUAGGAAGUGAAGAGCAAGCAGAUCCAUAAUACGAUCUGGAUGACCCGUAUCUCGACUCACGACCUAUGUGAGCUCCGAACCCAUAUACAUGUUUCAAAAGGAAAAUAGAUUAUAUAUAGAGUCUUCUAAAAGAAGAUUUCUAUUCAAAUUAUUAUAUUAUAAAAAAUAAUAAAAAUAAAAUGUAUUUUCGCAUCCCUAGUAUAAAAAAUAAAUAUUGUUCUGUCAUCCAGAAAUUCAGGAAAAAAAUGAAGACAAUAAGUACAAUUCAAGAUCAAGUCUAAAAGCUAAAAUGAAAUUGUGUAUAUUUCGUAAAGUGUUAAACUACAUUUGAUGGUCGGGAUCGUAAGUGACAAUGUUGAAGUGCAGGGAGUCCAUUGGUCAGUCAAUAAUGAAGGUACCAAAUACGAAUAAUAGUAUACACAAUUACAACUUGAAAGGACAACAAAUAUUCUUGGAGAGUAGAAAGAAAACUUCAAUUUCUCCUUGGAUCAAUGGCCGACAAAUUCAUUUCCUGUUAUAAAUCUUUCCAUUUAUUAUGCAGAUAUAGUAAUGUUAAUAAUUAAUAUGUGUGAAUAAUAAAUACGUUAGUUACUAACUAUGCACAAUAAUUAUAAAACUAUUAAAGUAAAUUAUUAAUAAAGCAGUUUAUUAGGUGGUGGAAAUUUCCACACUUUAGUUUUGUACGAAAAUAUGAUUUCAAUAAUUAUCCACUACUUUCUAAUUUAUAUAAAUAAUUUUAAAAUUUUAGGAUUUUACCAUCCACCAAAUCUUACUCUGAACCAUUUUAUCUAGUUGAUUCGAUCUUAUCUUUUUUCUUCAAAAUUUUAUCGAAUAAGAGGUUAUGUUCUAUCUGAUUUGAUUUUAUCUUCUUUUUUUUACUUCAAUUGCGUUUGAAAUUCGAAGUCUAUAAAUAGACUUUCAAGUUGUAAUGCGAAGCAUGUCACGAAAUAUUAUUUAGCUCAUGAUAUUUUCACUGCAUUCUUUUCUUGUAAAUUAUCAAGCCUAAUUCUCUUUACAGUUAGCAUCAAGCAUGCAACUCAAACUCAAAACAGAGUGUACACUAUUUUAUUAUCUUUUAAUUAGUGAUGUAUGUUUAAUUAAAGUUUAAAUUGUAUGUGUAUAAAGUAUGUCAUAUAGAUUUAAAAUCUCAUUAUAAGUUGACAUGUCCACGCAUUCAAAAUAUGUUAUAAUGGCUAUAAUGUAUAGUGUGCAUGUUAAUUAAUUUAUAUGGAAGUUAUUAAUAUGAUUAAUUAAUUUUGAUUAAAUACGAUUUAAUAAAAUUAAUUAUAAAUUUAUUUAAUUUAAUUAGAAGUUAAAUAAAUUAAAAUCCAUAUUUAUUAGAGUCAUUUUUAAAAAUAGUAAAAUAAAUUAAAAUAUUUAUAAACUAUAAUAAAAUUUUGAAUUCUAUUACCGUAGUAUAUCAAUGAAUCAGUAAAAAUUUACUAUAGGUUGUAAAUAUUUUGUAAAAGCUACUAUUUUUUAAAAAAAAAAAUCCUAGUUUUAAUUUAAUUAAAUAAAAUUAAACUAAACUAUUUUUGAUUGAGAUAAUCUUAGUGUCAUUCAAAUUACUCACAAUAGUGUAUUUCAUGAACGAGCAAAGCACGUUGAGAAUGAUUGACACUUUAUUCGCCAUCAUCAUAAAGCAAAACUCUUCAUCUUCAAUUCAUCUCCACCACAGAACAACCAGCUAAUAUCUUUACGAAAGCUUUUCGUUCUCUUUGCUUCACUCAAUUACUUCACAAAUUCAAGUUGGUCUCUAUUCUAAAUUAUGAAAUUACUUGAUAUAUUUUUCUUAUCUUACUCUCUUUUUAUAUAUAAUUAUCUUUAUAUUAGUUCUGUAAUAUAGUCAAUUUUGGCCAUAGAAAUUACUUACCAAUAAUUUCAAAAAUAUGAUGACAUGAAUGCUAUCGUACAAUUCUCUCAUUUGUAAGAAUAGAAAAAAGAAAUCUACAAAUAUAACCAAAAAAAAAGAAAAAAACCGUCCAAUUCUCUAAUAGUCUAUUAAAUUAUUUUUAUGAGAAAAUAGUUUAAAUUAUUUGUUUAUUUUGGAAAAUUGGAUGACAAAACAAUUAGAAAAAAAAAUAGCUAAAGCACCUCUUCCUUGGCAAAUACGACAAAAUGAUACAUAUAUCAAAUGACUAUAGCUAUCCGUUUUUAAAUUUACUAUUUUAGUAAUUUAGAAAAUAGAGUGAUAUAAACCCUAAUUGUUUUUACUAUUUUUACAACACUUUUUUUUUUUUUGUAACAAUUUAUCAAACACUGAAAAAAUUAGAAAUAACAAAACAAAAACAAAUUUGGAUUGUGCAAUUAAUUUUCUUUAUUGUUGGGAGAUAAUUUUUUAAAUAAAAUAUUUAUUAUUAUGGAAUUUUUUAAAAUAUAUAACAAAAAUGUAAUAUAUUUAUAUCGUAUUGAUCAAAUUUGAAAACGAAAAAAUUCCAUAGACCUACAAUGAAAAUACAAAAAAUACCAUAGUCAAUAUAUGAUUAAUCAGUCACACGCACGCAUGUAAUUCUUGUUCUAAACGAUCAUGAUACACGAUCAUGUUGGAAAUGAUACACAAUCGUGUAGGUAAUAUCAACACAAUCAUGUAAUUAGUAUCAACAGGAUAGUGUAGUUUUUUUAACGAUGAGAAAAACGCUUCAAAUCUAAACGAUCGUGUUGACCACGCUAAACAGUCGCGUUGACUAUGGUAAGCGAUCACUUAGAUCAUAUCCACACGGUCAUGUAAUUCUUUUCAAAACGAUGGAAAAAUGGCUUCAAAUUUAAACGAUUGUGUUGAUUAGAUAAGCGAUCGUUUAGAUUAUAUUCACACGAUCAUGUAAUUCUUUUUAAACAUGGAAAAAGGACUCCAUAUCUAAACGAUUGUGUUGAUCAUCCUAACUAAGUGAUCUUUUAUAUAUAUGAAAGUAAUAUCUAAACAAUCUUGAUAUUCUAGAAGAUGAGUUGGAAGAAAGAAAUAAAAAAUAAAGAUGAAGAAAAAUAUAAGAAAAAAAAUCUGAAAGAGAAGUUGUAGAAAUCUGGAAAAGAAAAUGAAUAAAUCGAAAAGAAAGAGAAUGGAUUAAUUGUUCACGAUAUCAAAAGCAAAUCUAGAAUUUAAGAAAAUAUUUUACCAGCUUUAUGAACUUUUUGUUUUUGUUAGCAGUAAAUAUUUUGGUUUUUUUUAUUACAUUUAUGAAAAUGAGUAGAAACAUUUCUAAAAAUAGCAAAAUAAAUUAAAAUAUUUAUAAAAUAUAACAAACUUUUGUAUUCCAUCAAUAAUAGUCACAUAUAUAUUUCUAUUACUGUCUAUCAAUACCACUUAUAGAAGCGUAAUACUCACUAUCAAUGUUUAAUACUGAUAGAAUCUGAAAAUUUUGUAAAUAUCUAAAAUCACCCGAUACGUCAGAAAUAUUUUGUUAAAUUUGAUAUUAUUCAACAUGCUUCACGUCAUUUCAAACUAUUCAGGACAAUAGUUAUAAUGCAAACAUUUAAUUCAAUUAAAUGCAAACUGUUCGGUGUAUAUAUAUAUAUUUAUGAAUUAACCAGCUGUCCUAAAACAUAUAACAUUUGUCACUCACAGCCCCACAACCAAUCCUCUCAAUUAAGACACUUUGAAUUCAAAUUCUUCCCUUUCAAUUCAUGAUUCAUCUAUACAUAUAAAUAUAAGGGGAAAUUUUUAAUUUACCUCUUCAUUUUAUAUAUUUUAUUUAUUUAAAUCUAAAUUAAUAAUUAUAUAUGAUUUAAUCUUUAGCUUCUGUAAAAAUUUCAAUUGACACUACUUUUAAGAUUUGAAUUUUGAUCAAAGUUGCAUGAAACAUAUAAUUGUUUAUGUUAAUCUUAAAUUAUAAUAACAGAAAUAAUUUAUAUCCUUUAUUAAGAUUAAAUAAAUUAUCCAUGUAUUUAAAUCUUCCACUCUCGAAAUAGAAUUUAAAUGUUAAAUUUAUCAAAUAAAUAAGUAGGAGUUCAUGUAUGAAUUUUGUUAAACAAAGUAAUAGAAUAUCUAAAUUGAUUUGUUUAUAGACAUUAUAAAGAUAUCUAGAAACGUUUAAUUGAUGCGAAGAAGGGCACCAUACUAAAGUAUUUAGAAAAAUAUUAGUAAAAUAUCACAUCGAGUGAUAUACUAUUAAUAAUAGUAUAAUGUAAUCUAUACAAAAGUUUUUUUUUUUUUGUUUAUUUUAGUAUAUUUGAAAACAAAUUGAUAUAAUGGUUAUGAUACCAUCUAUAAUUUAAAUUUUAAGGGUUUAAGACAAACUAUUUAUACUUUAUAGAAAAAAUUACUGAAUAUAACUUUCCAAAUUUUUAAAAAUCUACUUUGAUUAAAUUUAAAUUCAUAAAAACUAACCAAAACUAAUUCAUAAAAACUAACCAAAACUAACAAACCAGGUUAAUAGAACUAAAGUAAAUCCACUCUUUACAUAUCUUAAUCAACAACGAGAAGACUUACUUAUUUUUGUAUAUGUUUAGAAGGAGCUUUUGUAAAAAUACUUAUUUUGUAUAUGUUUAGAAGGAGCUUUUGUAAAAAUAGCAAAAAUGUAUGAUAAUAGAAAUCAUGUCAUAAGAUUUUUUAAAUUUAUAAAAUUUGAGGGAUAACUGCCUCAUAGUCUCAUACAAUUACUGUCUGUUAGUCCUACAACAACUCUUGCAACAACUCUAGAUUACGGAUGAUUAUCGUUUAAUAGUAGUCUGAUAUCAUUAACUUUGUCAUAAUACGUCAUAUUCGAAGUAUGCAAAAAAAAUAGUGUUGUCAAACUUAUUUUGAAAUAUUUUUGCAAUUUUUCUUUUUAUAAAAGACAGCAUGAAAAAAUCUAGUAAGUUUUAAUAAAAAGCAAAAAUCUUCCCUAACAAUUUUUUUUUUUUUGGUUGAAAAACUAUGUAAGUUGGAGACAUAAAGAUAUUUGCAACCUAAUCAUCACCAAGAUAUUGUUCAAUUUUACUUUACAGCAACCUAAAAAAGAGAAAAAAGGUGAAACAUUUAACAAAGAAAACACCAAUCUAAAAAUAUCUUUAUAGAAACAUACCAUACCUAUUAUUUUAAUUCAUUAAAAGAAAAAGAAAAGAGAUAUAUGAUCAACAUGAACCUACUUUAAUAACUUUCUUUUAUUGUUUUAUUCAUAGGAAUAACUAUAAAAUUAUUCCAGCUUAAUUUCCACACAUAUGGCCAAAAGAAAGACCCUCUAACACCUUGGAGUGGGAACACCACAUUUGGAAGCAACAUGUUUGGCGCCAGGAGAAUUCACAUAAGGACUCAAAGCUGGGUUCUUUAUGUACCCGCAAAGACAUUGUUGCUGCUCUCUCAAUUUGCUGCAGCAAGUGGCGGAUGGGUCUGCCAUCGACGUGAUUGCCCUGGCACAUGAGCUCAGCUCCGAAGGUCUGCAACUCACCGCCUCUGCAACACGAACUCCGCCAAGAACGGCCAGCACGAAAAGACAAACAACUGUGACUGGAAGAACUUUGUUCAUUGUCUCUUGGUUUUGAUAGAAAUCAGUAAUGUUUGUUGAAGGGAAAGGGAAAAGGAAAAGGAGAAAGAGGAAUAAUAUGGCUUUAAUUGUCUGUUUUUCCCCCCAACUCUUUUUUGUUUGUAUUUAUAGCCACAUAAAGUUGGAAGAGUUGAUAAAAGGGCCAACCCUAUUAUUAAUUUCUCAUUUCCAAUUUCACCUACUUUUCUCUUUGAUUUUAAUUGCUUCCAACAUCCUUUUCCAUAAAGUUAAUAUUGUGAUGAUAACAAUUAACAAAUAUUGUUGGCAUUGAUUUAAAUGUUGGGUUGCUCUACACGUUUGAUCUAUUCUAGAGCACAAAAAUUACCACAAUUAUUUUAACAUUUUUUUGAAUUAUCCUAAAUCAUAAAAGGAAUUAGAGACGAAUAUAUUUUGCUUGUUUUUAUUUCUUUUUACAAUGGUUUGGUAUAAAUAUGCAAUACAAGAUAAUAUUAAAUAUGAAAAGAUUGGGAUAUAAUCAAAUAUACAAUUUGGGCAAAAAUAAAGGGCAGAAAUUGAGGAGUAGAUUAUGAAGAGGAUUGUGAUUUUGGAAAAUAUCCUCUAAUAUCCUCCCUCAGAUUGAUGACUCAAAAUGAGUCAAUAGUUUGUCUCGGAGUUGUAGAAGUGUUGUAGAUGAGAGUGACUUUGUUUGUAGAUCAACAAGUUGAUCGUUGGAAGAGAUGUAACAAAUGAAAGUUUGAAAAAAGUGGUAAUCAAUCUCAAUGUGUUCAGUGCGAGCAUGAAACACGAGAUUAUGAACCUGAGAUAUAGCUAAAACAUUAUCACACCAUAAGGUUGUUGAAGAUUUAAAGUGGAACAUGAAGAUCACAUAGAACUUGUCGGUUCCAGUAAAGAUCUGCAGUGGUAGUGGCGAGUGAGCAAUUUUUUGCUUAUGUGGAAGAACGUUAGACUGUAGGUUGCUUUCUAAAAGACCAAUAGAUAUGAUUAUAACCAAGAAAGACAAUGAAUCCAUAGGUGGAAUGUCGAUCAGAAGUGUCGCUAGCACAAUCAGAGUCAUAAAAGGUUUAUAGAUAUAAUUAAUGAACCCAUGCAAAAUUUUAUCCCAAGGGUUGAGUACCACAUAGAUAUCGUAGGAUGCAUUUGAUUGCAGAGAAGUGAAUAACAGUGGGUUUGUGCAUCAAUUGACUAACACAAUUUAUAGAGAAUGAAAUAUCAUGGUGAGUAAAGUAAGGUAUUUUAAUGAAAGGAGUCAGAUGGAUGGGUCAUUAAAUGACAAAACUGUUGAAAUUUAUGUCAUAAAACUCGUAGUUUGUAGUUUAAAAGUAUAUUUUAUUCAAUAAAGUGGUUAUUGAGGAUUUAUUAAUAGAAUACUAUAAUCUUGAAUCUAAAUAAACUAAGGUCCUUAUGCUACCUAGUGUAGACUUGAAUUUACAUAAAUGUGGAUCAAGUUCAAGUAUAUAGCCCAAAUGGUCUAUAGUGUAUGAAUAAGCCUUAUUCUUGUUGUAGUUAGUACAAACGAUAUGAUCCUGAAUCGUUCAUGUAGAGACCAUGGAAGUUGGAGUAUCCUAUGUACAAAGUUUACAUAAGACUGAAAUCAUAAAAUAAUCACUUUUAAGUUAUAACACCAUUGAUUGUAUAAAACUGACUAUUUUGUUUAUUGAUGACCCAUGUAACUUAAUCUUAAUCCUAAGUUAACUAUGAACUUUGUUCACACGAAAUUAUCCUUAGAUCUGCAUAGGUGAGGUAGCUCAACGACACUGACACAAUAAGCCUCCCAUUUUAGGAGUAAGAUUGGGUGGAUGGCUAGGUGUAACGAUCCAAACUUUUCAAACUAAACUGAGGUAGUUACUUUAAUACAAAUGCACUUCUUUUAAACAUGAGUGUUUAUAAAAUAUGUUAAAAUCAAUAAACAUCAAAUAAAUCUUUAUUCAGGCCCUAUUUCAAACAAAAUUAAAGGUUCGAAAUUAUUGUUUAUAAAAUCAAGAAAUAAAUUGUUGUGCUAAACAUGAAAUUCGUUUCAGUCACAACUACUAAAGUAAAACAAAAGAAAACUGUAAGCGGAAGCUAUUUUAAAGAAAAUCCUCCUAUGGCGAUCACGUCUCCUUCUUAUUCCUCGUUGGUCGGUCUCUUAUAUUACUUUUGCCUGAAAGUUAAACAUAAAAGGGUGAGUAUAAACAUACCCAGCAAGAGACACACUACUGGUCCCACUAGGGUAAAAUUAUUAACUUUCUAUUGGAAGGUACCAUGUAUCAUAACAGUCUUGUGAUCCCGUAGGAUGCACAUAAUUAAUCUAAUGCUCAUAAAAGAUGCACAUAUCAGUCUAGUGCUCCCGAAGGAUGCACCUAUCAGUCUAGUGUUCAAAAGGAUGUACAACAGGUGGUGAUCCCGUGGGGCACCUGCAAGACACACUACCCUACAGAUAAAGCUAACAGUUUCCCUCAGUCCAUACUAACAUUUAAAACAGUCAACUCAACUUAGAAUAUAAACUACCAUUAUAUCCUUCUUUCAGCUCAACACAUAUACAUUAAUUUACCCAAACCAAUACAUAAUCAAACAUCAUCAGAACAGUCCCUCAAAUAAUUAAAUUUAUACAUAAGCGUCACUCACCUCAGUUCAGUCAAUUCAAUCUAGUUUGUCAAUUCAACCUACAUUACACUACCUAUGCCUUAACAUAACCGUCAACAACCCACAAUCUAAUCAAUUCGAUAUCCUCAGUUCAGUCAUCAAACUAAUUUUACAUAUCGGUCAACUCAUCUCAGUUCAAUAAAAUUCAUAUAAUAAACAGUCAUCAAAUAUAAAUUUGCUUAUCAGUUAGUCCAUCUAAGUUCAGUGGAAUCCAUAUAGUCAAUACAUCUUAAUUUCAUCAUUGAGUCCAGUAGUAGGAACCCUUACCUUAACUUCAUUUAUUCCACUAAAGUUCAACAAAAACAACCUAAACAUAAGUAAACAGAAAUCAAUGACUUCCAGAAACAAUUUCAUCUAUUCAAUUCAUCCUAUAUAUAUAAUUUCCACAACUUACCCAAAACGUGGAGAAUUGGAGUCCAACCCCACUCAUUUGAAACUCAAGGAAUUUAAGUGUUGUCCACAAUUUGCACCUUGAAGAAACAAUAUCAAUCAAUUUACUAACCCAACCAAUAUUGGUUAUUGAAAACAAUCACCAAAACCCAAAACUACACCCUUACCACAAACCACAACAAGGUAGAAACAACGGCUUUCGAAACCAACACAAAAGAGAUUGUGCAAAAUAGAUAUGCGUGUGGGUUGGCUUGCAACUCGUAAACGGACAACAGAUGUAGACGAAGGCAGAUUGAUUCGAAUCUUCAACAGCAGCUACGCGCAACGGAGAAUUCCACUAUCUCCCUAGUUCGUUUUCAACAUAUUCUUAUGUGAAAUUUAUUGUUUCAAUUCUUUAUUGCUUUGGUUUAACACCGCUUUGGAUUCUUUGCAGCAAAAGGUGGUAAAACCCACUACUUUAGAAGCGUCCCAAACAGUUUGGAAUCAGUGGAGCAUUGCCGUCCAAGAGGGAUCUCACUCACUUUGUCAAAUGGCCCAAAGUUGUUUAAAUUUAGAGAAAAAAUAGAAUUUUGAAGCAGAGGCUAAAAAUUCCACCAACAUUGAAUCUGUUCUAUUUGACUUUCUUUUUUCUCUUUUCUUUCUUGUUGUCAUCAUCAAAAUUUUCAACUAUACGUAUAAAGACGGAGAUAUUUUAUGUGGACAACUAUACGGCCGUCCGAACUACUUUUAACUUAUGUGGCUGGAUCUAAAACUUAGAAGAUUGUCCAAGUUUUCUGUUGAACAAUGCAUGUACCAGAUUUUGUGCAUUCCCAACAUGAUACAUUCUUAUGCUAUGUUGGGAAAGGGGGUUCUCUGUUUAUAAUCACAAUCACUUUAGCCCUUAUUUGGGGGUCAAGGUUGCCUUUCACUUCUCCUCCCUCAUUUUGUAUAAGGGCAAGUAUUUCUUUGUCUAAAAGGGUUCAAACUCUCCUACUAUUAUAAUCAUUCAACAUUCUCUGUAAUGAUCAAUUCUUUAUUCCUCUUAGAUUUAUUAGGUUUUACUUUUAAUUGCUGCAUAUAGUUCUCUUACCUUCGUAUAGACAAAAAGGUGUUUCUGAGAGGUUUUUCUUUGAUAAGUUAAACGCUUGUAUUUUGUUGGAUUUGGCCUAUGGUAUUGAAAAUCUCAAAUCAAUUGAACGCAAUGUCUUGUUUACACAUUUGAAUUGAAACUUUCCUAUACCUAUAUUAUACAUAUUUUUUCUAUUCUUUCCCACAAAUGUGUUAUAUCGACUUAUCUAUUCUACAUAAUUUCACGCAUGGCUAGCACGAUGUUCCCGUUUUCAAGGGAUGCCAAAAUUACUUUUCACUCAUUCUCGUAACUCCAUUGACGGAUAUAUUUCCUAAACCUAAACGGAUCUGCCUGCUCAUGCAUUUCCUAAUCAUGUGAUAAUGUUGAAUCUUCCUUUAUUAUAUAUAUAUAUUAUUGAUGUAAUUAAGAAGUUAUUUAAUAGUAAUAAGAGUUGUUCUUUAAUAGAAAUAUGUACGUUCGUAAAAUGUUCAUAUAUAUAUAAAUGGGUUCAAAAUUUGAGGUUACAAAAAAAAAAUGAAAUAAAUAAUAUAAGGUAUUUUUUUAAAAAAAAAUCAAACCCGCGAUGCCAUAUGUAAGCGUCGAGACUUGUAUAUAAGAUCUCCCGACGACUAAAGAUGGCGAACUCCCAACAUCGUAUACAGUAUCUUCCCGACGCUGCAUAUCUUAGUGUUGUAAAGGCUUCUUUUGAUGCAUUUUAUCCGAGCACAGUUUUGACAGACAUUUUUUGGGAGAUCCUUUUUCAACUCUUUUUUCGUAUAUCUCCCAACGAUUGUGUGCGUUGGAAGACCCCUCAUUUUUUUGUAGUGAAUUUGUAACUCGAAUACUCUUAAUAAAAUUUCUCAAAACUUGUUCUUAAUGUGGACGUAGACCAAAUUAGUCAACCAACUUAUAUCCUUGUGUUCGUAUUCUCUAUUGGUUUGUGUAUUUUAUGGCUAUUGCAUUAUGCUUGGGUUGUGUUAUUAAUUAAUUUAGUCCAUUAAUUAAUACAAAUAAUCAUGUCAGUUUUUAUUCAAGAGUUGAUUGGGCUGCACUAUAUACGAUCCAAAUGAAAAAGUUAAUUCUACGUCUUUUACUUCUCUAGAUAUAUUUCACAUUCUUUUAUAGUAAUGCCAUUACAUAUUUGUAUAAUGAUAAAAAUUGAAGCAUAUAGAACAAAGAAAAUACCAGAUCACUUUCCUUUUUAUUCAUAGUCGUUUGAUAUUGUAGUAUAGGCUAUAUAUAUAUAUAUAUAUAAGAAAAGUCCAUUACAAAGCAUGACCUCUAGCAUUUGGGAUAGGGAACACCACAGGAGGAAAUAAUAGCUUUUGCUCGAGCAGAUUUCACGUAACCUCCCAAGCUUGGAUUCUUCAUAUACUGACAAAAGCAUGGCUGUUGCUCCCUCAGCUUACUGCAACAAGUGGUGGACGGUGCCCGUCGAUGUCAUUGCACCAAUGCAUGGACUCAGCCCAUGGUGUUGCAAGUUAUCGCGUCGGCAACACGAGCUCCAGUGAGAGGGCCGCCAUUGCCACCACCAAAAGGGGAAGACUUGUGAACCCAAGAUUUUUCAUUAUUUUUCUUCUUUUGAUAUAGAAAUGAGGGAUAGGUUUCUAUUUGCCGCACCUUCAAAACAACGUUUUAUAACCUCAUAAAGUGGAAUGUGAGCACCUCACUUCUAUACCAACUUCUCUGUUUUGGCUUAAACUUUUCAAUAAAAUUAAUUUCUGAGUUGUUAACUUUCAAUAAAAUUAAUUUCGAGUUGUUAACUUUAUGAUGGUAACAUCUAUAGUUUGCAUUAAAUAUAUGGUUGGUGGUGGUAAUAGUGACAAACUCCCAACUUUGGAACAGUGACCAAAAGUUCAUAUAAAAAUUAUUUUAAAUACAAAUAAGUACACAAUUAUUUUUUGGAGUUUAAAAAUAACAAAAAAAAUAUAUAUAUAUAUAUAUAAUAAAAUCUUAAAUUGUAAAAAUAACAAAUUUAAAACAGAUAAUCUCUAAUAACUCUCUCGUAAUCUUUUGAUAGAUUUUUUUAUAGUUGAUAUCAUUAAUUACAAAAAAACUUUUUCUAAAUUCUUUUGUCAUCUAAUAUAAUUUUUUUAUUUUUUCUAACUAGAAAAUAUUAAAGCUUUUCACCAAUAUUUGAAAGUUAGGAGGUUGGAAACUUUUACCUUGAUUAGUAGCAUAUGCCUUACAUACUGUUUGCAACAUUUUCUAUAUUUUCUUCUAAUAUUAUCAACUAACAACAAUUCUAAUCGAAGUCGGUAUGUACAAGAAUUUGUUUUACAUUAUUGUUUAAAUACCUGACAUUUGGUUUUUUAAUAUUUCAUAAUUCCAGAAUUCUAUGUUGAAUUUGUGCUCCUUAAUUCACCAAUCUUUGAUCUAAAUACAUGAAUCUUAGGAUUACACGAAUCGAGAGUCCUAUUUGUGGAUCUAAAUGUAUGUAUUUUCUUGGUUGCAUUGCAUUAAUUUUGGCCUUUAUGUUCUUCGUUUGCAUUUUAAUUAAUUGCUUUGCCGGUUGAGUUCACCAUGAACAGGAUUAAGAAACGUAUAACAAGGGUCGUAACACAACGGAAUUUUUUAGAGAAUCUGAAUGAAUGAGUAGAGAAUGUGGUAAUAUUUAAGGUUAUGGUUGAUGCAGAGUAUUGGGAGAACAGUCGACCUCUGGAGGGCCAACAUCCAGUGAGCCUGCAGCAAGAAAAGGAUAUUUCUUUAGCUGGGUGAACAAUUUCUGUUUCCGACGUAACAAAAAUGUCAAUAAAGAUGAUUUAUGUUGAUGGAUUUUCUAUGCAAAGGUAUAACACCAUGUUUCGCGUAAGAAAAAUAUAUCCUUGGAGAGAGUUGAUUGAUGUUAGUGAAACCCAUGAAGUUUGGGUUUCUGCCGACACAAGUUUUAAUUUCUGCUUAUGCAAUUUGUGUGUAGAUUAUUUCAAAAAUAACAUGUUACCAACUGAAAACUACGCAAAGUUUAAUUCAUUUUAAUUAAAUAAAGAAAUGAAAUCAAUAAAACAAUCUAAACAGAAACCAAAAUGUUUAGUAAAAUAUAAUAACCAAUCACCAAAAAAGUAAUUUAUUUGGACCAAUCAUGAGUUUAGGAUAAAUCUAUCAAUAGACAUGUGGCUCUAAAACAUGAAAACAAAAAUAAAGUAGCGAAAGCAUUGUCACAAUAGUUCCAAAUGGCACAAUCACAAUCGUAGAUCCUUCUUACCGGCCUUGUCUUUGUUUGAAAAAUUGAACAAAUACCCAGUAAGAGAUCAGUCUAGUAGUUCAUAGAGCACACAUCAAUAGUAAAAGUUAUCCACUUAAUGCACUACCUAUAAGUGGGGAUCCUAUAGAACACUAUACAUAUAGGGUAUAUAUUAACCUAAUAAUCAAAGUUAAUAGUUGUCAUUAGUUCAAACACAUCCUAGUUUAGUCAUUCUCAAUUCAAUUCAGUCAUAAACAUAACAUGUAAAAUAUAUUCAAUAACCUCAUUCGUAACCAUCAUGUCUCAAGUAUUUCAUUAUGAGUCAUCAAUUAAAUCAGUCAUACUAUCAAUGCCUAUUAAACCAACCCAAUAUAUAAUCAAUAAUAAUCACAUUAUCAAUCUCAGUCUUACUCAUGUCGAGGAUUUGGUGUAAUAAACCCCUUACCUUAAAUUAUAGAGUUUAGGGUGGCAACGUUGUUGCUUGAGAGAAAAUUUUAUGUUAACUUCGAUUGAAAAUUCAUAACUAUUAGGAAAAUACACCUUACAUAAGUCUCUGUGUCUGUUUUACCUUGGUUUUUAGUGUUUUAACUCAUAAUUAUGAAUAAAUGAAGAUAUUAGUGAAUCAUAUAAGAGCCCAUGCAAAAGACUACGCGAGAGAAUAUUGUCUGGUGAGUAUAAUUCUGAGGUGAGGAAUUACGUCAUCACGCGAGAAAGGUUCACUAGAAGACAAGAAUGGUAGUUGGGGUUGAUGUAACUUGACAAAUGCUACAAUCGACACUGACAUGAUCAGAAGAAUAGAUGUUUUCCAUCGAAAGAUGCCUAUAAAAAGACUUCAUCCUUACCAAGUAAAGUGGUCGACUUCGAAAAGAGUCAAACAUCUAAAUGGAUCGACCAAACCCUAAAAGUGGCGGAAAGGAGUAGUCUUUCUGUCCUCUGUAAAAAGUCAUUCUUCUUCUUCUCUGCACCCUUAAAAAGAAGUUUUAUAAGUCUUGUAAGUAAACACUUUUAGAUAGAUCCGUCUUAACCAAGUUUUAUCAUUUGUAUCUCGAGAAGGCAAGCUAGUGUGAGUUUAAGGCACUGAGAGGUGCUCAACUUAAUUAUAAGCUAGAUGGCUUAAUUGCCUAAUAACACGAAGACCUUCCUUGACACUUUUUAAUACAAGUUAGUUCACAUUUUCAUCUCGCCACUAUUUUUGUCCCCUUUUACAUAUUCUAGUGUAGAUAGUAGAUUUAGCUUAGACUUAUUAGAUAGUUAUUUUAUACCGACUAGAUGAAGAGUGAGCCUUAUAACUAAUGUUUUGUAUCAAUUCUCUAUGUUCGACCAUGAAUUAUCCAGAAAACCUAUUAUUUCGCUUCAUUUUUCUGUCAUACAGGGUAAAUACUUUCACUUUUUCUUAUUCAUGUAAAUUUCUCUUGAUAGCAUAUAUAUUGUUAAUUCACACAAAUAUUAAAGUGGUUCAUAAAUGAUAGACAUCUAUCAAUAAUGAUAAACCUACAAAUUUUUUAGUAAUCAACCAUACAAAAACAAUUUAGUGUAUCGACUAUUAAAAUGGUUCAGUCUAUUGUUGAUAGAUCCAAAAAAAUCGUAAAAAUAACACUUACACAUUAUUAAUUUUUUGUGAUAUAGUUACAAAUGUGUGGCAACGAAUUUUAUCACGUGACACUAAUCUUUAAGAAACAUAAAAUUCGCAAACAAAUGAUGGCAAUUUACUUGUUUGACUUUACCAAGCUUUUCAUUAUGUUAAUUAAUUUUCAUUUAUCAGUAUUUGGAUGAUGAUAUAAUUGUGCAGUGAAUAAACUUUAAUUAGUGUUCAAAGUUUUAGGCCUUAAUUAGUUCAAUUUUGAUUAGUGUUUAAAGAUUGCAUUAGUUAAAUUUUGAUUAGUGUCCAAAGUUUUAAAGACUAAGCGUGUCUAGACAGAGGGAUAAUCUAGAGUAGACUUUUUUAAUCACUAUAGUUAAUCUACAAUAUAGUGAUUUGAUAUUGGUUUAUAAGUGGUUCAAAAUAAUGAACUUUUAAGCCUUUUUUUUUUUUAACAGAAAUGAGAAGAGAAGAACCAUAUCAUAUACCUUUGGAUCAUUAGCUCGUAACACUUUUUUUUCAAUCUAUUUCUAAAUUUGUUAUUUUCACAAUUUUAAAAAUAUAAGUGACAUGAACUCUAUUAUUAAAAGUAAUCAUGACCUGAAUGAUUGUUUAAAAGAACUAUAUAUGAUCUGAAUGAUCGUUUAUCAUAAUAAUCACGAUCGUUUACUGUGGUCAACACGAUCGUUAGAUUUAGUUUUUAAAUAUCAUUUAUAUUGGAGUACACGAUCGUUUACCAUAAUCAACACUAAUUAACACUAAUUAACACGAUCGUUCACCAUGGUCAACACGAUCAUUAGAUUUAAGGUUUUUAAAUAUCAUUUAUAUUGGAGUAUACGAUCGCUAACUAUAAUCAACAUGAUCAUGUUCCAUGAUAACACAAUCGUUUGUCAUGGUCAACAUGAUUAUUUUAAUUUGACGUUUUCUUUCCUCUAUUAAAAAAGAAUUACACAAUCGUUUGUCAUUCGUUGAGACGGUAAGACACGAUCGUUUAGAAGAAAAUUACUCGCACGCGACUGUGGUCGAUUAAUUGUGUCUUGACUAAGAUAUUUUUUAUAUUUUCUAUCGUAGGCCUUGGAGUUUUCCAUUUUCAAAAUUGUUCAGUAUAGUGUAAAUAUGUUAUUGUAAAUAUGUUAUUGAUUUGUUAUAAUUUUUUUAAAAACCCUUAUAUAUGUGUGUAUGUGUGUGUGUAUAUAUAUAUAUAUAGACUAUUCAAAUGUGAUAUAAUAUAUUGUUCAAAUGUGUAUAGAUAUAUAUAUACUGUUCAAAUGUGAUAUAAACUAAUAUUGCAAAAAUUAAAGCUCUUAGCUUGAGCUGAACGCACCAAAUUAUAAUAUAGUAAAAGGAGGUUGAGAAACCGAGUAUCUCUCCUGAAUACAAAGUGGAUGAAGUAAUUUUUAAAUAAAUAGAAACGAAAAACAUUUAAAUGACAACCAAAUUUCAUAGAAUAAAAAGAUUUAAUUCGUUUUUGCAGGAGAAGGGCAAAGUUUCUUUUCUUCAAAAAGAGGUAAUGUUGACUUAAUCUUCUAUUAUUUUUAGCUUAAUUAAUAUUUCCAACGAUGGAAUAUAUCUGACAAAAUAACAAAAUUAAACCCUUAAAAGAUAGCACUAGCCAUAAUACCAAUUUGAGAUGUCUAUCUACUGACUUAUUAUUAACUCAUAAUGGGUAAGGCGGUAUAUUAAAACGUAAUAUUGAGCUUUUAAUUUAUAUAGAAAGUAUAGGUUGGUUUUCCCUUUAUUUUUAGUUGGGAUCAGAAUAUUGUAUAUUAGAUUAAACUAAAGAGACAUAACAAUACUUAAUUCUUGUAGAAGAGUCCAAACUCAAGUAAGUAGGGUUUCUAUUUAGAGCAGUCAGCCUCAGUUGGUAAGCUAAUGUUGCAGGAUUUAGCAAUUCUUCUAGCCGCACUAGAAUUCACGAAACUCCUCAAAUCUGGAUCAUUGAUAUAUUCACAGUAGCAUGGUUGUGCCUCCCUCAACUUGUUGCAACAUGUCUGACUGGGCGUCAUCCCAAAAAAUGCUGCUGUGCAUGACGAGAGCUGUGAUGGGUCGCAUUCCACUUGAGCAACCACCGGAGGAGCGCCAUUAAGAAGAGCCACCGUGGUUGCCACCACGAAAAUGCAAACAACGAUUGUGAUAGGAAAAUUCUUCAUUUGAUUGUGUUACGAGGAAGGGAGGAAUAACGAAUUUGUGUGUUUCUGUGCUUUUGCUGAUGCUUUCAACCUCUCCUUUUAUAGCCUCUCAUAGGGAGUAAAUGUGUGCAACAAGUUAAGUUACCACACCUCCUAUUCAAUACUUUAAGUUACCACAAACUCUUCCGCACGAGUUAAACAAGUGAAUUAGUUGUCAUAAAAUUUCGCUUACUAGAUGCCCAACGCAUUAUGACAUGGUUAGAUAGACAUUGAUCAAUGUCUAGGUGGUCACACCUUCACUUAAUCACAUGACGAGACCUGAGAAUGGGGUCUGGGUGAUUGAAACAUCAAUGAUGUACAAAUAGUGUCAUUGGUGAUCAAAAUCUCUCGAUGAUUGUAAAAGAAAGAGAGAUGACAAUCAACUAGGAACAACACGUUAAAAACUCUCUAGAUGGAAGAUAUCUGAGAAUCGAGUAAUCGUCGUGUGAAGAUUUAAAUAUGUUAAAAGGUAUUUUUGAAAAUUUCAAAAAGUGAAAAUUACGUGUCCUAAGCUUCGUUUUUUUGACAUAUAACGUAAAUACUUUCAAUUUUUUUAUUUAUGUAAAAUUCCCCUUGUAAAAUAUAUAUUGUUAAUUCACAAAUAUAUUAAAGUGGUUGAUACAUGAUAGAUACCUCUCAAUAAUGAUAAUCCUACAAACUGUUUAUCAAUCAAUAUAUGCAAAAACAAUUUCGUGUAUUAACAGUAAUGGACUAUUAAAAUGGUCUAUCAGAAACGUUUGAUAGAUAAAAAGAAAAAUCCUAAAAAUAACAUAGUUACAAAUUAUUAAAUUUUUUGAUUGAUAUAGUUUACAAAUGUGGCAACGAAUUUUGUUACCUAACACUUAUGAUUAAAAAACAUAAAAUUAGCAAACAAAAUGGUGACAAUUUACUUGUUUGACUUUAUCAUGCAUUUAAUUAUGUUAAUUAACAUUCAUUUAUCUGUGUUUCGAUGAUGAUAAUUGAACAUUGAUUAAAUUUUGAUUAGUGUUUAAAGUUUUAGGCAUUAAUUAAAUUUUGAUUAAUUGGCAAAAACAGUACAAAUUUGAUAAUGAGACCAAUUUUGAAAAGAAGAGUCUUGGGACAAAUGGAUAUGUGAAAUAUCUAAAUUAUCCUUUAGUUUAAAAAAGCUCUAAAAUUUUGAAACCCACAAUUUCUUCCUCACACAACACAUCCAUCUGUAGAUGAACAAAUUGCAACCAAUGAAUGGAGGGAAUCGAUCAGAUGGAGUGGCGGUGACUUGGGUAGCAACAACCGAUAUCCAUUUGGAUGACUUGGACAACAACAACAAUUUCCCUAAAGCUAAAGUCUGGGUUUUAUGGAUUGUGCAUCAACGAUUUCUACAUCUUUCUUUAUUGCCAACUUUGUGGCCUCGUCCUCCUCCCAUUCCGCUUUCUUGCAUUUCCUAUUCAUUUCUCUCUCCUUCAUGUAAAAUACCAAUGAAUUGUAUUGAAUUUGGUUGCUAUUUUCAUUGAUCAAAAUGAAUAUUUAUACAAUGCUUGAAGAUACAAAUAUGGUAAAAAAUAAUUACAAAUCAAUUUACAACAAAUAGAGGGAUUAUAGGAGUAGAUUUUGUAAUAUGAUAUUAUUUCCUAAUAUCCCACCUCAAACCAAAGAUUCAGAGGGAGUUAGUAGUUAUUUCAAAGGUGAAGAAAUAUGAGAGACAGAAGUAGCUUUUGUGAGUAUAUCAACAAGUUGUUUGUUGGAGGAGAUGCGUCGAACAGAGAUGUCUUUACGAAGAACUUUUUCCCGAACAAAAUGGGAAUCAAUCUCAAUGUGUUUGGUUGACAAAAAUGCCAUUAGUGGAGAAUUGUAUUUCGAGACCAAGAAAAUACUUUAAAGAACCAAGAUCAGAUAUUUUAAAUUCAAGUGCCAAUUGGUUUUUAGAAGAGAAAUAUAAGAGGAGUCUGGGCCAGUGCCAAUAGUAUCAUCAAAACAUACAUGAGUAAGUAAGUAAGAGAAGAUCCAACAUGUCAAAUGAAUAAAGAUGGAUCAACCAGCUGUCCUAAAACAUAUAACAUUUGUCACUCACAGCCCCACAACCAAUCCUCUCAAUUAAGACACUUUGAAUUCAAAUUCUUCCCUUUCAAUUCAUGAUUCAUCUAUACAUAUAAAUAUAAGGGGAAAUUUUUUAAUUUACCUCUUCCUUUUAUAUAUUUUAUUUAUUUAAAUCUAAAUUAAUAAUAUAUGAUUUUAAUCUUUAACUUCUGUAAAAAUUUCAAUUGACACUACUUUUAAGAUUUGAAUUUUGAUCAAAGUUGCAUGAAACAUAUAAUUGUUUAUGUUAAUCUUAAAUUAUAAUAACAGAAAUUAUUUAUAUCCUUUAUUAAGAUUAAAUAAAUUAUCCAUGUGUUUAAAUCUUCCACUCUCGAAAUAGAAUUUAAAUGUUAAAUUUAUCAAAUAAAUAAGUAGGAGUUCAUGUAUGGAUUUUGUUAAACAAAGUAAUAGAAUAUCUAAAUUGAUUUGUUUAUAAAGAUGUCUAGAAACGUUUAAUUGAUGCGAAGAAGGGCACCAUACUAAAAGUAUUUAGAAAAAUAUUAGUAAAAUAUCACAUCGAGUGAUAUACUAUUAAUAAUAGUAUAAUGUAAUCUAUACAAAAGUUUUUUUUUUUUUUUUGUUUAUUUUAGUAUAUUUAAAAACAAACUGCAUUCGUAAUAUGGUUAUGAUACAAUCUAUAAUUCAAAUUUUAAGGGUUCUUUUUAUAUAAACUAUUUGAAUAUGAAUAUGGUUAUGAUACAAUCUAUAAUUCAAAUUUUAAGGAUUCUUGUUUUAAGGGUUCUUUUUAUAUAAACUAUUUACCUUUCAAAGAACCUAUACCUAUUUAUACUUUAUACAACAAAAUUACAAAAUAUCUUUCCAAAUUUUUAAAAUCUACUUUGAUUAAAUUUAAAUUCAUAAAAACUAACCAAAACUAAUUCAUAAAAACUAACCAAAACUAACAAACCAGGUUAAUAGAACUAAAGUAAAUCCACUCUUUACAUAUCUUAAUCAACAACGUUUAGUUCCAACUCUUUACAUAUCUUAAUCAACAACGAGAAGACUUACUUAUUUUUGUAUAUCUUUAUAUGGAGUUUUGUAAAAAUAGCAAAAAUGUAUGAUAAUAGAAAUCAUGUCAUAAGAUUUUUUAAAUUUACAAAAUUAUAAGAUUUUUUAAAUUUACAAAAUUUGCAAAUUAAUUUACAAAAUUAUAAAAUUUUUAAAUUUACAAAAUUUGCAAAUUAAUUUAGAAGGGAUGACUGUCUACUGUCAUACAAUUACUGUCUACUGUCAUACAAUUACUGUCUAUUAGUCCUGCAACAACUCCACAACAACUCUAGAUUACCGAUGAUUAUCGUUUAAUAGUAGUCUGAUAUCAUUAACUUUGUCAUAUUUGAAGUAUGCAAAAAAAAUAGUGUUGUCAAACUUAUUUGGAAAUAUUUUUGCAAUUUUCUUUUUAUAAAAGACAGCAUGAAAAAAUCUAGUAAGUUUUAAUAAAAAGCAAAAAUCUUCCCCUAACAAAUUUUUUUUUUUUUGUUGAAAAACUAUGUAAGUUGGAGAGAUAAAGAUAUUUGCAACCUAAUCAUCACCAAGAUAUUGUUCAAUUUUACUUUACAGCAACCUAAAAAAGAGAAAAAAGGUGAAACAUUUAACAAAGAAAACACCAAUCUAAAAAUAUCUUUAUAGAAACAUACCAUACCUAUUAUUUUAAUUCAUUAAAAGAAAAAGAAAAGAGAUAUAUGAUCAACAUGAACCUACUUUAAUAACUUAAUUAAAAAAAAAAAAGAAACACAUAGAUCGUUUUUUUCUUUUAUUGUUUUAUUCAUAGGAAUAACUAUAAAAUUAUUCCAGCUUAAUUUCCACACAUAUGGCCCAAAAGAAAGACCCUCUAACACCUUGGAGUGGGAACACCACAUUUGGAAGCAACAUGUUUGGCGCGAGGAGAAUUCAAAUAACUACUCAAAGCUGGGUUCUUUAUGUACCCGCAAAGACAUGGUUGCUGCUCUCUCAAUUUGUUGCAGCAAGUGGCGGAUGGGUCUGCCAUCGACGUGAUUGCCGUGAGACAUGAGCUCAGCUCCGAAGGGCUGCAACUCACCGCCUCUGCAACACGAACUCCGCCAAGAACGGCCAGCACGAAAAACAAACAACUGUGACUGGAAGAACUUUGUUCAUUGUCUCUUGGUUUUGAUAGAAAUCAGUAAUGUUUGUUGAAGGGAAAGGGAAAAGGAAAAGGAGAAAGAGGAAUAAUAUGGCUUUAAUUGUCUGUUUUUCCCCCCAACUCUUUUUUGUUUGUAUUUAUAGCCACAUAAAGUUGGAAGAGUUGAUAAAAGGGCCAACCCUAUUAUUAAUUUCUCAUUUCCAAUUUCAC
rnacentral:lncRNA from 1 species